rnacentral:lncRNA from 1 species
GAACCAUCAUGAGAGGGAAACUUCGCCGUGCAAGCGGUUGUGGCGACCAGUAAGGCGGGGCAGAGGCCAUGAAAGAGAGGAGAGGUCGCGAGGUAGAGGAGAGGCGGCGCAGUGGGUCAUGAGAGAUGGCGACGCCAGGUCGCCGGAGGAGACGAAAAAUCUGACGGAGGAUUGGCAUCUGAGCGCGCGGCGGCGGCAGAGGUGGGGUGUGCCGGUGUGGAGAAUGGGGAGAGGAAAGGGCUGAACGCACGGGGCGGUCUUCUUUACUCUCUUAUAUCAGAAUAGCACACAUAUGCCCGUGCGUUUGCAACGGGAGAGAUAUUUUAUUUACGACAAGCAACAAAAAGAUAAUUAAUUGUGUUAAAAAAUGGUCUUCACAAUGGUAGGCGAGAGAGCAAGGAGUUGCGGCCUUCUCACUGGACAUGUUUGGCUCGUGAAAUCUUAAUAGUGGUGGAGUUGGUAGGCGUGGUGGCGAGCACCCAACUCGUCCCUUUUUCUUUUGCAUGCCUCCUCAUUUGGUGGAUGUGUGACGACCAUCGGAACACGGUUGCUUCGACCACUCUCCUACUACAGUGUAACCAGAUGGAUUACUAAUUGCAGUGCAUAAAUCCUCUUACACAAGUAUAAUCAAGCAUGAAUGUCCCUUUAUUACGAAGGUUUAUUCCCUUUGAUUUUUUUAGCACUUAUGUUAAAAAAUUGAAAGCCCGGACAGUUAAAAAAAUGUGAACAUUUAUUUUUAGAAAAUUCCAUAUAAUUAAGAAAACAAAAAAAUUAGAAAGAGGAAUAGUUAUUUAAGUUCGAAAAAACAUGUUGAAACCAUGAACAUUUUAUAAAAACACAAAAUUAAUAAUUUUUUUAAAAGGGGGACAUUCAGAAAAAAAUUAAAAAUGUUUUCUUAGACGCAAACAUUAUUUUGUUUUUGUGAACUUUUCAAUAAAAUAGGAAUAUUUUUUGGAAUAUGGAACAUUUUAUAAAAUAUUAACUUUAUAAAAAAAUCUAUAAAAAUUCUAAAACAGAAUCUUUUUUAAAUGGCAACAUUUUUUAAAUGUUGAGAAAAUUCCGAAACCAGUUUUUUUAAGUUUAUAAUAUUUUUCAAAACAAUAAUAAAAUUUUAUAAUGCUGAUUUUUGAAUAUUUGAAUAAAAAAUUAAAUUGUGAAUAUAUUUUGUAUAUUUUUAUUUCACGGCAAAAUAAAAAAAGUGAAAAGGAAAAUGAAACAUUUAAAUGGCCCGGCCCAGUCUUGGGCGACCUGUGCGUUCCUUGAACUAUUUGUCGGUAUGUGCGACAAAUAAGGUCUUUUUAACGUCUGGGCAGGAUAAUUACUGGGUUGGCUUUGUUGGGCUGGAGUGCGCCCGGCCCAAUUGCGGAAUUCUGGAGAAACUUUUUGUCUUUUCUAGUAGAUGCACAAAAAUUUAGUACCACCUUGGAUAGAAAAAAUAUUUUCAACGAUGAAUGGAUGAAAAUAUUGGAGAAACGCACUUUGCUUUAUUAGUAGGUAUAGAUUUUCACUUUUGCAGAAAAUCCCAGAUAAUUAUUGAUAAUCAACCCACAUGACAGUUUUAAGUCAGAUUUUUGUUUUGUUAGGAAACUAGCGGUGUGACCCGCGCAUUUGCGCGGCUAGAUUAGUUACACAUUGUUAUGAUUAUUUCUUUAUUUGUAUUUUAUUUAUUUUUAUAAUUGCAAAAUGUUUAUUUUUAUUUAUUUAUAAUAGAAUUUCUAAAUGUUAUAAAAUUAUAUAGCCAUAUUACCACAUGACUAUGAAUUAUUUGUCCCACAUAUAUUAGCACAUGACUAUACAAUUUUUGUUUUACAUGAUCUACUGUCUUAUCUUAUUCAGGUGCACAACUGAACAAUCUAUUAAGUCAUCAAUAGUGAUGUUUCUGUUUAAGAAUGGAAGUUAAAGAUCCCGUGGGUUGCCAUGCAAAAACAACACUUUCAUACUAAUAUGUAAGUUCCAGUUUACACUCUAGUGAUCCCGCAAAAAAAAAAUUUACACUCUAGCUCCCAUCGUUAGCUAGGAUUAAGUAGAGUUCUUUUCUUUAAUCUAUCUCAUCAUUAGACAUAAUUNNNNNNNNNNNNNNNNNNNNNNNNNNNNNNNNNNNNNNNNNNNNNNNNNNNNNNNNNNNNNNNNNNNNNNNNNNNNNNNNNNNNNNNNNNNNNNNNNNNNNNNNNNNNNNNNNNNNNNNNNNNNNNNNNNNNNNNNNNNNNNNNNNNNNNNNNNNNNNNNNNNNNNNNNNNNNNNNNNNNNNNNNNNNNNNNNNNNNNNNNNNNNNNNNNNNNNNNNNNNNNNNNNNNNNNNNNNNNNNNNNNNNNNNNNNNNNNNNNNNNNNNNNNNNNNNNNNNNNNNNNNNNNNNNNNNNNNNNNNNNNNNNNNNNNNNNNNNNNNNNNNNNGGGGCAUUAUUUAUUUUAAUUGUUUGUCACUUCUGCAUAUGAGGUAAUACCAUCCCUCCAUUGUACAUUUUUGCACAAAAAAAUAUAUAAAAUGGCACAAUAUGUGUCUUCCCUACUAUUUUUGCUAUUAAAAACAUAUUGUCAUACUUUCCUUUGUGCUCACUCUUGGAGUGCCUUGUUCUUUCUGGUCAUUUUCAUGUCUGUUUUAGGUCGAUUUAUGCCGUUAGAAUAUUAGCAUGAUUUCAAUUUGCGAGGACACUGUUUUUUGUGUCAUGCAAUUAAUACACUUAUUGACCGCACACAUAGUAUAUUGUCAUUGUUUUUAAUCACCCAAUUUCAUCUAUCUCAUAUACUAAGUGAUUCUUGUCCAUUUAAUACUUGAGGUAUAAGAUGUCGCCUCUCCACCACCUGAAUUGUGUGAAGCCUCGGAGUAACCAAUGGUUCACACACGCAUAGUGUUUGUCCAUACAAUGUGUACUCAACAACUAUUUUAACCUCACCUCUAUGCAUUUAUCCAUUUUUAAGAAACCCAUGCAUGUUGAUAGAUAUCACCCGAGAGAUGUUCCCCUAUUGUUGGUCCAAUAACUAUAUAUAUUGCAUGCUGCCAAAUCCAGAUUAGACUGUCAAAUUUAUUUCAGUUUCACCCAAGACACUAAAACUUGGGAUCGCUAUUUCUCUAACAAACCCGUACUGCUCCUUUAUUAACUGUUGUUCUGAUCCGACUCAAAUUUUCUAACUAACUUGUACUACUCUUUAUUUACUAUUGUUCAGAUCCGACUCAUAUUUUCUUUUCUUCGUGCUUUAACAGCCAUACAUAUUAUCUAAAGCGUUAAAAUUAUUAAAUCAACGAUAAAGUAACGAUGCAAUCUAUUUGUUCAUUGUUUUAAUUACGAAAUAAAUUAGAUAUAUAUUCUGGGCCUUUUUUGCGGGAAUAUAUAUCAAAAGUUAGCUUCAUUUAUGUGGGUCGCAUGUAUAUUAAGUUGCUUUUUUCCUUAUCCCAAAUUUCAUAACGUAUAAUAUAGUAUUAAAAAUUUAAAUGACGCAAGAGGUUCAUAUAUAAAUUUGAUUGUAUUGUUUGUCCACCUAAUAGUAUAUGUAUCUAGUAUGUUUAUUUUGAACAAUCUGACUCAAAACCUCGAUCAUCUGUGAUGAACCACAUUCUUGUAGAUUCCAACUUAAAAUGAUAAAUUCAGUGGCUUUGUUUGUACAGGUUGAAUGCUUGUUUGCUUGGCCCGAAUAUUAUCUCAGCGGCGUUGAUCACCAAUUCCUUUUUUGGGAAUUGUAUGUAUAUUUUUAGAUGAAUUGCAUGCAUGUUCUUUCUGAAAGACUUGCACCUAUAUUUUCUUGGAAAGACCCACCUGUACAUUUUUUAUAUGUUCAUGACUAUUUUUUUUAAUAUCUACGCAUGGCUCAAGUUGUCUGAUGUUGGAUGCAUGUUUUUGUAAAGACUUGCAUGUAGUUUUUUCACAUUGGUACAGGACCUAGAUGGGCAAGUGCGCUUGUUGUAGAUUGCUUGGACUCACCCAAGCGGCAUGUACGUAGAUGUCAUAUGCUUGUGCGUGUCAUGGCCGACGUAGGCCCCUCUUCUUUUCUCUUUGUUUCAGGAAACUAACCUAAUCGUUUGUGUCCGACGAUAAACUUUGUAUACGUGAUAGGUUGUACAUGCAAGGUACCGGAAUUGCUUUUUUAUUUUUGACCGACCCGUACAGCUUCUUCAUUAAAUAUUGCUUUGAUCAGACUGAUAUUUCCUUUUCCUUGUUCUUUACGCCCGAACAUAUUAUCUCCAGCGUGACACAACGUACAUAACAAUAUUGUACAUUCCAUGAUAGUUGGGUUAAUCAACCUGCAGUACAUAUAAAAUGUUUUCUUAAAAGUAUCCGCAUCUUUUAAACCGUGACUUCAAAUUUAAUAUGUUAUAUAAAAUUUGAUUAGAAAAACUAAUCAUCAACCUGUGCACCAGCACGGGCUAGAACGUUUGUAGUCACUGCACUUGCUACUUUUGUACAAAAUAGUGUCUAAAUUUAUUUUUCACAUAUUAGUUACAUAUAGGGACACAUAUUUUUUUGAUGAUGUUUUACUUGUCAGAAAAUAUGAUAAAUCCUCAAAGUCUUGCAAAUCCAAAAUGCAAUCAUAGUCUUAUAAUAUUUUGAACGAACAUGCAAUUUUAUCUACUAAGAUCCCAAUAUACAAUUCAUAUAAAUAGACGCAUGUAUAUGCAAAGCUUAAAACCAAAUUGAAUAAUUGAUAUUUCUCUUCAAAAAAAUACAAUAAUGCAACCGCAAGUUCGGGGACCCAUAAAAGCAAAAUACUGCUUCACCAUAUUUUAGAACAAUAUAAUGAAUAUGUAAAAAAACUGAAUGGAGUUGAAUAUCCCAUGUUGAUUCCUAUACAUAACAAAAAGUAAGUAUUAAAACAUUAUUGUCCAAACAAAAUGUUAAUUGACAAUGCUUUGGCUUUCAAGGUUAAUCAUCUAGUGCAUUGCACAUUUCAGAAUGAACAUCCUCUACAAAGCAACAUAGCUUGGCAAAUAUGCAUGCAAAUAUCAAGGAUUUCUGCAACGCGGAAUUAUGAAAAAAAAUUGUAUGCCAGAAUAUGAAACUUAACACCGAAAAAUCCCCCAACCAAGAGACAGUCUAACACUAGUAGAAAACAGGGUUUUGAUCCAGGCCUGAAGAGGGCAUUAAUCCCGGUUCUCAUACGAACCGGGACCAAUGGGAGCAUUAGUCCCAGUUCAUGAGGCCAGGGGGCCGGCCGGGCCUCGGGGGCCAAUGGUCCCGGUUCGUCUGACCCCUUUGGUCCUGGUUCCAGACACAAACCGGGACCAAUGGGCCUUGCUCCUGGCCCAUAACCUUUAGUCCCGGUUUGUGUCUGGAACCGGGACCAAAUAGAGGCCUAUAUAUACCUUGCCCGCGAGCAGAGCAGUGCACUCUUUGUUUUUUUGGCUAGCCGUGGGAGAGCUUUGUGGUGCUCUAGCUCACCUCCUAUGCACAUGAGGUGUUCGAUGAAAUACCCGAGCCACACUUUAUAAGCUUUCUCCUCUCGAAAUUCCUUGUCCCAACUCCAUUUUCCUCAAGAUUUGUCUAGGUUUGUGAUACGUCUCCAACGUAGCUAUAAUUUUUGAUUGUUCCAUGCUACUAUAUUAUCCAUCUAGGAUGUUUUGUAUGCAUUUAUGUGCUAUUUUAUAUGAUUUUUGGGACUAACCUAUUAACCUAGAGCCCAGUGUCAGUUUCUGUUUUUUUCCUUGUUUUUGAGUAUCGCAGAAAAGGAAUACCAAAUGGAGUCCAAUUGACGUGCCAAUUUUUGAUGAUUUUUUAUGGACCAAAAGAAGCCCCCGGAGUAAAAGAGUUGGGCCAGAAGAGUGCCGAGCUGUCCACGAGGGUGGGGGCGCGCCCUACCCCCCUUGGGCAUGGGCCCUAUCUCGUAGACGACUCGGAGACCCCCCUGACGUGAGACCGACGCCAAAAAUUCCUAUAAAUAUAGAAACCUCCAGAACAUAACCUAGAUCGGGAGUUUCACCGCCACAAGCCUCUGUAGCCACCAAAAACCAAUCGGGACCCUAUUCCGGCACCCUGCCGGAGGGGGGAUCCCUCACCGGUGGACGUCUUCAUCACCCCGGUGCUCUCCAUGAUGAGGAGGGAAUAGUUCACCCUGGGGCUGAGGGUAUGUACCAGUAGCUAUGUGUUUGAUCUCUCUCUCUCUCUCUCUCUCUCUCUCUCUCUCGUGUUCUUGAUUUGACACGAUCUUGAUGUAUCGCGAGCUUUGCUAUUAUAGUUGGAUCUUAUGAUGUUUCUCCCCCUCUACUCUCUUGUAAUGGAUUGAGUUUUCCCUUUGAAGUUAUCUUAUCGGAUUGAGUCUUUAAGAAUUUGAGAACAAUUGAUGUAUGUCUUGCGUGGGAUACCCGUGGUCACAAUGGGGUGUUCUAUUGAUCUACUUGAUGUAUGUUUUGGUGAUCAACUUGCAGGUUCAGUGACAUUGGGAAUCUAUGCAUAGGGAUUGGCACACGUUUUCGUCUUGACUCUCCGGUAGAAACUUUGGGGCACUCUUUGAAGUACUUUGUGUUGGUUUGAAUAGAUGAAUCUGAGAUUGUGUGAUGCAUUCGUAUAAUCAUACCCAAGGAUACUUGAGGUGACAUUGGAGUAUCUAGGUGACAUUAGGGUUUUGGUUGAUUUGUGUCUUAAGGUGUUAUUCUAGUAUGAACUCUAGGAUAGAUCGAACGGAAAGAAUAGCUUCGUGUUAUUUUACUACGGACUCUUGAAUAGAUCGAUCAGAAAGGAUAAUUUUGAGGUGGUUUCAUACCCUACAAUAAUCUCUUUGUUUGUUCUCCACUAUUAGUGACUUUGGAGUGACUCUUUGUUGCAUGUUGAGGGAUAGUUAUAUGAUCCAAUUAUGUUAUUCUUGUUGAGAGAACUUGCACUAGUGAAUGUAUGAACCCUAGGCCUUGUUUCAACGCAUUGCAAUACCGUUUUCACUCACUUUUAUCAUUAGUUACCUUGCUGUUUUUAUAUUUUCAGAUUACAAAAACCUAUAUCUACCAUCCAUAUUGCACUUGUAUCACCAUCUCUUCGCCGAACUAGUGCACCUAUACAAUUUACCAUUGUAUUGGGUGUGUUGGGGACACAAAAGACUCUUUGUUAUUUGGUUGUAGGGUUGUUUGAGAGAGACCAUAUCCAUCCUACGCCUCCCACGGAUUGAUAAACCUUAGGUCAUGCACUUGAGGGAAAUUUGCUACUGUCCUACAAACCUCUGCACUUGGAGGCCCAACAACAUCUACAAGAAGAAGGUUAUGUAGUAGACAUCAGUUUGGCGGUCCUUCCUGUCCCGUCCCCGUCCUCACUACCGUCCAUCGCCCGCGCCGAUCUCGUUGCCGGCGCCACUGUGGUGAGCCUCUUGUUCUUAUCUUCUUUCUAAAAGAAAAAAUUCUUACUUAUAUGAUUUAGAUUGCUACUUGUAUAAUUUUCUUACUUUUAUUAGUGUUUGAAUGUUUGUUAUUAUAUAGUGCGAUGGUUUUGGUAUUCGCCCCCGUCGACCCUCAUCCUGUCUAUGAUUCGGAUGUGGUAUAUACUAUCUUUUAUAACUAUUUCUUUCAUUUAGUGUUUAUGAUAAUUAUGCCGACCAAUGUGACAUAGAUGUUUUAUGUAGGAGGUAUGUGGACCGAAAAUUCCAACUGACCCUCUUGUCGAGAGGUUAAAAUUUAGUUGAAAAAGAAAAUGAUUACUUGAAGAAAAAAAAUGAAAAGAAUUGAGGAGGAGAAGAUGGCAUUGGAGUUGCAUGUUGUGGAUAUCAUCGAUGAUCACAAGAUCAAGAUGUAUAAAAUGUGCUUGAAGAUUAGAAAAUUUUAAAAAUAUGCCAUUCAUACUGAGGCUUGGUAUCAUUAUGCAGUUGGAUCAAUUGUUACCUUAGUUGCGAUUAUGAUCGCAUAUGUUGUUGCAUUGAAAUGUUUUACAUAGUUUCAAUGUAUGGUUUAAUUAGAUGCUCACGAGAGCUAUAUGUUGUUCAAUGAGAACUAUGUAUUAACUUUAUGUAUCUAUUUUUUCAGUAAUAACAUUUGAUCACUACUGUACUUUGGUUUUAAUGUGAUGAUGAAAUCCCUUUGUAACAGAUGAGUUUUCGCCCGAAGCCCUGAUACUUCGAAAGAGAUUGUCCGUUUUGCACACGAAGUGCAUCCAGUUUUUGCCGUAACCCUCUCAGCUUUUUAGAACAUGCUAUGUGGGUGAAAUGAUGAUACCAUGCCAACUUUCAACCUUUUCAGAGUUCAUUUUAAGUGCUUUUCAAUUUCAGGGUCAUUGUGACGCACUCGAUUCAAUCGUACACUAAUCAUACACGCAAAUGUGUACGAUCAACAUCAAGGACUCACGGGAAGAUAUCACUGUUGGAAAUAUGCCCUAGAGGCAAUAAUAAAUUGGUUAUUAUUAUAUUUCCUUGUUUAUGAUAAUCGUUUAUUAUCCAUGCUAGAAUUGUAUUGAUAGGAAACUCAGAUACAUGUGUGGAUACAUAGACAACACCAUGUCCCUAGUAAGCCUCUAGUUGACUAGCUCGUUGAUCAAUAAGAUGGUUACGGUUUCCUGACCAUGGACAUUGGAUGUCGUUGAUAACGGGAUCACAUCAUUAGGAGAAUGAUGUGAUGGACAAGACCCAAUCCUAAGCCUAGCACAAGAUCGUGUAGUUCGUUUGCUAAAGCUUUUCUAAUGUCAAGUAUCAUUUCCUUAGACCAUGAGAUUGUGCAACUCCCGGAUACCGUAGGAGUGCUUAGGGUGUGCCAAACGUCACAACGUAACUGGGUGGCUAUAAAGGUACACUACAGGUAUCUCCGAAAGUGUCUCUUGGGUUGGCACGAAUCGAGACUGGGAUUUGUCACUCCGUGUAAACGGAGAGGUAUCUCUGGGCCCACCUGGUAGGACAUCAUCAUAAUGUGCAUAAUGUGACCAAGGAGUUGAUCACGGGAUGAUGUGUUAUGGAACGAGUAAAGAGACUUGCUGGUAACGAGAUUGAACAAGGUAUCGGAUACCGACGAUCGAAUCUCGGGCAAGUACAAUACCGCUGGAGAAAGAGAAUUGUAUACGGGAUUGAUUGAAUCCUCGACAUCGUGGUUCAUCCGAUGAGAUCAUCGUGGAACAUGUGGGAGCCAACAUGGGUAUCCAGAUCCUGCUGUUGGUUAUUGGCCAGAGAGUUGUCUCGGUCAUGUCUGCAUGGUUCCCGAACCCGUAGGGUCUACACACUUAAGGUUCGGUGACGCUAGAGUUGUUAUGGGAAAUAGUAUGUGGUUACCGAAGGUUGUUCGGAGUCCCGGAUGAGAUCCCGGACAUGACGAGGAGCUCCGAAAUGGUCCGGAGGUGAAGAUCAGUAUAUUGGACGAAGGGUAUUGGAGUCCGGAAUUGUUCCGGGGGUACCAGGUGAUGACCAGCGUGUCCGAAAGGGAUUUCGGAGGCCCCGACAAGCGUUGGGGGGCCUUAUGGGCCAAGGGGAGAGGGCACAUCAGCCCACUAAGGGGCUGAGCGCCCCUCCCACCACAUCUCACGUAACCAGGAGAGGUGGGGGCGCCACCCCUAGGGCAGCCGCCCCUCCCGGCUUGGGGGGCAAGUUUCCUAGGGGGUGGGGGCGCCCAAACCCAUCUAGGGUUUCCUCUAUGGCCGCCGCCCCUCCCCUAGGGAACCCUAGGGCGCCUCCCCCUCCUCCCUCCCCCCUAUAUAUAGUGAGGGAGAGAGAGGGCAGCCGUACCUUUCCCCUGGCGCAGCCCUCUUCCUCCUCCAACACCUCAUCCUCCUCCGUAGUGCUUGGCGAAGCCCUGCCAGUGAACCACGAGCUCCAUCAUCACCACGCCAUCAUGCUGUCGGAGUUUUCCCUCAACUUCUCCUCUCACCUUGCUGGAUCAAGAAGGAGGAGACGUCUCCCAACCGUACGUGUGUUAAAUGCGGAGGUGCCGUCCGUUCAGCGCUAGGAUCAUCGGUGAUUUGGAUCACGACGAGUACGACUCCAUCAAUCCCAUUCACUUGAACGCUUCCGCUUAGCAAUCUACAAGGGUAUGUAGAUGCAAUCUCCUUCCCCUCAUUGCUAGAUUACUCCAUAGAUUGAUCUUGGUGAUGCGUAGAAAAUUUUGAAUUUCUUCUACGUUCCCCAACAAUGGCAUCAUGAGCUAGGUCUAUGCGUAGUUUCUAUGCACGAGUAGAACACAAAGCAGUUGUGGGCGUCGAUAUUGUCAAUUUACUUGCCGUUACUAGUCUUAUCUUGAUUCGGCGGCAUCGUGGAAUGAAGCGGCCCGGACCGACCUUACACGUACGCUUAUGUGAGACUGGUUCCACCGACUGACAUGCACUAGUUGCAUAAGGUGGCUAGCGGGUGUCUGUCUCUCCCACUUUAGUCAGAUCGGAUUCGAUGAAAAGGGUCCUUAUGAAGGGUAAAUAGAAAUUGGCAUAUCACAUUGUGGUUUUCGCGUAGGUAAGAAACAUUCUUGCUAGAAACCUAUAGCAGCCACGUAAAAACUUGCAACAACAAUUAGAGGACGUCUAACUUGUUUUUGCAGCAUAUGCCUUGUGAUGUGAUAUGGCCAAAAGGAUGUGAUGAAUGAUAUAUGUGAUGUAUGAGAUUGAUCAUGUUCUUGUAAUAGGAAUCACGACUUGCAUGUCGAUGAGUAUGACAACCGGCAGGAGCCAUAGGAGUUGUCUUAAUUUAUUUAUGACCUGCGUGUCAACAUAACCGUCAUGUAACAACUUCAAGAAGACACGAUGAUGGAGAUCAUGAUUGAAAGGAUCGAUAUGGUUGACUAGAGGGGGGGGUGAAUAGGCAACUAACAAUUUUUAGCUUUUCUUUAACAAUUUAAACUUUGCAUCAAAGUAGGUUGUCUAGAUAUGCAACUAGGUGAGCAACCUAUAUGAUGCAACGAGGAUAGGUGCACAAGCAAGCAAGAGAUAUGAAACAAGUAAGCUUGCUCAAAUAAAGGCACGAGAUAACCAAGAGUAGAGACGGUGGAGACGAGGAUGUGUUGCCGAAGUUCCUUCCCUUUGAGAGGAAGUACGUAUCCGUUGGAGCGGUGUGGAGGCACAAUGCUCCCCAAGAAGCCACUAGGGCCACCGUAUUCUCCUCACGCCCUCACACAAUGCGAGAUGCCGUGAUUCCACUAUUGGUGCCCUUGAAGGCGGCGAACGAACCUUUACAAACAAGGUUGGGGCUCUCUCCGCAACUUAAUUGGAGGCUCCCAACAAAAACCACGAAGCUUCACCACAAUGGAAUAUGGCUCCGAGGUGACCUCAACCGUCUAGGGUGAUCAAACACCCAAGAGUAACAAAAUCCACACAAGAAAGUACGGGGGAAGCAAGUAUCCUUUGGUGGAAGUGUAGAUCUAGGUCUCCUCCUUCAAUCCCUAGCAAAUCAACAAGUUUGAGUGGCUAGAGAGAGAGAUCGGGCAAGAGAGCUUGAAGGGCAUUACUGGUGGAGUGAGAGAGGUCAAAGGUGGGAGUGGUAGGUGGGAGAAGCUCCCUUAAAUAGUCACCCACAUUUCCAACCGUUACUGCGUUUUUUGCACUUCAGCGGUACAACCGGUCCUCGUCCCGGUACAACCGGGACUCACGGUGUAACUGCAGAACCCUACCAAGCGGUACAACCGGACAGGCGGGCGGUAGUACCGGCUAAGAAAAAUAACCAGACUAACCGCCUGGCUACCGCACAACCACCGCAUCAAAACAGGAGCUUGACCGGUACUUGGGCGAUGCCUGGCUGGAACAACCGCAUGGCCUUGAGCUCUUGGGUAGCUAAGUUCUGAGCGGAAGAACCGCUCGGACCACCCGUGGUACCGGUCAUCGUGGAACGACCGGACCAACCGGGCCACUACCGCCCAAGAACCGCAUCAAACCAGAAGCGAGAGCGGUACUUGAGCGGUGCAUGGACGGAACCACCGCCCCCGCUGUUGCAGAGCAUGGUGGCGGUACCACCGCCCGGAGGCAGCGCUACAACCGCUCGAGCGAAGCUGGUGAGCAACAAGACCCAGCGGUACAACCGCUCCAGAGAGCGGUACACCGCUGGGAAGAAACAGUGAGCAGGAAAGAGGGGAAGAGGCAAGGAAAACUUGAAGGAAAUAUGCCCUAGAGGCAAUAAUAAAGUUAUUAUUUAUUUCCUUAUUUCAUGAUAAAUGUUUAUUAUUCAUGUUAGAAUUGUAUUAUCCGGAAACAUAAUACUUGUGUGAAUACAUAGACAAACUAAACGUCACUAGUAUGCCUCUACUUGACUAGCUCGUUAAUCAAAGAUGGUUAUGUUUCCUAACCAUAGACAUGUGUUGUCAUUUGAUUAACGGGAUCACAUUAUUAGGAGAAUGAUGUGAUUGACAUGACCCAUUCCAUUAGCUUAGCACCCGAUCGUUUAGUAUGUUGCUAUUGCUUUCUUCAUGACUUAUACAUGUUCCUAUGACUAUGAGAUUAUGCAACUCCCGUUUGCCGGAGGAAUACUUUGUGUGCUACCAAACGUCACAACGUAACUGGGUUAUUAUAAAGGAGCUCUACAGGUGUCUCCAAAGGUAAAUGUUGGGUUGGCGUAUUUUGAGAUUAGGAUUUGUCACUCCGAUUGUCGGAGAGGUAUCUCUGGGCCCUCUCGGUAAUGCACAUCACAUAAGCCUUGCAAGCAUUACAACUAAUGAGUUAGUUGCGAGAUGAUGUAUUACGAAACGAGUAAAGAGACUUGCCAGUAACGAGAUUGAACUAGGUAUUGAGAUACCGACGAUCGAAUCUCGGGCAAGUAACAUACCGAUGACAAAGGGAACAACGUAUGUUGUUAUGCGGUCUGACCAAUAAAGAUCUUCAUAGAAUAUGUGGGAGCCAAUAUGAGCAUCCAGGUUCCGCUAUUGGUUAUUGACCGGAGACGUGUCUCGGUCAUGUCUACAUUGUUCUCGAACCCGUAGGGUCUGCACGCUUAAGGUUUCGAUGACAGUUAUAUUAUGAGUUUAUGAGUUUUGAUGUACCGAAGGAGUUCGGAGUCCCGGAUGAGAUCGGGGACAUGACGAGAGUCUCGAAAUGGUCGAGACGUAAAGAUCGAUAUAUUGGACGACUAUAUUCGGACAUCGGAAAGGUUCCGAGUGAUUCGGGUAUUUUCGGAGGUACCGGAGAGUUACGGGAAUACGAGGAGGAAGCAAUGGGCCUUAAUGGGCCUUAGUGGGAAGGACCAGGAGGUGGCGCGCGCCCCUCCCAAGCCCAGUCCGAAUUGGACAAGGGGUUUGGGGCGCGGCCCCUCUCUCCCUUCCUUCCCCUCUUCCCCCCUUUCCCCCCUUCUCCUAGUUGGACUAGGAAAGGAGGAAACCUACUCCAACUAGGAGUAGGAAUCCUACUCCCUAGCACGCCCCUCCUAGGGCCGGCCUCCUCCCCCUUGCUCCUUUAUAUACGGGGGCAAUGGGGCACCUCUACACACACAAGUUGAUCCUCGUGAUCGUUUUCUUAGCCGUGUGCGGUGCCCCCUUCCACCAUAUACCUCGAUAGUAUUGUAGUGGUGCUUAGGAGAAGCCCUGCGACAGUUGAACAUCAAGAUCGUCACCACGCCCUCGUGCUGACGGAACUCUUCCCCGACACUUUGCUGGAUCGGAGUCCGGGGAUCGUCAUCGAGCUGAAUGUGUGCUAAAACUCGGAGGUGUCGUAGUUUCGGUGCUUGAUCGGUCGGGCCGUGAAGACGUACGACUACAUCAACCGCGUUGUGCUAACGCUUCCACUGUCGGUCUACAAGGGUACGUAGAUCACACUCUCCCCUCUCGUUGCUAUGCAUCACCAUGAUCUUGCGUGUGCGUAGGAAUUUUUUUGAAAUUACUACGUUCCCCAACAGUGGUAUCAGAGCCUAGGUUUUAUGUGUUGAUGUUAUAUGCACGAGUAGAACACAAGUGAGUUGUGGGCGAUAUAAGUCAUACUGCUUACCAGCAUGUCAUACUUUGGUUCGGCGGUAUUGUUGGACGAAGCGGCCCGGACCGACAUUACGCGUACGCUUACGCGAGACCGGUUCUCCCGACGUGCUUUGCACAAAGGUGGCUAGCGGGUGUUAGUUUCUCCAACUUUAGUUGAACCAAGUGUGGCUACGCCCGGUCCUUGCGAAGGUUAAAACAACACCAACUUGACAAACUAUCAUUGUGGUUUUGAUGCGUAGGUAAGAUUGGUUCUUGCUUAAGCCCGUAGCAGCCACGUAAAACUUGCAACAACAAAGUAGAGGACGUCUAACUUGUUUUUGCAGGGCAUGUUGUGAUGUGAUAUGGUCAAGACAUGAUGCUAAAAUUUUAUUGUAUGAGAUGAUCAUGUUUUGUAACCAAGUUAUCGGCAACUGGCAGGAGCCAUAUGGUUGUCGCUUUAUUGUAUGCAAUGCAAUUGCGCUGUAAUGCUUUACUUUAUCACUAAAGGGUAGCGAUAGUCGUGGAAGCAUAAGAUUGGCGAGACGACAACAAUGCUAUGAUGAUGAUCAAGGUGUCGCGCCGGUGACGAUGGUGAUCACGACGGUGCUUCGAAGAUGGAGAUCACAAGCACAAGAUGAUGGCCAUAUCAUAUCACUUAUAUUGAUUGCAUGUGAUGUUUAUCUUUUAUGCAUCUUAUCUUGCUUUGAUUGACGGUAGCAUUUUAAGAUGAUCUCUCACCAAUUAUCAAGAAGUGUUCUCCCUGAGUAUGCACCGUUGCAAAAGUUCUUCAUGCUGAGACACCAUGUGAUGAUCGGGUGUGAUAGGCUCUACGUUCAAAUACAACGGGUGCAAAACAGUUGCACACGCGGAAUACUCAGGUUAUACUUGACGAGCCAAGCAUAUACAGAUAUGGCCUCGGAACAUGGAGACCGAAAGGUCGAGCGUGAAUCAUAUAGUAGAUAUGAUCAACAUAGUGAUGUUCACCAAUGAAACUACUCCAUCUCACGUGAUGAUCGGACAUGGUUUAGUUGAUUUGGAUCACGUGAUCACUUAGAGGAUUAGAGGGAUGUCUAUCUAAGUGGGAGUUCUUAAAGUAAUACGAUUAAUUCAACUUAAAUUUAUCAUGAACUUAGUCCUGGUAGUAUUUUUGUAAAUCAUGUUGUAGAUCAAUAGCUCGCGUUGUUGCUUCCCUGUGUUUAUUUUGAUAUGUUCCUAGAGAAAAUUGUUUUGAAAGAUGUUAGUAGCAAUGAUGCAGGAUUGGAUCCGUGAUCUAAGGUUUAUCCUCAUUGCUGCACAGAAGAAUUAUGUCCUUGAUGCACUGCUAGGUGACAGACCUAUUGCAGGAGCAGAUGCAGACGUUAUGAACGUUUGGCUAGCUCAAUAUGAUGACUGCUUGAUAGUUUAGUGCACCAUGCUUAACGGCUUAGAAUCGGGACUUCAAAGACGUUUUGAACGUCAUGGAACAUAUGAGAUGUUCCAGGAGUUGAAGUUAAUAUUUCAAGCAAAUACCCGAGUUGAGAGAUAUGAAGUUUCCAACAAGUUCUAUAGCUAAAAGAUGGAGGAGAAUCGCUCAACUAGUGAGCAUGUGCUCAGAUUGUCUGGGUACUACAAUUGCUUGAAUCAAGUGGGAGUUAAUCUUCCAGAUAAAAUAGUGAUUAACAGAAUUCUCUAGUCACCAUCACCAAGUUAGUAAAACUUCGUGAUGAACUAUGAUAUGCAAGGGAUAACGGAAAUGAUUCCCAAGCUCUUCGUAAUGCUUAAAUUGACGAAGGUAGAAAUCGAGAAAAACAUCAAGUGUUGAUGGUAGACAAGACCACUAGUUUCAAGAAAAGGGCAGAGGGAAGAAGGGGAACUUCAAGAAGAACAGCAAGCAAGUUGCUGCUCAAGUGAAGAAGCCCAAGUCUGGUCCUAAGCCUGAGACUAAGUGCUUCUACUGCAAAGGGACUGGUCACUGGAAGCGGAACUAUCCCAAGUGAUUGGCGGAUAAGAAGGAUGGCAAAGUGAACAUAAGUAUAUUUGAUAUACAUGUUAUUGAUGUGUACUUUACUAGUGUUUAUAGCAACCCCUUAGUAUUUGAUACUAGUUCAGUUGCUAAGAUUAGUAGCUCGAAACGGGAGUUGCAGAAUAAACAGAGACUAGUUAAGGGUGAAGUGACAAUGUGUGUUGGAAGUGGUUCCAAGAUUGAUAUGAUCAUCAUCGCACACUCCCUAUAAUUUCGGGAUUAGUGUUGAACCUAAAUAAGUGUUAUUUGGUGUUUGCGUUGAGCAUGAAUAUGAUUUGAUCAUGUUUAUUGUAAUACAGUUAUUCAUUUAAGUAAGAGAAUAAAUUGUUGUUCUGCUUACAUGAAUAAAACCUUAUAUGGUUACACACCCAAUGAAAAUGGUUCAUUGGAUCUUGAUCGUAGUGAUACACAUAUUCAUAAUAUUGAAACCAAAAAGAUGCAAAGUUAAUAAUGAUAGUGCAACUUAUUUGUGGAACUGCCAUUUAGGUCAUAUUGGUGUAAAGCGCAUGAAGAAACUCCAUGCUGAUGGGAUUUUGGAAUCACUUGAUUAUGAAUCACUUGGUGCUUGCGAACCAUGCCUUAUGGGCAAGAUGACUUAAGACUCCGUUCUCCGGAACAAUGGAGCGAGCAACAUAUUUGUUGGAAAUCAUACAUACUGAUGUAUGUGGUCCGAUGAAUAUUAAAGCUCGCGACAAGUAUCAUUAUUUUCUGACCUUCACGGAUGAUUUAAGCAGAUAUGAGUAUAUCUACUUGAUGAAACAUAAGUCUGAAAAGUUCAAAGUAUUUCAGAGUGAAGUAGAAAAUCAUCAUGACAAGAAAAUAAAGUUUCUACGAUUUGAUCAUAGAGACGAAUAUUUGAGUUACGAGUUUGGUCUUCAAUUAAAACAAUGUGGAAUAGUUUCACAAACUCAUGCCACCUGGAACACCACAGCAUAAUGGUGUGUCCGAACGUCAUAACCGUACUUUAUUGGAUAUAGUACAAUCUAUGAUGUUUCUUACCGAUUUACCAAUAUCGUUUUGGGAUCAUGCAUUAGAGACAGCUGCAUUCACGUUAAAAAAUGGGGCACCAUCUAAGUCCGUUGAGACGACACAAUCUGAACUGUGGUUUGGCAAGAAACCAAAGUUGUUGUUUUUUAAAGUAUGGGAUUGUGAUGCUUAUAUGAAAAAGUUUCAUCUUGAUAAGCUCAAACCCAAAUCGGAGAAAUAUGUCUUCAUAGGAUACCCAAAGGAGACUGUUGGGUACACCUUCUAUCACAGAUCCGAAGGCAAGACAUUCAUUGCUAAGAAUGGAUCCUUUCUAGAGAAGGAGUUUCUCUCGAAAGAAGUGAGUGGGAGGAAAGUAGAAAACUUGAUAAGGUAAUUGUACCUUCUCCCUUAUUGGAAAGUAGUUCAUCAUAGAAAUCUGUUCUUGUGACUACUACACCAAUUAGUGAGGAAGCUAAUGAUGAUGAUCAUGUAACUUCAGAUCAAGUUACUACCGAAUCUCGUAGGUAAACCAGAGUAAGAUCCGCACCAGAGUGGUACGGUAAUCCUGUUCUGGAAGUCAUGUUACUAGACCAUGACAAAUUUGCGAACUAUGAGGAAGCGAUGAUGAGCCCAGAUUCCGCGAAAUGGUUUGAGGCCAUGAAAUCUGAGAUAUGAUCCAUGUAUGAGAACAAAGUAUGGACUUUGAUGGAUUUGCCCGAUGAUCAGCAAGCCAUAGAAAAUAAAUGGAUCUUCAAGAGGAAGAUGGACGCUGAUAGUAGUGUUACUAUCUACAAAGCUAGACUUGUCGAAAAAGGUUUUUGACAAAGUUCAAGGUGUUGACUACGAUGAAAUUUUCUCACUCGUAGCGAUGCUUAAGUCUGUCCCAAUCAUGUUAGCAAUUGCCGCAUUUUUAUGAAAUCUGGCAAAUGGAUAAACAAAACUACAUUCCUUAAUGGAUUUAAAGAAGAGUUGUAUAUGAUGCAACCAGAAGUUUUGUCAAUCCUAAAGGUGCUAACAAAAUAUGCAAGCUCCAGCGAUCCAUCUAUGGACUGGUGCAAGCAUCUCGGAGUUGGAAUAUACGUUUUGAUAAGUUGAUCAAAGCAUAUAGUUUUAUACAGACUUGCGGUGAAGCCUGUAUUUACAAGAAAGUGAGUGGGAGCACUACAGCAUUUCUGAUAAGUAUAUGUGAAUGACAUAUUGUUGAUCGGAAAUAAUGUAGAAUUAUUCUGCAAAGCAUAAAGGAGUGUUUUGAAAGAAUUUUUUCAAAGAAAGACCUCGGUGAAGCUGCUUACAUAUUGAGCAUCAAGAUCUAUAGAGAUAGAUCAAGACGCUUGAUAAGUUUUUUCAAUGAGUACAUACCUUGACAAGAUUUUGAAGUAGUUCAAAAUGGAACCGUCAAAGAAAGAGUUCUUGCUUGUGUAACAAGGUGUGAAAUUGAGUAAGACUCAAAGCCCGACCACGGCAGAAGAUAGAAGGAGAAUGAAAGUCAUUCCCUAUGCCUCAAUCAUAGGUUCUAUAAAGUAUGCCAUGCUGUGUACCUAUUGUAUACCCUACACUGUUUUUGGCAAGGGAGUACAAUAGUGAUCUAGGAGUAGAUCACUGGACAGUGGUCAAAAUUAUCCUUAGUGGAAUAAGGAAAUAUUUCUCAAUUAUGGUGGUGACAAAAGGUUCGUUGUAAAGAGUUACGUUGAUGCAAGCUUUGACACAUAUCUGGAUGACUCUAAGUCUCGAUCUAGAUACAUAUUGAAAGUGGGAGCAAUUAGCUAGAGUAGCUCCAUGCAGAGCAUUGUUGACAUAGAUAUUUGCAAAAUACUUACGGAUCUGAAUAUGAUAGACCCGUUGACUAAAAUUAUCUCACAAGCAAAACAUGAUCACACCUUAGUACUCUUUGGGUGUUAAUCACAUAGCGAUGUGAACUAGAUUACUGACUCUAGUAAACCUUUUGGGUGUUGGUCACAUAUCAAUGUGAACUAUGGGUGUUAAUCACAUAAAGAUGUGAACUAUUGAUGUUAGAUCACAUGGCAAUGUGAACUAGAUUAUUGACUCUAGUGCAAGUGGGAGACUGAAGGAAAUAUGCCCUAGAGGCAAUAAUAAAGUUAUUAUUUAUUUCCUUAUUUCAUGAUAAAUGUUUAUUAUUCAUGCUAGAAUUGUAUUAUCCGGAAACAUAAUACUUGUGUGAAUACAUAGACAAACUAAACGUCACUAGUAUGCCUCUACUUGACUAGCUCGUUAAUCAAAGAUGGUUAUGUUUCCUAACCAUAGACAUGUGUUGUCAUUUGAUUAACGGGAUCACAUUAUUAGGAGAAUGAUGUGAUUGACAUGACCCAUUCCAUUAGCUUAGCACCCGAUCGUUUAGUAUGUUGCUAUUGCUUUCUUCAUGACUUAUACAUGUUCCUAUGACUAUGAGAUUAUGCAACUCCCGUUUGCCGGAGGAACACUUUUGUGCUACCAAACGUCACAACGUAACUGGGUGAUUAUAAAGGAGCUCUACAGGUGUCUCCAAAGGUAAAUGUUGGGUUGGCGUAUUUCGAGAUUAGGAUUUGUCACUCCGAUUGUCGGAGAGGUAUCUCUGGGCCCUCUCGGUAAUGCACAUCACAUAAGCCUUGCAAGCAUUGCAACUAAUGAGUUAGUUGCGAGAUGAUGUAUUACGAAACGAGUAAAGAGACUUGCCGGUAACGAGAUUGAACUAGGUAUUGAGAUACCGACGAUCGAAUCUCGGGCAAGUAACAUACCGAUGACAAAGGGAACAACGUAUGUUGUUAUGCGGUCUGACCGAUAAAGAUCUUCGUAGAAUAUAUGGGAGCCAAUAUGAGCAUCCAGGUUCCGCUAUUGGUUAUUGACCGGAGACGUGUCUCGGUCAUGUCUACAUUGUUCUCGAACCCGUAGGGUCUGCACGCUUAAGGUUUCGAUGACAGUUAUAUUAUGAGUUUAUGAGUUUUGAUGUACCAAAGGAGUUCGGAGUCCCGGAUGAGAUCGGGGACAUGACGAGGAGUCUCAAAAUGGUCGAGAUGUAAAGAUCGAUAUAUUGGACGACUAUAUUCGGACAUCGGAAAGGUUCUGAGUGAUUUGGGUAUUUUCGGAGGUAUCGGGGAGUUACGGAAAUACGAGGAGGAAGCAAUGGGCCUUAAUGGGCCUUAGUGGGAAGGACCGGGAGGUGGCGCGCGCCCCUCCCAAGCCCAGUCCGAAUUGGACAAUGGGUUUGGGGCGCGGCCCCUCUCUCCCUUCCUUCCCCUCUUCCCCCCCUUUCCCCCUUCUCCUAAUUGGACUAGGAAAGGAGGAAACCUACUCCAACUAGGAGUAGGAAUCCUACUCCCUAGCGCGCCCCUCCUAGGGCCAGCCUCCUCCCCCUUGCUCCUUUAUAUACGGGGGUAGGGGGGCACCUCUACACACACAAGUUGAUCCUCGUGAUCGUUUUCUUAGCCGUGUGCGGUGCCCCCUUCCACCAUAUACCUCGAUAAUAUUGUAGUGGUGCUUAGGCGAAGCCCUGCGACAGUUGAACAUCAAGAUCGUCACCACGCCGUCGUGCUGACGGAACUCUUCCCCGACACUUUGCUGGACCGGAGUCUGGGGAUCGUCAUCGAGCUAAACGUGUGCUAAAACUCGGAGGUGCCGUAGUUUUGGUGCUUGAUCGGUCGGGCCGUGAAGACGUACGACUACAUCAACCGCGUUGUGCUAACGCUUCCACUAUCGGUCUACAAGGGUACGUAGAUCACACUCUCCCCUCUCGUUGCUAUGCAUCACCAUGAUCUUGCGUGUGCGUAGGAAUUUUUUUUAAAUUACUACGUUCCCCAACAAAACUCUCUCUCUCUCACACCUGAGGAAGGCAAAGAGAGGGUGAGAAAAGUGUACGUGAACUGAUUCCCCCAGAGCUUCCUAAUGAGGAUUCCCUCUUGAUAGUACGGGUACUCUACGACCAAAGAAAAUAAAAGCGUAGAGGACACGUCUUCGAUCUUUUCCUUCGAGAGGCAAUAGCAAUCCGAUGUAAGCCUAAGCGUCGAGAACUUGAAACAUAUAGCACACAAUUAGACCACAAAGGGUUGUCAUCAUCAUCCAAAACAUAAAGUAGGGAAAUGCCCUUUCAAUCUCCCCCUUUUUGGUGAAUGAUGACAACAACACGAUUUGCAAGAGAUAAGUCAAUGAAAUCUAGACGGAACUCCCCCCGAAUGUGUGCCCCAAUAAGUACUAGCUAUUAGAAAGCAUGGGGACACUUUCAGGACUAGACUCCCCCUAGAUUUUAUAGACUCAUCACUCUGAGCUCAAAAGGAUAGACAAUAUAAUACUUAGAGGCAAUAAUAAUGAUAAUGACCUACGAACGGAAAGGUAAACGGAGUAACAAGUCUCACACACAGCACGGAACGAAACAAGUCCACAAACAAACACAAAACACGAGAACAAGAGAAAAACCCAAGCAAAUCCCCGAGACCUAUAGAACCCUCUCCCCCUUUGGCAUCAAGACACCAAAAAGGAAAAGAGCAAAGCUAGCGACCCAAAGCUCAGGCGUCCUCCUCUGACUCCUCGGUCGCAUCUGGAUCUUCAUCAUCAGAGUCAUGAUCGUUAUCGUGAUCAGAUUCUUCCAUGGCAUUGUCAGCUGCUGCAAACGAGGAUGAUGGCUGGGGAGGGGCUUCAUCAUCAGUCCAGGUGCUAUGGGUAGAGAUCCAACGCUCCUCUGGGGUGAUGCUCUUCUCAGAGCCACUCUGAACCUGCAUGUUGAGGUGCUUCAUCAUUGCAAUUUGGCAACACCGUGCAAGCUUCUCAUUGACAUGUGCCUCAUACAUCUUCUUCUGGAUGUCAGCCUGGAGAAAAAAGGUCUUCUUCACCUUGGCAGUAAGUUUGGCCACCCACGAAGGCUUGGCCCCUGGCUCCAGCUCAAAGUCCUCAUCGUCAGAAGUAGCAUAGACAUCCUCAGGAGCAUGUUCAGGGAAGCGAGGCUCGGCAUGCUUCUUCUUCUUAAGGAGCUUGACCUCAUGAACAGUGAGGUUGUCUGGAGAAGUGAGGAGCUCUCCAGGACGACGAACAGCCCACACAGAGUUCAGAAAGCACAUGACAAACGGAGCGUAGAUUGGGACUUUACGGUAGAUGACCAUGUUGUACAUCUCAUGCCACAGCCAAUUUGACACAUCAAACGUUGCCCCUGUCCCCACCAUGGUCUUCAUAGCAACCAUCAAAUCAACCAGAUAGCCAUGAAUCUCAUCUUGAUUGCCCACCUUGGGCAAGAGCACAUUGCGGAACACUUGAUGCAUGAUGUCAUAGUCCUUCUCCAAAUCCUUGGAUUCUCCAACAAUCCCACGGCCCCGAAUGUACAGAGGGGCAAGCUUCUCCUUAGGCAUGGACUCAGGAAAAUCAUGAGGGCGAAUGCCACCCCUUCCUUCCAGACCGGUAUCCUCGUACCCAAUAGCAUUGCAGAAAGCCCUCCAGGGAACGUGAAACAAUUCAUCGCGACACAUGAAGGUGAGAGUGCGCGCAUCAUCUUCCCCAAAAUGAACCGUGGCAUAGAACUGAUGGAUAAGUUGAACAUCAAAGUCACAGUUGACUGACAUGAUCUUGACAAGAUCAAACUCCUCGCAUAGAGCUAGCGCCUCACCAAAAUACUCCAUGUUGUUUCUCCAAUGAUCAAAAUCAAUUGUCCACUGCUUGGCAUAUCUGUUCUUGUUGUGCUCAAAGAGUUCAUGAACAAUCCGCACUUGCAUCUCAUUCCGGAACUGAACAGUGGUCCAACGGGGAGCAAUGGGAACCUCAUACGGAUUCUUUGAGCAGAAGGCUUCCCAAUCGUUGGAUUUCCAACGAUGCAACGGCAUAACCACAUGUUACUUAGCAGCUGCAGACUUUUCACGGCGAGUGGGCUUGGUGGGAAUCACAACUUCUUCUUCUUCAUCAGACACAACCGGGCGCAAGGUCCUUUGUGCCCUCUUCUUGGUCUUGCGAGGAGCAGAGCGAGAACUAGAGCCACCUGAACACACACACGAAAAGAACACACAAAAACCCAACAAGGAUGAGAGGAUUGCACCCACUAGCAGAAAAGGAACAAGUUGCAACAACAGAGAAGAUAGAAUAGUGCUUAGUGGUUGAUAUACUCCGGUUGUACCGGAUCUUCCGCCGGUAGUACCGCUCCAGCGGUUGUACCGCCCGUAGGGGCGGUAGAACCGCUAACAGUGGCACUACCAGGGAAGAUAGAUCUAACCGAGGCAUAUGAAUCACACAAGUAAUAUUCCGAAUUCUAAGUGCUGCAAACAAGACAUGAGGCUAACAAAGAACUCUUCUAAGCCAUAGAUCGAACACUAAACGCGGAAAGAUGAGUAAAGCCCUAGACAAGGAAGAACCCUAAAAAAAUCUAGAGGCAAAGAACACGAGGCAUUACCACCAUCCAUGGGAAGAGAUCGGGAGGCCUCCACGGAGAGAAUCCACGAAGAGCCAAGGAUCCGAAGCACGAGACGCACUCCGGGGCAGGGGUAGAGAUGGCCGACAGCUAGGGCAAAAAAAGAAGAGGAACAAGGACGAAGGGAAAAAGACAACCCUUCAGCCCCGUCGAGUAUAUAUAGGCCCGUACACAUGCCCCGGUAGAACCGCUUAGGGGAGCGGUUGUACCGCUCGUCUGGUACAGACCGGUGGAUGGAGGCGGUACUUCCGGUGCCUGGGAGGCAGCGGUAGUACCGCACCGCAUCAACCGGUAGUACCGGACGUGGGUUACCAUGGGUUUGUGCGGUGGAACCGCCCAAGCACCGAACGGAGACCCUUGGGACGGCACAACCCGGUACCAGCGGUAGAACCGCUCGUGGUACCGAUUGUACUACCCGACCACCUAAGCCCAAGCCAAGAUCAAAUGAGUGCAAUCCUAAGGGAGGAAGAAGGGGCACAAAACAGGAGAGAAACAACACCCUAGGAGAACCUAACACAAAGAGCAAAGACAGAAAGAGAGAAAACAACACGAGAACAACAAGGCUAACUCCAACCUCCCGAAGAGAGGACGGUGGCCGAGGCCACCUAUGUUUGAGUCAAUUGGUAUGGCACCGCGAAGAAUUAUCCUUGGGUCCAUGACCAAAACUCGUCUUUGAAGCACAAGUACCAUCAAAUAUGGCUAAUGUGAAAGACACGAUCAAUUUAUGCAUAAUGGGGGGAGGGAGAGUUCAUUGAGAGAACAACACUCCCCCUAUGUCCAUGCCUACACCUAAACUAGACAACAAAUUGAGCGUGGUAGGGUGUGCAAGGGUUCAAGCCACAUUGCUCGAAUCAAUGAUAUUUAGCUCAUGCCUUAACUCGCGAAAUCUUGCUUCAUCCAAGGGCUUCGUGAAAAUAUCUGCAAGGUUGUCAUGAGUGUUGACAUAGUUGAGCUCGAUCUCUCCUCGUCUAAUGUGAUCCCGGAUGAAGUGAUACCGGAUCUCAAUAUGCUUUGUCUUGAAAUGUUGCACCGGAUUGAGAGAGAUCUUGAUGGCACUUUCAUUGUCACAGCAAAGAGGCACUUUGUCACAAGUGACACCGUAAUCCUUUAAAGUUUGCCUCAUCCAUAGGAGUUGAGCACAACAACUACCGGCGGCAACAUACUCCGCCUCAGUGGACGAGAGAGACACACAUCUUUGCUUUUUGGAAGACCAACUUACCAAAGAGCAACCAAGGAAUUGGCACCCUCCGGAAGUGGACUUCCUAUCCACUUUGUCUCCCGCCCAAUCGGAAUCCGAGUACCCUACAAGCUUGAAGUUUGAUCCUCUGGGGUACCAUAGGCCAAAGUUUGGGGUAUGAGCCAAAUAUCGAAAGAUUCAUUUGACCGCCACAUAGUGACUUUCCUUAGGUGCGGCUUGAAACCAUGCACAAAUUCCCACACUCAACAUGAUGUCCGUUCUAGAUGCACAAAGGUAAAGCAAGGAUCCAAUCAUGGAACGAUAUACCUUUUGAUCCACCACUUUACCAUUGGGAUCUAAGUCAAGUUGGCACUUGGUGGGCAUUGGAGUGGAAGCCGGCUUGACGUCACUUAGCUUGAAUCUCUUGAGCAUGUCUUGAGUGUAUUUUGAUUGAUUGAUGAAGGUUCCUUCUCUUCUUUGCUUCACUUUGAACCCUAGAAAGAACUUCAACUCUCCCAUGGAGGACAUCUCGAACUUUAAGGUCAUGAGAGCGGCAAAUUCCUCAUUGAAAGCUUUGUUAGGAGAACCAAAGAUAAUAUCAUCAACAUAUAAUUGGCACACAAACAACUCCCCUUUGACCUUCUUAGUAAAAAGAGUGGGGUCGAUUAGCCCAACUUCAAAACCACGGUCUUGUAACAACUCGGUAAGGUGGUCAUACCACGCACGUGGGGCUUGUUUAAGGCCAUAGAGCGCCUUAUCGAGUUGAUACACAUGAUCGGGAAAGUAGGGAUCCUCGAACCCGGGGGGUUACUUGACGUAAACCAAUUCAUUAAUGGGACCAUUAAGAAAAGCACUCUUCACAUCCAUUUGUUGUAACUUAAAGUUAUGAUGAGAAGCAUAUGCAAUCAACAUGCGAAUGGAUUCAAGACGAGCAACGGGAGCAAAGGUUUCACCAUAGUCGAUACCCUCGACUUGGGAGUAGCCUUGUGCUACCAAACGAGCCUUGUUGCGAAUGAUAAUCCCAUGGGCAUCUUGCUUGUUCUUGAAUAUCCACUUGGUUCCAAUGACAUUGUGGUUCCCCGUUGGCCUUGGCACCAAUCUCCACACUUUGUUGCGCUCGAAGUUGUUGAGUUCUUCGUGCAUGGCAUUGAGCCAAUCCGGAUCUUCUAGCGCCUCAUAGACCUUGUGGGGUUCCACACAAGAGACAAACACGUGAUGCUCACAAUAAUUUGCUAAUUGUCUACGAGUGCUUACCCCCUUUCUUAAGCUUCCAAGCACAUUCGUCAUGAGAUGAUCCUUGGUGGAGAGCUUGGAUGCAAUCUUGGCGGCACGACGCUCUAAUUCCUCCUCGGUGGUGAGUUGAGGAGCGGUUACUUGAUCAUCUUGAGCGCCGUCAUGAACUUGUUCUUGAUCUUGAACUUGCUCGGGGGAGAGAACUUGACCUUGGGCAUCACUUGGUGUGUCAACACCGUCUUGAGUAUGAUCUUGCCCUUGGUCUUGUUCAUGAGGUUGAGGGCCUUCACUUUGUUCUUCGGAAGCGUGUGGGCCUUGGGUUGGUGAUGGCUCCACUUGAGUGGAGCAUUGUCCUUCUCCUUCGGCCACAAGGGGUUCCUCAAUGGGUAGGAUAAAACCAACACCCAUUCUUCUUAUGGCUUGAGGAGGAAUUUCAUCACCUACAUCACAAGUGCCACUUUGCUCCACUUGGGAGCCGUUAUUCUCAUCAAACUCCACGUUACACGUCUCCUCAAUAAGUCCCAUGGAUUUAUUGAGGACACGGUAAGCAUGAGAGUUUGUAGCAUAACCAACAAAUAUGCCCCUAUGAGCUCUAGCCUCAAAUUUAGACAACCAAACACCUUUCUUGAGAAUGAAACACUUACACCCGAAUACCCGGAAGUACUUGAGGUUGGUCUUGUUACCGGUGAGUAUCUCAUAUGGAGUCUUGUUCAAGCCCUUGCGGAGGUAGAGCCGAUUGGAUGCAUGACACGCGGUGUUGAUGGCUUCGGCCCAAAAGUUGUACGGAGACUUGAACUCCGCCAUCAUGGUCCUUGCCGCAUCCAUCAACGUCCGGUUCUUCCUCUCCGCAACACUGUUUUGUUGAGGGGUGUAUGGUGCGGAAUAUUGAUGCUUGAUUCCCUCAUCACUAAGAAAUUCAUCCAAGGUGUAGUUCUUGAACUCGGUGCCGUUGUCACUUCUUAUUGUCAAGAUCUUUGCAUUGUGUUGACGCUGUGCUUCAUUUGCAAAGUCAAUGACGGUUUGUUGGGUCUUGCUCUUCCUCUUGAAGAAAUACACCCACGUGUACCUUGAGUAGUCAUCCACAAUCACCAAGCAAUACUUCCUACCUCCAAGACUAUCGAAGGAUGGAGGCCCAAAGAGAUCCAUGUGAAGGAGCUCCAAAGGCCUCUUUGAAUAAAUGAUAGUCGUGGGAGGGUGAGCCUUCUCAUGUAGCUUUCCUUCGAUACAGGCACUGCAAGCAUGAUCUUUAGCAAAACUAACAUUCGUUAGUCCACGGACAUGGUCCCCCUUGAGGAGACUUUGCAAAGAUUUCAUAUUGACAUGGGCUAAACGGCGAUGCCAAAGCCAUCCCACAUCAACUUUAGCCAUUAGGCAUGUCGCGGUCUUAGUGGGUCGCUCCGAAAAGUUAAUCACAUAUAGACCGUUCUCGACAUGCCCAACAAAGGCUACUUUAAGAGUCUUGCUCCACAAGAGGGCCACGGUAUCGAUAUCAAAGAAAGUGGCAAAGCCCAUGAUUGCAAGUUGACGAACGGAAAGUAAAUUGUAUGCAAGGGACUCAACAAGCAUGACCUUCUCUAUCGUGAGAUCAUGAGAGAUGACCACCUUGCCAAGUCCCAAUACCUUAGAAGAUGAGGCGUCACCCCACUCGACAUUGGUGGGCAUAGAUGGAACCUUGUGCACGUCCACCACCAAGUCCUUGCUUCCGGUCAUAUGAUUUGUAGCUCCGCUAUCGAGCAACCAUGAUCCACCACCGGAAGCAAACACCUACAAGAGAUCAAUGCUUGGUUUUAGGUACCCAUUUUGUAAUGGGUCCUUUGAUGUUAGUAACAAGGGUCUUAGGAACCCAAAUAGACCAUUCAAUGUAUUCAUGAAGAGAACCAACAAAUUUGGCAUAAACAUGCCCAUCACUAGCAUGGCAUAACACAUAAGAAGGAUUAAAAUCGCCGACUUUGUUGGGAGGGGUGACAUUGCCCUUCUUGACAUUGUUCUUCUUCUUCUCCUCGGGGGCACUCUCUCCCUCCCUCAAAAAGGUUUGCAUGAGAGGAGGAGGUCAUUUGGUCUUGUCAUUCUUCUUCUUGUUCUUGGAGUCGGGCACGUACCCAACCCCUUCCUUGGCCACAACUCCCUUUUGGUUGAUCAAGAGAUCGUUGAGGUUCUUCUUGCCUUGUAUGCAAGUCGCAAGACCUCUCUCAAGUUGCUCCUUCAACUUAGCAUUUUCCUCAACAAGAUGUAUAUGCUCACAACACGGGUUAGUAGCAUUUGCAUUAUCAAUUAAAACCAUAUGAGGAAAAGUUGCUUUCUCCUUAGUUAGCUUCACUUGGAGUUGAUCAUGAGACUCCUUGAGAGUAGUGUGAAUACCCUUCAAGGCCUUGUGGGCCUUGUCAAGUAUAUCAAACUCCUCUUUGAGUCUAGCAAGAUCAACCCCAAGUUUGGCCUUCUCGGAAUUUAGCACACGAGAAACAAUGAGGACAUGAUCAUAAUCUUUCUUUAACUUAGCAUGAUCAACGUUGUGUGACUCCUCAAGAGCCAAACGAAGACCACGCUCUUCCUCAAGAGCAUUGGAAAGAUCCGAGAUCUCAUCGGCAUAGUCACGACUAUGCCCUUCCAUCUUAGAGAUGGUGUCCUCGUAAGCCUCGACCAUGUCAUUGGCUUCACCAAGUUGUUCCAAGAGAGCAACAAAGUGCUUCUUGGAUUUUCCCUUGAGUUUGCCCAUAAAGGCCUCAAACUCGUUAGCCUCCACAUUAGCUCCCUCAAGUUCAUUAAUGCAAUCCGUCAGGGAAGGAUGAUUAAUGAUGGUAGUUUUGAUGUUGGAGGUUACCUUGUUGGUGGCUUUAGCCAUGAGGCACUUGGCGGUGAUGCUCUCGUUGGGUGAGUCGAAGAGAGACACCCGUGACGUUGUUGCAAUGGCAACGGAGGCCAUGGCAACCGACUCAUCAUCUUCAUCAUCGUCAUCAUCCUCAUUGUACUCUUCUUGCACAACCAAAGCCUUGGGAGGAGUCUUCUUGGAGAAGUUGUUCUUGUUGGGGAACGACUUGGCCUUAUCCUUUCAGAUGAGCUUGCCACCAUUGUCUUCCCUCUUCUCAUACGGGCAUUCUGCAAGGAAAUGACUCACGUUGCCGCAAUUGUAGCAAGUCCUUACACGUUGCUUGCCCCUUGUACCACUCGAGUUGUUUUUGCUAAAGUUUGGCCUCGAGUUUUUCUUGCUCCAAAAUUGCCUUGAAGCAAGUGCCAUGUGUUCAUGAUACUUCGUAUCUUCGGGGUUGCUCUCCUCUUCUUCCUCUUCUUCGUCUUCCACGAUGAUCUUGGCCUUCAAUGCAAGGUUAGGCUUCUUUGCCCGUUGAGAACGGAGCACCGCAUUGUCGGCGGUCUUGUCCAAAAUGUUCAUGGCCACAAACUCAUCCAACACUUCGCUUGAGGUCAAAGUGUGGAAGUCCGGUCUUUGACGAAUGACGGAGGACAUGGCCUUGUGAUAGGGCAUCAUUGCCUUGAGGAAUUUGCGCUUGAUCCAAUUGUCAUCCGUGUCCUUGCUCCCGUGAUCUCGUAGUGAGACCGCGAGUUUGGUUACUCUCCGAUAGAGCUCAUGAGGUUCUUCAUCUUCCUUCAUUGCAAACUCAUCGGCCUCAUCUUGUACCACUUCAUAGUUGGAGCAUUGAAUGCUUGCGCUUCCCUGGUAGAGAGACACGACACAAUGCCAUGCAACUUUGGCCAAGGCGAAAGGACGAAGAUGAGGUAGGUCUUUGGGUGGAAUUGCAUCUUGAAUGAUGAAGAGAGCAUUCUCAUUGAAUUGAUUGUCCGUGGCUUCUCGAGGAGUGAAGUUGCUUGGAUCAUGUGGAUAGAAACCUUCUUCAAUGAUUCUCCAAAGGUUAGUGUUCACAUGAUUUAAAUGACGUUUAAAGCGGUGAACCCAAGAAUCAAAAUCCUCAUUUUUCACAAUCUUAGGGGGAGGACCGGCAUGAUUCAAAUGAGUGGAAGGAACCGGUCCACCAUAAACAAGUGGUGGUUCCACAUGGGCAAAGAUGCCGGUGCCAUUCUUGCCACUAGAAGAAGGAGCCUUUUCACUACUAGCUUCCCCCUUGUCGGGGAUAGCAUCCGUCACCUUGUUGGCGGGAUCACCCACUUUCAACGGUGCGGUGGAUAGUUUAAGCCCCUCAAGAAAUUUAGUAAACAUGCUUUCGACUUCGGUCGUCAUGGAGGUUUUCAAUGUCUCCAAGGCCACAUUGAACUCCUCACGAGAGACCGAAGUUCCCCCAUCUCCCGUAGACGAGAUCGGAUUCACACCAGAGUGUUCCUCCACACCGUCUAUGGUAUCAACCAUACUCUUUGGACGGUAAAGUCCUUAAUAACGAGACGAGGCUCUGAUACCAAUUGAAAGGAUCAAUAUGGUUGACUAGAGGGGGGGUGAAUAGGCAACUAGCAAUUUUUAGCUUUUCUUUAACAAUUUAAACUUUGCAUCAAAGUAGGUUGUCUAGAUAUGCAACUAGGUGAGCAACCUAUAUGAUGCAACGAGGAUAGGUACACAAGCAAGCAAGAGAUAUGAAACAAGUAAGCUUGCUCAAAUAAAGGCACGAGAUAACCAAGAGUGGAGACGGUGGAGACGAUGAUGUGUUGCCGAAGUUCCUUCCCUUUGAGAGGAAGUACAUCUCUGUUGGAGCGGUGUGGAGGCACAAUGCUCCCCAAGAAGCCAAUAGGGCCACCGUAUUCUCCUCACGCCCUCACACAAUGCAAGAUGCCGUGAUUCCACUAUUGGUGCCCUUGAAGGCGGCGACCGAACCUUUACAAACAAGGUUGGGGCUCUCUCCACAACUUAAUUGGAGGCUCCCAACAAAAACCACGAAGCUUCGCCACAAUGGAAUAUGGCUCCGAGGUGACCUCAACCGUCUAGGGUGCUCAAACACCCAAGAGUAACAAAAUCCACACAAGAAAGUAUGGGGAAAGCAAAUAUCCUUUGGUGGAAGUGUAGAUCUAGGUCUCCUCCUUCAAUCCCUAGCAAAUCAACAAGUUUGAGUGGCUAGAGAGAGAGAUCGGGCAAGAGAGCUUGAAGGGCAAUAAUGGUGGAGUGAGAGAGGUCAAAGGUGGGAGUGGUAGGUGGGAGAAGCUCCCUUAAAUAGUCACCCACAUUUCCAACCGUUACUACGUUUUUUGCACUUCAGCGGUACAACCGGUCCUCGUCCCGGUACAACCGGGACUCACGGUGUAACUGCAGAACCCUACCAAGCGGUACAACCGGAUAGGCGGGCGGUAGUACCGUCUAAGAAAAAUAACCGGACUAACCGCCUGGCUACCGCACAACCACCGCAUCAAAACAUGAGCUUGACCGGUACUUGGGCGGUGCCUGGCUGGAACAACCGCAUGGCCUUGAGCUCUUGGGCGGCUAAGUUCUGAGCGGAAGAACCGCUCGGACCACCCGUGGUACCGGUCAUCGUAGAACGACCGGACCAACCGGGCCACUACCGCCCAAGAACCGCAUCAAACCAGAAGCGAGAGCGGUACUUGAGCGGUGCAUGGACGGAACCACCGCCCUAGCUAUUGCAGAGUAUGGUGGCGGUACCACCUCCCGGAGGCAGCGGUACAACCGCUCGAGCAAAGCUGGUGAGCGACAAGACCCAGUGGUACAACCGCUCCAGAGAGCGGUACAACCGCUGGGCAGAAACAAUGAGCAGGAAAGAGGGGAAGAGGCAAGGAAAACUCUCUCUCUCACACACACCUGAGGAAGGCAAAGAGAGGGUGAGAAAAGUGUACGUGAACUGAUUCCCCCAGAGCUUCCUAAUGAGGAUUCCCUCUUGAUAGUACGGGUACUCUACGACCAAAGAAAAUAAAAGCGUAGAGGACAUGUCUUCGAUCUUUUCCUUCGAGAGGCAAUAGCAAUCCGAUGUAAGCCUAAGCAUUGAGAACCUGAAACAUAUAGCACACUAUUAGACCACAAAGGGUUGUCAUCAUCAUCCAAAACAUAAAGUAGGGAAAUGCCCUUUCAAUGAUGAUGGAGAUCAUGGUGUCAUGCCAGUGACAACGAUGAUCAUGGAAGACCGAAAGGUCGAACAUGAGUCGUAUAGAAGAUACGAUCAACAUGAGAUGUUCACCGUUGAUGACUAGUCCGUCUCACGUGAUGAUCAGACACGGCCUAGUCGAUUCGGAUCAUGUUUCACUUAGAUGACUAGAGGGAUGUCUAUCUAAGUGGGAGUUCAUUAAAUUAAUUUGAUUAGAUGAACUCAAUUAUCAUGAACAUAGUCUAAAUUGUCUUCGCAAAUAUGUUGUAGAUAAAUAGCUCACGUUGUAGCUCCCUGUUUCAAUACGUUCCUAGAGAAAGACUAAGUUGAAAGAUAUUGUAAGCAAUGAUGCGGACUGGGUCCGUAGUCCGAGGAGUGUCCUCACUACUACACAGAAGGCUUACGUCUUUGAUGCACCGCUCGAUGUGCAAACCCCUACAACGUCGUCUGUGGAUGUUGUGAACACCUGACAGACACGUCCUGAUGACUACUUGAUAGUUUAGUGCACCAUACUUUACGGCUUAGAAUCGGGAUUCCAAUGACGUUUUAAACGCCAUAGAACAUAUGAGAUGUUCCAAGAGCUGAAAUUGAGAUUUCAGGCUCAUGCCCGUGUUGAGAGGUGUGAGACCUCUGACAAGUUCUUUAGCCAACAAGAUGGAGGAGAAUAGCUCAGCUAGUGAGCAUGUGCUCAGAAUGUCUGGGUGCUACAAUCACUUAAAUCAAGUGGGAGUUAAACUUCCAGAUAAGAUAGUGAUUGAUAGAGUUCUCUAGCCACUAUCACUAAGCUACUAGAUCUUCGUGAUGAACUAUGACAUGCAAGGGAUGGAAUUGAUCCCGGAGCUGUUCGCGGUGCUUAAGACCGCAAAAGGUAGAAAUCAAGAAGGAGCAUCAAGUGUUGAUGGUUUAACAAGACCACUGGUUUCAAGAAGGGCAAUGGCUAGAAGGGAAACUUCAUGGAUGGCAAACCAGUUGCCGCUCCAGUGAAGGAACCCAAGGUUGAACCCAAACCCGAGACUAAGUGCUUCUAUUGUAAGGGGAAUGGGCACUGGUAGCGGAAUUACCCCAAAUGCAUGGUAGAUAAGAAGGCUGGAAACUUCAACAAAGUAUAUACGUGUUAUUAAUGUGUACCUCCCUAGUACUACUGGUAGCACCUGGGUAUUGGAUACCGGUUUAGUUGCUAUUACUGGUGACUUGAAGCAAAAGCUACGGACUAAACGGAGACUGGCUAAGGGUGAGGUGACGAUGUGUGUUGGCAGUGUUUCCAAAGUUGAUGAGAUCACCAUCGCACGCUCCAUCUGCCUUCGGGAUCAGUAUUGAACCUAGAUAAAUGUUAUCAGGUGUCUACGUUGAGCAUGAAUAUGAUUAGAUCAUGUUUAUUGCAAUACGGUUAUUCAUUUAAGUUAGAGAAUAAUGGUUAUUCUGUUUACAUGAAUAAUACCUUCCAUGGUCAUGCACCCUAUGUGAAUGGUUCAGUGAAUCUCGGUCGUAGUAAUACACAUGUUCACGCCAAAAUACGUAGAUAGUACCACUUUCUUGUGGCACUGCCGCUUAGGUCAUAUUGGCGUAAGAUGCAUGAAGAAACUCCAUGUCGAUGGAUGUUUGCAGUCACUUGAUUUUGAAUCGCUUGACACAUGCGAGCCAUGCCUCAUGGGCAGGAUGACUAAGACCCCGUUUUCAGGUACAAUGAAACGGGCAAGUGACUCGUUGGAAAUCAUACAUGCUGAUGCGUGUGAUCCAAUGAGAAUUGAAGCAUGCGGUGGAUAUCGCUAUUUUCUUAUCUUCACUGACGAUUUGAGUAGAUAUAGGUAUAUUUACUUAAUGAAGCACAAGUCUGAAACGUUUGAAAAGUUCAAGCGAUUUCAGAGUGAAGUUAAGAAUCAUCAUAACAAUAAGAUCAUGUUCCUAUGAUCUGAUCAAAAAGGGGAUUUUCUGAGUUAUGAGUUUGGCAAUCACUUACGACAUUGUGGAAUUGUUUCACAGUUGAAGCCACCUGGAACACCACAAGGUAAUGGUGUGUCCGGACGUCAUAAUCAAACCCUAUGAGAUAUGGCGCGAUCUAUGAUGUCUCUUACCAAUCUACCGUUUUCAUUUUGAGGUUAUGCGUUAGAGACAGUUGCAUUCACUUUAGAUAGGACACCAUUUAAGUCUGUUGAGACGAUGCCGUAUGAACAUUGGUUUGGCAAGAAACCAAAGUUGUCGUUUCUUAAUGUUUGGGGCUGCGAUGCUUAAGGCUUCAGCCGGAGAAGCUCGAACCCAAAGUGGACAAACACAUCUUCAUAGGAUACCCAAAGGUGACAGGUGGGUAUACCUUCUAUCUCAGAUCCAAGUGCAAGUCGUUUGUCGCUAAGAACGGGUCCUUUCUCGAGAAGGAGUUUCUCUCAAAAGAAUUGAGUGGGAGGAAGAUAGAACUUGAUGAGGUUGUCGAACCUUUACUUUAACCAGAGAGUGAUGCGACACAGAAAGAUGUUUUUUGUGGCGCCUACGUCUGAUGAAGAGGAAGUUAAUGAUAGUGAUCAUGAAGCUUUGGAUCAAGUUGCUAUCAAACCUCAUAGGUCGACAAGGAUAUGUACUACUCGUGAGUGGUACGAUAAUCCUGUCUUAAAUAUCAUGUUGUUAGACAACAAUGAACCUACGACCUAUGGAGAAGCGAUGGUGGGCCCGUAUUCCGACAAAUGGUUAGAAGCCAUGAAAUCCGAGAUAGGAUCCAUAUAUCAGAACAAAGUAUGGACUUUGGUGGACUUGCCCGAUGAUCGGCAAGCCAUUGAGAUAAAUGGAUCUUUAAGAAGAAGACGGGCAUGGGCGGUAAUGUUACCGUCUAUGAAGCUCGACUUGUGGGAAAGAGUCUUUUCACAAGUACAAGGAGUUGACUACGAUGAGAAUUUCUCACCCAUAGCGAUGCUUAAGUCCGUCGGAAUCAUGUUUGCAUUAGUUGUAUUUUUCGAUUUUGAAAUCUGACAGAUGGAUGUCAAAAACAAGUUUUCUUACCAGUUUUUGUAAGAAAGAGUUGUAUGUGAUACAAUCAAAGUUUUGUCGAUCCUAAGGAUGCUAAAAGGUAUGCUAGCUCCAGCGAUCCUUCUAUGGACUAGAGCAAGCAUCUCGGAAUCGGAAUAUAUGUUUUGAUGGAGUGAUCAAAGCUUUUAGGUUUAUGCAAUGUUUGCUAGAAACUUGUAUUUACAAGAAAGUGAGUGGGAGCACUACAACAUUUCUGAUAAGUAUAUGUGGAUGACAUAUUUUGAUCCGAAAUAAUGUAGAAUUUCUGGAAAGCAUAAACGGGUGUUUGAAGAGUGUUUUUCAAAGGAAGACCUGGAUAAAGUUGCUUACAUAUUGGGCAUCAAGAUCUAUAGAGAUAGAUCAAGACGCUUGAUGGUACUUUCAAAGAACGCACACCUUGACAUGUUUUUGAAGGAGUUCAAAAUAGAUCAGCCAAAGAAGGGGUUCUUACCCGAGUUGUAAGGUGUGAAGUUGAGUAAGACUCAAAGCUUGACCACAGCAGAAGAAAGAGGAAGGACGAAGGUUGUCCCCUAUGCUCUUGUCAUAGGCUCUAUACGGUAUGCCAUGCUGAGUACCGCACCUUAUGUGUGCCUUGCCACAUGUCUGGCAAGAGGGUACAAAGGUGAUCUAGGACUGGAUCACCAUAUAGCGGUCAAAAUUAUCCUUAGAGGAAUAAGGAAAUGUUUCUCGGUUAUGGAGGUGAUAAAGAGUUCGACGUAAAGAGUUACGUCGAUGCAAGCUUAACACCCAUCUGGAUAGCUCUGAGUAGAGAUACCGGAUACGUAUAAUGGAGCAACAAUUUGGAAUAGCUCCAAGUGGAACGUGGUAGCAGCAUCUACGAUAUGACAUAAAGUUUUGCAAAAUACAUAGGGAUCUGAAUAUGGCAAGACCCGUUGGCUACAACCUCUCUCACAAGCAUAACAUGAUCAAACCCAGAACUCAUUGAGUGUUAAUCACAUAGUGAUGUGAACUAGAUUAUUGAGUCUAGUAAACUCUUUGGAUGUUGGUCACAUGGCGAUGUGACCUGUGAGUGUUAAUCACAUGGCGAUGUGAACUAGAUUAUUGACUAUAGUGCAAGUGGGAGACUGUUGGAAAUAUGCCCUGGAGGCAAUAAUAAAUUGGUUAUUAUUAUAUUUCCUUGUUCAUCAUAAUCGUUUAUUAUCCAUGCUAGAAUUGUAUUGAUAGGAAACUCAGAUACAUGUGUGGAUACAUAGACAACACCAUGUCCCUAGUAAGCCUCUAGUUGACUAGCUCGUUGAUUAAUAAGAUGGUUACGGUUUCCUGACCAUGGACAUUGGAUGUCGUUGAUAACGGGAUCACAUCAUUAGGAGAAUGAUGUGAUGGACAAGACCCAAUCCUAAGCCUAGCACAAGAUCGUGUAGUUCAUUUGCUAAAGCUUUUCUAAUGUCAAGUAUCAUUUCCUUAGACCAUGAGAUUGUGCAACUCCCGGAUACCGUAGGAGUGCUUUGGGUGUGCCAAACGUCACAACGUAACUGGGUGGCUAUAAAGGUACAGUACAGGUAUCUCCGAAAGUGUCUGUUGGGUUGGCACGAAUCGAGACUGGGAUUUGUCACUCCGUGUAAACGGAGAGGUAUCUCUGGGCCCACUCGGUAGGACAUCAUCAUAAUGUGCACAAUGUGACAAAGGAGUUGAUCAUGGGAUGAUGUGUUAUGGAACGAGUAAAGAGACUUGCCGGUAAAGAUUGAACAAGGUAUCGGAUACCGACGAUCGAAUCUCGGGCAAGUACAAUACCGCUGGACAAAGGGAAUUGUAUACGGGAUUGAUUGAAUCCUCGACAUCGUGGUUCAUCCGAUGAGAUCAUCGUGGAACAUGUGGGAGCCAACAUGGGUAUCCAGAUCCUGCUAUUGGUUAUUGGCCAGAGAGUUGUCUCGGUCAUGUAUGCAUGGUUCCCGAACCCGUAGGGUCUACACACUUAAGGUUCGGUGACGCUAGAGUUGUUAUGGGAAAUAGUAUGUGGUUACCGAAGGUUGUUCGGAGUCCCAGAUGAGAUCUCGGACAUGACGAGGAGCUCCGGAAUGGUCCGGAGGUGAAGAUCGGUAUAUUGGACGAAGGGUAUUGGAGUCCGGAAUUGUUCCGGGGGUACCAGGUGAUGACCAGCGUGUCCGAAAGGGAUUUCCGAGGCCCCGGCAAGCGUUGGGGGGCCUUAUGGGCCAAGGGGAGAGGGCACAUCAGCCCAGUAAGGGGUUGAGCGCCCCUCCCACCACAUCUCACGUAACCAGGAGAGGUGGGGCGCCACCCCUAGGGCAGCCGCCCCUCCCGGCUUGGGGGGCAAGUUUCCUAGGGGGUGGGGGCGCCCAAACCCAUCUAGGGUUUCCCCUGUGGCCGCCGCCCCUCCCCUAGGGAACCCUAGGGUGCCUCCCCCUCCUCCCUUCCCCCUAUAUAUAGUGAGGGAGAGAGAGGGAAGCCGUACCUUUCCCCUGGUGCAGCCCUCUUCCUCCUCCAACACCUCAUCCUCCUCCGUAGUGCUUGGCGAAGCCCUGCCGGAGAACCACGAGCUCCAUCAUCACGACGCCGUCGUGCUGUCGGAGUUUUCCCUCAACUUCUCCUCUCACCUUGCUGGAUCAAGAAGGAGGAGACGUCUCCCAACCGUACGUUUGUUGAACGCGGAGGUGCCGUCCGUUCGGCGCUAGGAUCAUCGGUGAUUUGGAUCACGACGAGUAUGACUCCAUCAACCCCGUUCACUUGAACGCUUCCGCUUAGCGAUCUACAAGGGUAUGUAGAUGCACUCUCCUUCCCCUCGCUGCUAGAUUACUCCAUAGAUUGAUCUUGGUGAUGCAUAGAAAAUUUUGAAUUUCUGCUACGUUCCCCAACAGUGGCAUCAUGAGCUAGGUCUAUGCGUAGUUUCUAUGCACGAGUAGAACACAAAGCAGUUGUGGGCGUCGAUAUUGUCAAUUUACUUGCCGUUACUAGUCUUAUCUGUUGGGGAACGUAGUAAUUUCAAAAAAAUUCCUACGCACACGCAAGAUCAUGGUGAUGCAUAGCAACGAGAGGGGAGAGUGUGAUCUACGUACCCUUGUAGAUCGACAACGGAAGCGUUUGGUUGAUGUAGUCGUACGUCUCCACGGCCCGACAGAUCAAGCACCGAAACUACGGCACCUCCGAGUUCUAGCACACGUUCAACUCGAUGACGAUCCCCGGACUCCGAUCCAGCAAAGUGUCGGGGAAGAGUUCCGUCAGCACGACGGCGUGGUGACGAUCUUGAUGUACUACCGUCGCAGGGCUUCGCCUAAGCACCGCUACAAUAUUAUUGAGGACUAUGGUGGAAGGGGGCACCGCACACGGCUAAGAAUAUGAUCACGUGGAUCAACUUGUGUCUCUAGGGGUGCCCCUGCCUCCGUAUAUAAAGGUUCAAGAGGGGGAGGCCGGCUGGCCAUCAUAGGGCGCGCCAGGAGGAGUCCUACUCCCUCCGGGAGUAGGACUUCUCCCCCAAUCCUAGCUAGUUGGAAUAGGAUUCGCGAGGUGGGAACGGAGAGAGAGAGAAGGAGGGGGGCGCUGGCCCCCUCUCUCCUUGUCCUAUUCGGACUAGGGGGGAGGGGCGCGCGGCCCAGCCCUGGCCGCCUCUCCUCUUCUUCCACUAAGGCCCACUAAGGCCCAUGUACCUCCCGGGGGGUUCCGGUAACCUCCCAGUACUCCGGUAAAAUUCCGAUUUCACCCGGAACACUUCCGAUAUCCAAAUAUAGGCUUCCAAUAUAUCAAUCUUUAUGUCUCGACCAUUUCGAGACUCCUCGUCAUGUCCGUGAUCACAUCCGGGACUCCGAACAACCUUUGGUACAUCAAAACGUAUAAACUCAUAAUAUAACUAUCGUCGAAACCUUAAGCGUGCAGACCCUACGGGUUCGAGAACAAUGUAGACAUGACCGAGACACGUCUCCGGUCAAUAACCAAUAGCGGGACCUGGAUGCCCAUAUUGGUUCCUACAUAUUCUACGAAGAUCUUUUAUCGGUCAGACCGCAUAACAACAUACGUUGUUCCCUUUGUCAUCGGUAUGUUACUUGCCCGAGAUUCGAUCGUCGGUAUCCAAUACCUAGUUCAAUCUCGUUACCGGCAAGUCUCUUUACUCAUUCCGUAAUACAUCAUCCCCUAACUAACUCAUUAGUUGCAAUGCUUGCAAGGCUUAAGUGAUGUGCAUUACCGAGAGGGCCCAGAGAUACCUCUCCGACGAUCGGAGUGACAAAUCCUAAUCUUGAAAUACGUCAACCCAACAUGUACCUUUGGAGACACCUGUAGAGCACCUUUAUAAUCACCCAGUUACGUUGUGACGUUUGGUAGCACACAAAGUGUUCCUCCGGCACAUGGGAGUUACAUAAUCUCAUAGUCAUAGGAACAUGUAUAAGUCAUGAAGAAAGCAAUAGCAACAUACUAAACGAUCGGGUGCUAAGCUAAUGGAAUGGGUCAUGUCAAUCAGAUCAUUCAACUAGCAUGUAUUAUGUUUCCGGUUAAUACAUUUCUAGCAUGAAUAAUAAACUUUUAUCAUGAUAUAAGGAAAUAAAUAAUAACUUUAUUAUUGCCUCUAGGGCAUAUUUCCUUCAUUAUCUUGAUUCGGCGGCAUUGUGGGAUGAAGCGGCCCGGACCGACCUUACACGUACGCUUACGUGAGACUGGUUCCACCGACUGACAUGCACUAGUUGCAUAAGGUGGCUAGCGGGUGUCUGUCUCUCCCACUUUAGUCGGUUCGGAUUCGAUGAAAAGGGUCCUUAUGAAGGGUAAAUAGAAAUUGGCAUAUCACGUUGUGGUUUUUGCGUAGGUAAGAAACGUUCUUGCUAGAAACCUAUAGCAGCCACGUAAAAACUUGCAACAACAAUUAGAGGACGUCUAACUUGUUUUUGCAGCAUAUGCCUUGUGAUGUGAUAUGGCCAAAAGGAUGUGAUGAAUGAUAUAUGUGAUGUAUGAGAUUGAUCAUGUUCUUGUAAUAGGAAUCACGACUUGCAUGUCGAUGAGUAUGACAACCGGCAGGAGCCAUAGGAGUUGUCUUAAUUUAUUUAUGACAUGCGUGUCAACAUAAACGUCAUGUAAUUACUUUACUUUAUUGCUAAAGCGUUAGCCAUAGUAGUAGAAGUAAUAGAUGACGAGACAACUUCAAGAAGACACGAUGAUGGAGAUCAUGGUGAUGGAGAUCAUGGUGUCAUGCCGGUGACAAUGAUGAUCAUGGAGCCCCGAAGAUGGAGAUCAAAAGGAGCAAAAUGAUAUUGGCCAUAUCAUGUCACUAUUUGAUUGCAUGUGAUGUUUAUCAUGUUUUACAUCUUAUUUGCUUAGAAUGACGGUAGCUUAAAAAAGAUGAUCCCUCACUAAAAUUUCAAGAAAGUGUUCCCCCUAACUGUGCACCGUUGUGAAGGUUCGUCGUUUCGAAGCACCACGUGAUGAUCGGGUGUGAUAGAUUCUAACGUUCGAAUACAACGGGUGUUGACGAGCCUAGCAUGUACAGACAUGGCCUCGGGACACAUGCGAAACACUUAGGUUGACUUGACGAGCCUAGCAUGUACAGACAUGGCCUCGGAACACGGAAGACCGAAAGGUCGAACAUGAGCCGUAUAGAAGAUACGAUCAACAUGAGAUGUUCACCGUUGAUGACUAGUCCGUCUCACGUGAUGAUCGAACACGGCCUAGUCGAUCCGGAUCAUGCUUCACUUAGAUGACUAGAGGGAUGUCUAUCUGAGUGGGAGUUCAUUAAAUUAAUUUGAUUAGAUGAACUCAAUUAUCAUGAACAUAGUCUAAAUUGUCUUCGCAAAUAUGUUGUAGAUAAAUAGCUCACGUUGUAGCUCCCUGUUUCAAUAUGUUACUAGAGAAAGAUUAAGUUGAAAGAUAUUGUAAGCAAUGAUGCGGACUAGGUCCGUAGUCCGAGGAGUGUCCUCACUGCUACACAGAAGGCUUACGUCUUUGAUGCACCGCUUGAUGUGCAAACCCCGACAACGUCAUCUGUGGAUGUUGUGAACACCUGACAGACAUAUUCUGAUGACUACCUGAUAGUUUAGUGCACCAUACUUUACGGCUUAGAAUCGGGAUUCCAAUGACGUUUUAAACGCCAUAGAACAUAUGAGAUGUUCCAAGAGCUGAAAUUGAGAUUUCAGGCUCAUGCCCGUGUUGAGAGGUGUGAGACCUCUGACAAGUUCUUUAGCCAACAAGAUGGAGGAGAAUAGCUCAGCUAGUGAGCAUGUGCUUAGAAUGUCUGGGUGCUACAAUCACUUAAAUCAAGUGGGAGUUAAACUUCCAGAUAAGAUAGUGAUUGAUAGAGUUCUCUAGCUACUAUCACUAAGCUAUUAGAUCUUCCUGAUGAACUAUGACAUGCAAGGGAUGGAAUUGAUCCCAGAGCUGUUCGUGGUGCUUAAGACCGCAAAAGGUAGAAAUCAAGAAGGAGCAUCAAGUGUUGAUGGUUUAACAAGACCACUGGUUUCAAGAGGGUCAAGGGCUAGAAGGGAAACUUCAUGGAUGGCAAACCAGUUGCCGCUCCAGUGAAGGAACCCAAGGUUGAACCCAAACCCGAGACUAAGUGCUUCUAUUGUAAGGGGAACGGGCACUGGUAGCGGAAUUACCCCAAAUGCAUGGUAGAUAAGAAGGCUGGAAACUUCAACAAAGUUUAUACGUGUUAUUAAUGUGUACCUCACUAGUACUCCUGGUAGCACCUGGGUAUUGGAUACCGGUUCAGUUGCUAUUACUGGUGACUUGAAGCAAAAGCUACGGACUAAACGGAGACUGGCUAAGGGCGAGGUGAUGAUGUGUGUUGGAAGUGUUUCCAAAGUUGAUGAGAUCACCAUCGCACGCUCCAUCUGCCUUCGGGAUUAGUAUUGAACCUAGAUAAAUGUUAUCAGGUGUCUACGUUGAGCAUGAAUAUGAUUAGAUCAUGUUCAUUGCAAUACGGUCAUUCAUUUAAGUUAGAGAAUAAUGGUUAUUCUGUUUACAUGAAUGAUACCUUUCAUUUCAUGUGAAUGGUUCAUUGAAUCUCGGUCGUGGUAAUACACAUGUUCACGCCAAAAGAUGUAGAGUUAAUAAUGAUAGUACCACUUUCUCGUGGCACUGCCGCUUAGGUCAUAUUGGCGUAAGAUGCAUGAAGAAACUCCAUGUCGAUGGAUGUUUGGAGUCACUUGAUUUAGAAUCGCUUGACACAUGCGAGCCAUGCCUCAUGGGCAGGAUGACUAAGACCCCGCUUUCAGGUACAAUGAAACGGGCAAGUGACUUGUUGGAAAUCAUACAUGCUGAUGCGUGUGAUCAAUUGAGAAUUGAAGCGCGCGGUGGAUAUCGCUAUUUUCUCAUCUUCACUGACAAUUUGAGUAGAUAUAGGUAUAUUUACUUAAUGAAGCACAAGUCUGAAACGUUUGAAAAGUUCAAGCGAUUUCAGAGUGAAGUUAAGAAUCAUCAUAACAAGAAGAUCAAAUCCCUACGAUCUGAUAAAUGAGAAUAUUUGAGUUAUGAGUUUGGCAAACACUUAAGACAUUGUGGAAUUGUUUCACAGUUGAAGCCACCUGGAACACCACUGGGUUAUGGUGUGUCCGGAUGUCGUAAUCGAACCUUAUGAGAUAUGGUGCGAUCUAUGAUGUCUCUUAUCAAUCUACCAUUUUCAUUUUGAGGUUAUGCAUUAGAGACGGCUGUAUUCACUUUAUAUAGGACACCAUCUAAGUCCGUUGAGACGGCGUCGUAUGAACAUUGGUUUGGCAAGAAACCAAAGUUGUCGUUUCUUAAUGUUUGGGGCUGCGAUGCUUAAGGCUUCAGCCGGAAAAGCUUGAACCCAAAGAGGACAAACACAUCUUCAUAGGAUACCCAAAGGUGACAGUAGGGUAUGUCGGCGUUCUAGGAACGGGGGUCCCCAGACUUGCCUGCCUGCGGCCUGCGGCGUGGCUCAAAUGGGGGCCCAGCGCGGCCCAUCUUCAUCAGCACAAGACUCAAGACCCUCGCGAGGGGCCAAACCUCGCGAGGCGGACGACAUGGCGCAUCCUCAGGCGAAGCCUCAUCAGGCUGGCUCGCGAGGAGGCAGAGAAAUCAAGGCAGGGUACCUCGCGAGGUGCCCAUGACGUAAGCCGUGACGAAUCAGGGCACCAGGCGGGUGCCAGCGCACGCAGCGUCCUUCUUUCCUCUUUGGUGCAAAGGGGACAAGCGCAGCUGCGGAGUACCGAGGCAUCAGGCAAAGGUUGCCACUUCGGUGCAACGAGACCAAGGCCAGGCGGACUAUGAGACGGAGGUCACCAUGGAGCCCAGCGCGACGUCAUCGCCAGAGCCUUUGGCAGGCGAAGACUGCUUUUGUCAGGAUAGAUGUACUAGAUGUCCCUCUUCAAAUUAGCCCGCCAUUGUUGGAUCCCUUCCCGUUCAAUAUUUGGGGAGAGGACCAGGGCCUCUAUAUAUAGGACUAGCCACCCACAAGGCAAGGGGUUCGUUCGGUUCGGCUCUUGGUCAUCAACAAGAGUGAGUAAGAGAGAGAGAGAGAAGGGUGACUGAACCUCCAAGAAGUUCAUUUCCCCAACCAAGAAUAGACCCUCGCGUGUCUGUUCUUCCUUGUAUUGAUCAUCCUCACCAGCCCCAAGAGGCAAUCCACCAACCACACACUAGAGUAGGGUAUUACACCACAUCGGUGGCCCGAACCAGUAUAAAUCUUGUGUCUCUUGUGCAUUUCUUUCAGUAGUUUAGAUCCUUGUGAGACGGAGAGGUUGAAGGUGUAAUCUCCGCGCGCACCCCAGUGUUCGAACCUUAAGGGUCUGCCGGAACCUGAAAUCCGACAUUUGGCGCGCCAGGUAGGGGUGCGCCGGAAUUUGUCUUCCACCACUCCGCUCUCCUCCGACCGUCGCAUCCAUGUCUGACGCUCGUCGGGCUCGUGCUGAGCGCCGGGCCGCCAUCGCUUCUCGCGUCGCCCAGACGGCCCCCGUCGGUGGGCGUCCUCGUCGUUCCCCGUCGCCAGCCGUCAACGCCGCCACCGGCCCGGCGGGGGGCGAGCAGCAGGCAUUGUCUCAGCACCUGUCCGUGCGGCAAGACGGCCGCACCACUUCCCCAUCGCUCGCACCAGCCGGCUCUUUGUCCCGCGCGCUCCGCACACCUUUGGAGGCUCGAGCUGCGCUCAUCGCGGCAAACGAGCUCCUGCGCUACCGCCCCGUCGAUGACGUCUACGAGGAGUGGCUCGACCGCGUCGCCGAGCUCGUCCGCGCCGCAGGGGGCUCUCCUGCGCCGUCCGCUCCGCUGCGCCGUACUCUGCCCCGCGCGGGCAACGAAGCUCCGGGGGCGUACCAGCCGCCUCCUCCCCAAGAAGACACCGUGGCUCCAAGGCGCAUGGCCCCUGGGCGGAACCCGCUCCGCCAGGUGCCAGCGCAGCAAGAACAGAGCUGCCAAGAAAUCCCUCGCCCGCAAGGGGCUGCCCGGGCGCUCCCUGCUCCAGCUCCGGCACACCAAGACCCCGCUCUACUCCUAGCUGCAGCGCAUGGGAACCCUCAAGACCGAGCUCUUCACCAACCGAAGCCUUUCAUGGCCACUGCGGGCUGCCUCGCCUACACCAUCGAGCUGCGCAGCGUCGCAUGGCCCGGCAAGUUCAAGCCAGACCUACCUCCUCGCUACGACGACACAACUGACCCCGCUGAGUUCCUCCAGCUCUAUGAGCUGGGCAUCGAGGCUGCCGGCGGAGACGAGAAGGUCAUGGCGAACUGGUUCCCCAUGGCGCUGAAGGAAGGAGCACGCACCUGGCUCCUGAAUCUGGCUCCAGGAACGAUCUCUUCCUGGGACCAGAUGCGCACCCGCUUCAUCGCCAACUUCCAAGGUACUCGCGACCGGCCACCCGCCGUGAGCGACAUGCGCCGCAUCAAGCAGCAACCCGGAGAGACCCUGCAAAAGUACAUCCAGCGCUUCAACAGCGCGCGCCUCAAGAUCCCCAGGGUGUCCGAGGAGGCCAUCAUCUCGGCCUUCUCUGAUGGCGUGCGCGACGUCAAGAUGAAGGAGGAGCCGGCGAUGCAUGAAGACCUCUGCACCUCCCUGGAGCUAUUCAACUUGGCGAACAGGUGCGCCAGGGCUGAGGAGGGACGCCUCUCCCUCCUCGAGCUGCCUGCCGCAUACCCAGAAGAGAAGAAGCCCAAGGCCAAGGACGUGAAGCGCAAGGGGGCUGCCGUGCUCGCAGCUGAACCAGACACCAAGCGCGGCAAGGAUCUGCCCGACUUUUCCAGAGGCAGCCGGUACUGCGUGUACCACGACCUCCACACCCACAACACCAACGAAUGUCAAGAGCUCCGUGCCGUGCGAGAAGGAAGGAUUGGUUGUCGCCCUGACCGUGCUGACCGGGGCUACGGCCGAGGAGGAGGAAGAAACCCAGGGCGCUGGGAAGAUCACGGCCCGCGCCAGGGGUGGCGCGACCAACCUCGCGAGGACUGCUGGCAAGACCUACCUCGCGAGGGAGACUGGAGGGAUCAGCCUCGUGAGGAUCGCCCUCAUGGCAACGCAGGCCUACCUCCUCUGCCGCCUCCACCAAGAAGGAACGAAGACCGCCAUCAGGACGAGGGGGCUGGGGGCUUCCAGGAGCCGCGCGCAAUCGCCUGCAUCCUGGGCGGAGCUCAAGCCCCAGCCUCCCAACGUAUCUUCAAGCAGUUCGCCCGCGAGGUGAAUGCAGUACUCCCCAAGCUCGAAGCAACGCGCCCCCUCAGGUGGUCGGCGUGCGCCAUCACGUUCAGCUCAGCAGAUCAGCUCAAGUGCUCGGCCACAGCCGGAGUCCUCCCGAUGCUUUGCUCCCUAGUCAUCAGCAACAUGCUGGUCACCAAGACCCUCAUCGACGGAGGGGCAGGGCUCAACGUCCUGUCCGUGGAAACCUUCAACAACCUCCAAGUGCCCUACGACCAGCUUCAGCCAACCAAGCCUUUCUCCGGAAUCACCGACGGCUCCACAGUCCCGAUCGGGCAGGUCCGCCUCCCUGUCACCUUCGGGGCUCGCAGCAACUACCGCACCGAGCUCAUCGACUUCGACGUCGCCGACAUCCGCCUUCCAUACAACGCCAUCCUCGGGUACCCAGCAUUGGCCAAGUUCAUGGCCGUGACUCACCACGGCUACAACGUCCUCAAGAUGCCAGGAAGUGGCGGCGUCAUCACGGUACCCUGUGAAGAGAGAGAUGCAGUGUGUUCCUUGGAGCGAGCCUUUCAGGCCGCGUCACUUGAAGACCCAGAUCGCAGAAGCAGGAGGCUUCCUGAGACCGCCUCCAAGAAGAAGAAGAUGUCGCCAGGCUCAGCCCCUCCGGAGGCAGGCCCCUCAGGGCCCGUGUCUGCCCGGGAGGACCCUCCUUCCAUCGCAUAGGAAAGCGCGCCCGGCGCCCUCCUCAGGCAAGGCUCGGGGGCUCUCACCUGGAGGGCCACCGACCUAGCCAGGGUCACGAGGGAGGCGCUUGGGCACCACGUGGAGGCGUGCUUCGAAGCACAUUUCCCUCGAGGAGGAACCAUGCAAGGAAGGCCAGACCAGCAGAGUUCGUCAACGAGGCCAUUCAAGAGCUACAGGAGUCAAGGGUCAUGAGAGGUUGCCGUCGUCCACCAGCUGUGGCCCCACAUCCAGACGAGGAUGGUGGGCUGCGCGUCUGCGUCGACAUACCAGGGCUUAAUCAGUUCGCCACGACGGAGCGCCUCUGGCCCUCGCGAGUGGGGCGCUGCGGAGAUCCACCCCACAACCGUGUUCGCAUGCCUUACGGCCUGCCGAGCGUGGCUGCGGCGUGCCAGCGCCUCAUGAGGGGCAUCGUGGAGGCUCAGGAGGACAGGCGUUCUGCAGCACUAGCGGAGAUGAGGACAGCUCAUGAGGGGUCACCAGUGCCUCCGGAGCCUCCCGAGGCCCCGGGGCCUGGGGGGUCGUGAGGAUCAGCUUCCGCAGCCCACCGAGUCUACUGCACCGCUGCCACUUCACCAACGACAUUCCUAGGUGACAUCUUCCAAGUUCCAUUCCUAGCUAGGGGCGCCCUCCCAGGGUUGCAUCACUCCCAGGCCGCGUGGGUCCGUCCCUGUGGUGUGUAUCUGCUUUUACCUUUCGGUCAUUAGUCUGCUUUGUUGGGGGCGCCCCUCGGGCUGCAUCAUCCCCAAGCCGCUGGGGCGAGGCCCAGUGGCGUGUAUCUCCAUCGCGCUUAUUUCCAACCUUGCAUUGCCUAUCACGCUUGAUUGCUUGAUGCCCGUUCGCGGCAACCCUUCUUCUCCAUGUCGACUACUUGCACGUUAAAGGGGGGGGGUUCCUGAGCAUCGUGACUCAGGGCUCUUACUGGCUCUCCAGCCCUCACCCUCUGGCCUUGUCCACGGCAUCGCGACCUGGCAUACCAGCGACGGCUGAGACAAGCUCGAGGGCCGGGACCCGAGGACGUAGAGUACCGGCAUCUAACCAAAUUUUGCAGGGACACAUUUCAAGAUACGGCCCAGUGCUGGGCGCAACCCGCCUAGAGGUAGGGCCUCGUGAGUCCCGCGCUGGCUCACGGGUGCCCAGAUACACCUCACCUACUCCAACCAGCAAGCUCUUGAGUGACUAACGAUCGACUAAUGGCCGUCAUGGCAACACCAUCUUCUUUCUGUGAUGACCCUGCAGGAUCCUUGGAGGGAACGGCGCUAGCCAAGGCCCUCACGAGGUUCCCUUCGCCCUCGCCCGCGCGAACCGCUUGCACGUUAAAGGGGGGCACCUGAGCAUCACGACUCAGGGCUCUUACUGGCUCUCCAGCCCUCACCCUCUGGCCUUGUCCACGGCAUCGCGACCUGGCGUACCAGCGACGACUGAGACAAGCUCAAGGGCCGGGACCUGAGGACGUAGAGCAGAAGGGGAGCAGAGGCGAGGAAGAAGGGGCUCGCGAGGACCUUGCCGAGCAAUCCCGCUCCUGCCUACGCGCGGACCUGAUGGCGCAUCAGGAACGAUCCCUGGCUCUCAUGAUAAGUCACCCCCCCCCCAAAACACUGGCUACCGUGGCACUACCCCCGCACUUAAAGCAACUCCGUACUAGUGACGUUGCUUCCCUUUCUCACUAAGCGACGGCUGCUUGGGCGCCAAAGGGGACCUCCUGAGCAUCGCGACUCAGGGGCUCUUACCGGACCCCGGGUCGCUCACCUCCUGGCCUUGACCACGGCAUCGCGACCUAGCAUACCAGCGACGGCUGACGCCGCCUUGGGACUGGGUCCUAUCGACGCAGAGCACCAAGCCCUCGCGAGGUUCGAAAGGGAGGACCGAACUACGAUGGAAUCAGCAACACGCACAGAUCCAUGUCAAAAGGUCAUAUAUAUUAACAAAGGGACUACAGGCACCUUACAAGCCCCCGCGGGGCGCAUUUUCGGUUCCUCGCAAGGAACGAAUCAAAAGGGACGCUAACUACACGAGCUACAGCAAGAGACGCCGUCAUCAACAGUGGGCCGUCAGGCACCGGCACCAACUCCAUCCAGAUCAGGGUCGGUGGCGGCCUGACGAGUCCGCCCUGCUCCGGGAGCGACGCCGACUCGGGGGCUCGUAGCUGUCGUCGCUCGUCUCCUGAGUCACGAAGCCUUUGCUGGAGUCGCUGGACCCUCCGGCGCCUCCACCGUGGGGGCGAUCAACGGGCCUAGCCCUCACCAGGGCAAGGUCCUGGCCACCUCUCCCGCGGCAGCACUCUAGCCGGCGCCCGUGCGCGUCGAAGGCCUUGAAGAACAUCACCGCCGCGCCGUCGUACUCCAGGUGGAUCGCGAAGACGCCCCUAUCCCUGCAGACCCAGGCGAUCUCCCUCCAGCCGCAGGACAUGAAGACCUCGCCCGGGGCUGCGACCACGACCUCUGCCUCGGUCGCGAGGGCGCUGCAGUCGGCGUGCUGCAGGCAGCACUCCAGGGGCCCUCCUGGAGGAACGAUGGAGGCGAAGAAGGGAGGCAGGCGAAUCGAGGACUGACGAGGAAUGGCGACGCGGAGCACGCCCUCCUGGGAGGAGCCCUCGGCGUGGACUCCGGGAGGAACCACCCACGCCUUUGUGACCAGACGACGCCGACGACGGCGUUGGCCGCGGGGAUCAGCAUCAACACCUCCGGGGCCCUCGACGUGGGCAUACAAGGGGAGCGGGAACCCCGGCGGAACUCGCUCGCCCCAGGGCGUCGCCGCCGCCUGACGAUCCUCCUCGUCCCGGCUGCAAAGGGCGAGUCGCUUUUUCGGCGGGAAAGGGUCUGGCCCCUCUCGAGGAGCCUUUCCCUUCUCCGCUGCAGAGAACCGGCGAAUUGGAGCCAUCACACCAAGACGGAGCAAGAGCAGAGGCGAAGGAGACAGCAAGGAGAGAUGGACUGGAAGGGCACACGCGGAGCCGUACUUAUAGCCGGCGAAGGCCAACCGCCGGCCUCCACGAUCACAGGUAAUCAUAACACGUUCUACAUGCAGGGACUUGUCCAACUCACGCGAUCACCAAGGCGUCGUGGGGAAGUGGAGACGCCACGUCCAAUCAACCGCCACGCGGCGCCCAAGGCCGCUGGCUGUUAGGGCCCGCAGCGCUUCGCCCUUUCCCUUUCGCCUCUCGGCACGGCCAAGUUCAUGCGCGCCUUGGGCCCGGGGGCUACUGUCGACGUUCUGGGAACGGGGGUCCCAAGACUUGCCUGCCUGCGGCCUGCGGCGUGGCUCAAAUGGGGGCCCAGCGCGGCCCAUCUUCAUCAGCACAAGACUCAAGACCCUCGCGAGGGGCCAAGCCUUGCGAGGCGGACGACAUGGCGCAUCCUCAGGCGAAGCCUCAUCACGCUGGCUCACGAGGAGGCGGAGACAUCAAGGCAGGGUACCUCGCGAGGUGCCCAUGACGUAAGCCGUGACGAAUCAGGGCACCAGGCGGGUGCCAGCGCGCGCAGCGUCCUUCUUUCCUCUUUGGUGCAAAGGGGACAAGCGCAGCCGCGGAGUACCGAGGCAUCAGGCAAAGGUUGCCAUUUUGGUGCAACGAGACCAAGGCCAGGCGUACUACAAGACGGAGGUCACCAUGGAGCCCAGCGCGGCGUCAUCGCCAGAGCCUUUGGCAGGCGAAGACUACUUUUGUCAGGAUAGAUGUACUAGAUGUCCCCCUUCAAAUUAGCCCGCCAUUGUUGGAUCCCUUCUCGCUCAAUAUUUGGGGAGAGGACCAGGGCCUCUAUAUAUAGGACUAGCCACCCACAAGGCAAGGGGUUCGUUCGGUUCGGCUCUUGGUCAUCAACAAGAGUGAGUAAGAGAGAAAGAGAGAGAAGGGUGACUGAACCUCCAAGCAGUUCAUCGCCCCAGCCAAGAACAGACCCUCGCGCGUCUGUUCUUCCUUGUAUUGAUCAUCCUCACCAGCCCCAAGAGGCAAUCCACCAACCACACACUGGAGUAGGGUAUUACACCACAUCGGUGGCCCGAACCAGUAUAAAUCUUGUGUCUCUUGUGCAUUUCUUUCAGUAGUUUAGAUCCUUGUGAGACGGAGAGGUUGAAGGUGUAAUCUCCGCGCGCACCCCAGUGUUCGAACCUUAAGGGUCUGCCGGAACCCGAAAUCCGACAGGGUAUACCUUCUAUCUCAGAUCCGAGGGCAAAUUGUUUGUCGCUAAGAACGGGUCCUUUCUCGAGAAGGAGUUUCUCUCGAAAGAAUUGAGUGGGAGGAAGAUAGAACUUGAUGAGGUUGCUGAACCGUUACUUCAACCAGAGAGUGAUGCAACACAGAAAGAUGUUUUCUGUGGCGCCUACGUCUGUUGAAUAGGAAGUUAAUGAUAGUGAUCAUGAAGCUUCGGAUCAAGUUGCUACCGAACCUCGUAGGUCGACAAGGAUAUGUACUACUCCUAAGUGGUACGGUAAUCCUGUCUUAGAUAUCAUGUUGUUAGACAACAAUGAACCUACGAGCUAUGGAGAAGCGAUGGUGGGCCCAUGUUCCGACAAAUGGUUAGAAGCCAUGAAAUCCGAGAUAGGAUCCAUAUAUCAGAACAAAGUAUGGACUUUGGUGGACUUGCCCGACGAUCGGCAAGCCAUUGAGAUAAAAUGGAUCUUUAAGAAGAAGACGGACGUGGGCGGUAAUGUUACCAUCUAUGAAGCUCGACUUGUGGGAAAGAGUCUUUUCACAAGUUCAAGGAGUUGACUACGAUGAGAAUUUCUCACCCAUAGCGGUGCUUAAGUCCGUCAGAAUCAUGAAAGCAUUAGCUGUAAUUUUUGAUUAUGAAAUCUUACAAAUGGAUGUCAAAACAAGUUUUCUUACCAGUUUUCGUAAGAAAAGUUGUAUGUGAUACAAUAAAAGGUUUUGUCGAUCCUAAGGAUGCUAAAAGGUAUGCUGGCUCCAGCAAUCCUUCUAUGGACUAGAGCAAGCAUCUCGGAAUCGGAAUAUAUGUUUUGAUGGAGUGAUCAAAGCUUUUAGGUUUAUACAAUGUUUGCUAGAAACUUGUAUUUACAAGAAAGUGAGUGGGAGCACUACAACAUUUCUGAUAAGUAUAUGUGGAUGACAUAUUGUUGAUCCGAAAUAAUGUAGAAUUUCUGGAAAGCAUAAACGGUUGUUUGAAGAGUGUUUUUCAAAGGAAAGACCUGGAUAAAGCUGCUUACAUAUUGGGCAUCAAGAUCUAUAGAGAUAGAUCAAGACGCCUGAUGGUACUUUCAAAGAACGCACACCUUGACAUGUUUUUGAAGGAGUUCAAAAUAGAUCAGUCAAAGAAGGGGUUCUUACCUGAGUUGUAAGGUGUGAAGUUGAGUAAGACUCAAAGAUUGACCACGGCAGAAGAAAGAGGAAGGACGAAAGGUCGUCCCCUAUGCUCUUGUCAUAGGCUCUAUACGGUAUGCCAUGUUGAAGUACCGCACCUAUUGUGUGCCUUGCCACAUGUCUGGCAAGAGGGUACAAAGGUGAUCUAGGAGUGGAUCACCAGAUAGCAGUCAAAAUUAUCCUUAGAGGAAUAGGGAAAUGUUUCUCGGUUAUGGAGGUGAUAAAGAGUUCGACAUAAAGAGUUACGUCGAUGCAAGCUUAACACCUAUCCGGAUAGCUCUGAGUAGAGAUACCGGAUAUGUAUAAUGGAGCAAUAAUUUGGAAUAGCUCCAAGUGGAACGUGGUAGCAGCAUCUACGAUAUAAAGUUUUGCGAAUACAUAGGGAUCUGAAUAUGGCAAGACUCGUUGACUACAACCUCUCUCACAAGCGUAACAUGAUCAAACCCAGAACUCUUUGAGUGAUUAUCACAUAGUGAUGUGAACUAGAACAUUGAGUCUAGUAGACUCUUGGAUGUGGGUCACAUGGCGAUGUGACCUGUGAGUGUUAAUCACAUGGCGAUGUGAACUAGAUUAUUGACUCUAGUGCAAGUGGGAGACUGUUGGAAAUAUGCCCUAGAGGCAAUAAUAAAUUGGUUAUUAUUAUAUUUCAUUGUUCAUGAUAGUCGUUUAUUAUCCAUGCUAGAGUUGUAUUGAUAGGAAACUCGGAUACAUGUGUGGAUACAUAGACAACACCAUGUCCCUAGUAAGCCCCUAGUUGACUAGCUCGUUGAUCAAUAGAUGGUUACGGUUUCCUGACCAUGGACAUUGGAUGUCGUUGUUAACGGGAUCACAUCAUUAGGAUAAUGAUGUGAUGGACAAGACCCAAUCCUAAGCCUAGCACAAAGAUUGUAUAGUUCGUAUGCUAAAGCUUUUCUAAUGUCAAGUAUCAUUUCCUUAGACCAUGAGAUUGUGCAACUCCCGGAUACCGUAGGAGUGCUUUGGGUGUGCCAAACGUCACAACGUAAUUGGGUGGCUAUAAAGGUACACUACAGGUAUCUCCGAAAGUGUCUGUUGGGUUGGCACGAAUCGAGACUGGGAUUUGUCACUCCGUGUAAAUGGAGAGGUAUCUCUGGGCCCACUCGGUAGGACAUCAUCAUAAUGUGCACAAUGUGAUCAAGGAGUUGAUCACGGGAUGAUGUGUUAUGGAACGAGUAAAGAGACUUGCCGGUAACGAGAUUGAACAAGGUAUCGGGAUACCGACGAUCGAAUCUCGGGCAAGUAUCGUACCGCUAGACAAAGGGAAUUGUAUACGGGAUUGACUGAAUCCUUGACAUCGUGGUUCAUCCAAUGAGAUCAUCGUGGAGCAUGUGGGAGCCAACAUGGGUAUCCAGAUCCCGCUGUUGGUUAUUGACCGGAGAGUUGUCUCGGCCAUGUCUGCAUGACUCCCGAGCCCGUAGGGUCUACACACUUAAGGUUCGAUGACGCUAGGGUUAUAGGGAAAGUAUAUACGCGGUUAUCGAAUGUUGUUCAGAGUCCCGGAUGAGAUCUCGGACGUCACGAGGAGUUCCGGAAUGGUCUGGAGGUAAAGAUUGAUAUAUAGGAAGUAUGGUUUUGGCCACCGGAAGUGUUCCGGGCAUCACCAGUAGUGUACCGGGACCACCGGAGGGGUCCGGGGGUCCACCGGGAGGGGCCACGAGCCCCGGAGGCAUACCUGGGCCAAGUGUGAGAAGGGACUAGCCCCUAGGUGGGCUGGGGCGCCUCCCCACCAAGGCCCAUGCGCCUAAGGGGAAGAGGGGACAAACCCUAAGGGCAGAUGGGCCCUAAGGCCCAUGCCUGGUGCGCCUCCCUCUUCCCCUCCCCUUGGCCGCCUCCCAGAUGGGAUCUGGGGGCUGCCGCCACCCCUAGGGAGGGAACCCUAGGUGGGGGCGCAGCCCCUCCCCUCCCCCUAUAUAUACUUGAGGUAUGGGGCUGCCCAACACAUGUGAUUUUGCACUCCCUGUUGGCGCAGCCCUACCUCUCUCCCUCCUCGUCUCUCGUAGUGCUUGGCGAAGCCCUGCUGGAGUCCCGCGCUCCUCCACCACCACCACGCUGUCGUGCUGCUGCUGGAUGGAGUCUUCCCCAACCUCUCCUUCUCCCCUUGCUGGAUCAAGGUGUAGGAGACAUCACCGGGCUGUACGUGUGUUGAACACGGAGGUGCCGUCCGUUCAGCACUAGGAUCAUCGAUGAUUUGGAUCACGACGAGUACGACUCCAUCAACCCCGUUCACUUGAACGCUUCCGCUUAGCGAUCUACAAGGGUAUGUAGAUGCACUCUCCUUCCCCUUGUUGCUAGAUUACUCCAUAGAUUGAUCUUGGUGAUGCGUAGAAAAUUUUGAAUUUCUGCUACGUUCCCCAACAACAACUACUUUGUGUUCUACUCGUGCAUAGAAACUACGCAUAGACCUAGCUCAUGAUGCCACUAUUAGGGAACGUAGCAGAAAUUCAAAAUUUUCUACGCAUCACCAAGAUCAAUCUAUGGAGUAAUCUAGCAACGAGGGGAAGGAGAGUGCAUCUACAUACCCUUGUAGAUCGCUAAGCGGAAGCGUUCAAGUGAACCGGGCUGAUGGAGUCGUACUCGUCAUGAUCCAAAUCACCGAUGAUCCUAGCGCCGAACGGACGGCACCUCCGCGUUCAACACACUACGGAACGGAGACGUCUCCCACGCCUUGAUCCAGCAAGGAGGAGGGAGAGGUUGAGGAAGAGAGUCCAACAGCAGCACGACGGCGUGGUGGUGAUGGAGCGACAGUUCUCCGGCAGGGCUUCGCCAAGCUCACGCGGAGGAGGAGAGGUAUUGGAGGGGAGGGGCUGCGCCGGGUUUAAGGGGGUGGCCACCCUCCCACCCCUCCACUAUUUAUAGGUCGGGAGAGAGGGGGUCGGCCCCCCUAGAUCCCAUCUAGGGUUGGGGGCGGCGGCCAAGGGGGGAGGAGUGCCUCCCAAGUCAAGUGGAGGCCCUCCCCCUUAGGGUUUCCCCUCUCCCAUGCGCAUGGGCCUUGGGGGGGCUGGUGUCCUUGGCCCAUUAAGGCUAGGGCGCCCCCCUAUAGCCCAUGUUGCUGUAUUGGACGUGGUGGAACAUUUUCCGGACCUCCGGACCCCUCCGGAAUCCUCCGGAACCUUCCGGAAGCUUCCCGGUACAAUACCAGAAAAAACCAAACUUUUCCCGGAACCCGAACAACAACUUUCCAUAUAUAAAUCUUUACCUCCGGACCAUUCCGGAACUCCUCGUGACAUCCGGGAUCUCAUCCGGGACUCCGAACAACAUUCGAUAAUCACAUACAAGUCUUCCUAAUAACCCUAGCGUCAUCGAACCUUAAGUGUGUAGACCCUACGGGUUCGGGAACCAUGCAGACAUGACCGAGACAACUCUCCGGCCAAUAACCAACAGCGGGAUCUGGAUACCCAUGUUGGCUCUCACAUGUUCCACGAUGAUCUCAUCGGAUGAACCACGAUGUCGAGGAUUCAAUCAAUCCCGUAUUCAAUUCCCUUUGUCCAGCGGUAUUGUACUUGCCCAAGAUUCGAUCGUCGGUAUCCGAUACCUUGUUCAAUCUCGUUACCGGCAAGUCUCUUUACUCGUUCCGUAACACAUCAUCCCGUGAUCAACUCCUUGGUCACAUUAUGCACAUUAUGAUGAUGUCCUACCGAGUGGGCCCAGAGAUACCUCUCCGUCACACGGAGUGACAAAUCCCAGUCUCGAUUCGUGCCAACCCAACAGACACUUUCGGAGAUACCCGUAGUGCACCUUUAUAGCCACCCAGUUACGUUGUGACGUUUGGUACACCCAAAGCAUUCCUACGGUAUCUGGGAGUUGCACAAUCUCAUGGUCUAAGGAAAUGAUACUUGACAUUAGAAAAGCUUUAGCAUACGAACUACACGAUCUUUGUGCUAGGCUUAGGAUUGGGUCUUGUCCAUCACAUCAUUCUCCUAAUGAUAUGAUCCCGUUAUCAACGACAUCCAAUGUCCAUGGUCAGGAAACCGUAACCAUCUAUUGAUCAACGAGCUAGUCAACUAGAGGCUUACUAGGGACAUGGUGUUGUCUAUGUAUCCACACAUGUAUCUGAAUUUCCUAUCAAUACAAUUCUAGCAUGGAUAAUAAACGAUUAUCAUGAACAAGGAAAUAUACUAAUAACUAAUUUAUUAUUGCCUCUAGGGCAUAUUUCCAACACACACACACACAUGAAUCCUCGCUUUUCUCACUCUGUCCCUUCGUCCUUGUUGUGUAUCCGCGUAGUCCGAGGUCCCCGUCCCCGAAAGAAACCUAGAAGAGAUCGAAACACAACUCUUUUCGCCGCCAGUGAAGCCUCGACGACUCAAGUCGCGACUCGCCUAAGACGAUGUAGAUCUUCAUGAAGACCCUGACAGGUAAAACCAUCAUGCUGGAGGUGGAGGGGCAGCGACACCGUGGACAGCGUCAAGGGCAAGGUCUAGGAUAAGAAAGGGAUCCCGCCGGACCAGCAGCAGCUCAUAUCUUCGCCGAGAAGCAGCUGGAGGACGGUCGCUUGCUGGCAACUACAACGUGCACAAGGAGUCGACGCAUCCCCUGGUGCUCCGCCUCCGCAACGGCACCACCAUCAAGGUCAAGACACCCACCGCCAAGGAGAUCGGGAUCAACAUCGAGCCCACGGACACGUCCGACAGGAUCAAGGAGCACGUCGAGGAGAAGGAGGGCAUCCCGCCCGUCCAGCAGAGGCUCAUCUUCGAUGGCAAGCAGAUGGCCGCCGACAAGACGGUGCAAAAGUACAAGGUCAAGGGCGGCUACGUGCUCCACCUCGUGCUCGCCCUCAGGGGCGGUGCCUGCUAGAAUUUGGGUCUUAUGGUCGCUCGCUUUUCCAUGAGGGUGUAGCUUUGGUUUUUUUUCUUGCGUAUGAUUUUGGUUGGAACUUUUUGAACAGUGUUUGAGUCUCUUUAAAGCCAUAAUGUUUGAGGCCAGGUUACAUGUACGUACAAUCACAACAGUUGUCUGCACAAUAAUCUUUUCCCAUCCGUUCAUAUAUUUUUACCACCAAUCCACUAAAUCAAAGAUAUGAAAAUUUGUUUUGAGGCAAAUGUUGCCUCGCCGUUUGAAUAAAGAUACUUGCACUAACCAAUCAAAGAUAUGCAAUUUUUUACCGCUAUAAGGCACGAUGCUGACCGUCCGACUGGAUCGGACAGACGAGAACCACGCGGAAAUGCUGUCCAGAAUUCAGUCGUAGAAUGGGCCAAUUUUGACCCGCAAAAAAAUAGAAUGGACCAAUUUCUCCUCCAGGCUAUGGCCUGGUUGACUCUAUAUCUAUGGUCGCACAAAAUGGUUUUUCUUUUGGAUGAAUUUAUUUGUUGGGCCAGUGAAGUUAAUAUAUAACACCAAUAGGUUUUGGGCCGAGUUAUGAAAAUGUUUUUCCAGUGUAUUUUCUGCUAUAUUAUGAAAAUAUAAAUUAUGUAUGCACUAUUCAAAUGAGAAAUAUGAGCUCAAAUUUAUGUUGAAAGUUACUUUAAUGAUGAGAGAUUUUUAUAAUGUUUUUCCGUGGGUUAUAAUGGACCUAAUUAUGGUAUCAAUCAUUUUAUUUAUCUUUAGUGCUUUCUAAGUUGUUUCAGUUCCUUUUAUGUUUAUGCAUUGAAAAUAAAUCUAGUAUUAUGCUAAAAUCAUGUUUCAAUUUUUUGAAUACGGUUGAACCAAUUGGAAAUUGCAUUGAAAAUUCAUGUGGCAUUAAUGUUAAAUGUGAUUUCAUGGCAAUUUUUAAUGAUGAUCACCUUUUAGCAUCAUUUUAAUGUGAAAAUUCAUCUUGUAAAAUGAUAUAUUCACCAUUAUUACUCACUCACUAAAUUUUCCAAAAAAUAUUAUUUGAAAAAUUUAGUUUAGUGUGUUCUUUAUGUUGAUGUCAUCAUUAUCAACAAGCACAUGCCACCUAAGGAAAUGUUGAUUUUCGUGUGGUUUGGUUUUCCACACCCCACCAUGCGGCACAAUAUGUUUGGCCGGCAUGCCUAACGGGCAAAAUUAAUGUUUUCAGAUGGUGCAUUUUAUCUUAUUGAAUGCACUGUACAACUAGAAUGGCAUUGAUGAAAUUAUGGUUGAUUCUCUAAACUAGCUCGCUCCAGAAUAAGUAUAAUUGAGCAUGCUCAAAAUAAGUGCCUCAACUUUAUUAUAACUUUGUACUAACGUUAGUACAAAGUAUAGACACUUAUUUUAGGACGGAGGGAGUAUAAACUAGCUACAGUUGGUAAGUUCUUUGUCAAGUGAUUAGAGAUAAGGUUAUGAGGCGAAUAUUCUUUUCCCUGGUUAAAAUUUCAUCAAAAAGGGAGCUGACCUCGACACAAGAAGCCGGUCCAUAAAAGUUAGUCUCGAAUGUAAGCAGUCCAAUACUGAACAAACACUUGUUUCAAAAAUGGCGCGACAAGUCGCGCAACCGCUUCUAGUAAGUACACUACCCUUCAACUGUCCAAAAAUUUCAACCAGACUGUAGCCAAUCUGUUGAAAAUGGAACACAAAAUUUGACGACGAAAUCCACGUGACUUUUACAACCCCUGCGACCUUUUUGUGUUCCAUCCAAACUCAAACAUGUGAGAGAAAAACAAGAAGCAAGCAAAAGAUGCUCCGCAAUUGCUUACCGAAAGUUGUUAUACAACUAUUGCAGCAGAUAAAAAAUCUCUUAAUUUUAUUAAACAAAGGUCAGCUGAUGUACAAAGCAUGCCAACAAUGUAAUCUGCAGAAACUAGUAUUCUUAUAGUGUUAUAUGGGAUCAAACCUGAAUUUUGUUCACAUGUUAUUCGGAAGAUUUACGACAUGUGCUAAACCAAAUAUACUCCGGGUGCGCAGCAAAAUGCAGCAAGUCGCCUGCAUUUUCAUUUUCUGAGUAAACAUGGGUGCAUUAGCAUCGCCAUAUUCAAAAUGAUAGGUGCUAAUGAAAAUGACUGAAACUUAUAGGCCGAGUGUCCGGGCACAUCAGCAUCACCAUGUUCAGAAUUCAACCUUUGUGAAAACACAAAUUCAUUUUCUGCUGAUGGACUCAAACUUUCAGCAGAGUUUCAUCCAAGACACCACAUCUGUGCCAACACCAGAUGCUUCAUCUAAGACUAAGAGAAAUGCAGGUGGCAACGUUGAAGUAGUGUCCAUUGUCGAACACAUUACAGACUAAUGUCACUGCACCACUGAUCAAACAGUUUCGGAAUAUUAGAACCGUGAUGCCAACGCAAAUAGGUUUCUUAUUAUAUUGUCUGGAGAACAAACCAAGUUUAGCUAGUAGAAACACAACAACUGCUUGGUUUUCUUGAACCCAUAUCUCAGUGGAAGGAACUGGGUUCUAAUGUGCCGCAGUCAUACCCAAAAUAUACAAUACUUGUGCCCUGUUUUAGGGCAACCCAAAACAAAAUUCAGCAACUUUUGGUUUUUGGGCAACUGUUUUGGCCGAAGAGGGACUUCAUCAAAUUCAUACUGACACAGAUUUUGUUAGAUCUGGUAUAGGAGGCACUGCGGUGGCUGUAUGCAUGGACUCUUCUGGGAAUUACUUGCGAUCAUGUACGCUAGUAAUUCAUGGCAUGAGAGAAGUUUCAACUCUAGAGGUAUCGCUUGCAGGGAAGCUCUAUCUUUGGCGGAUGAUCUUCUACUUCACAAUUUUCUAGUGGCUACUGAUUCUAAGCAGGUGGCUAAUGAUAUCAACAUGGGCUGCACUGGUAUUCAUGGUCUGAUUGUAGCUGAGAUUAAGUUAAGGACAACCAAAUUUAAUUGUAGUUUUUGUUUCUGAGAGUCAGGCCUUGAAUAGAGAAGCCCAUUUACUAGCCAAGCUUUUUGAUUCUUUAGAUUGUGGUAGACAUGUCUGGUUGGGACAGCCUCAUGAUCACAUUUAUUUUCCCAGUUUUGUGAACUAUGAAUAACAAACUUUGGUGGUUCUUAAAAAAUGAAGUUGCUGGAGCCGUUUUUUGCCCUCCAAGUAGUCAAAAAGCGACUGAGAUGCUCUGACUGAGCACGAACAACACUAUGUACAGAUACCAGAACCAGUGUACCCCAAAUGGCUAGGAUUGUCAGGUAAUAGUACUGAAACAUGUUAACCAGAAACAUGUAAAGAUACCCUAAACAGUUCAACAGUGUCCACGUACAACUCACUCUAGACUGUUGACCGGGUCUUGGCCCAUUCCUCAGACACAACUUUUUGACAAACUUUAUUCAAGCCCUACAAUAAGCCUGGUACGCAGAGUCGACCAAGUCACCUUCACUGAGAUCAACCCAAAAUCAGUCUUUAUCUCUCGAGUAUCAAGUCCAUGCGUGUCUGCCUGGAAGGAACAACAUCGUUCCGCUGAACCAGAUGGCCCCGAGGCCGCCUUGAACUUCAAAACCAGAGUGGAACCAUCCACUACAGCAACCACAGACCUCUUUAAAUGACGUGACUCGCCAACUGUACCAUUGAAGAGCCGAAUUCCUUCGUUAUAACCACNNNNNNNNNNGAUAAAACAGCGCAAGCGCAGAUGAAAACUGCUCUGCACUUCUGACACGGCAACUUCAAUAUUCGCCAUGACUGCGUCAUCAACACGUGCUAUGGUUAAGUCAACCGCACCACAGUCGCCUUGGAUGCGAUUUUUCAAUGCACGAUUCCAUGGGCCCAGGUCGUCUAUGUCUGUUACACCAUCAAUCAGCUGGUAAUCAUCCCUUUCUUCCUCACCUACCUUGAUCCUCAUGUCAUAUUCCACUAGAAUACUGGAAAUCAAAUCUAUCCCUCGCUUAGGGCCAGCCAUGUCGAUGAGAGAACCCUACAAAUUUGUUACUGUUUAGUAGCUCUCCAUAUGGAAGUAAGAAACAACUAAAGCUUUAUACUACCUCUGUUUCUAAAUGUAAGACGUUUUGGCAAUUCAAAAAUUGAACUACCAAAACACAUCUUACAUUUAGGAACAGAGGGUGUACUUCUCUAAGCUGUUUUACUUGCAACAUUAAUUUUGUGAUACUUUACAAUUGCUGACCAACAUCUUUGCCACAUAUCAAACUGACUGGUUACAUAGUGUACACCAGUGUUUGGGAGGGGGGGAAAUUGGCCCUCGGUAUUUAUUUGACAUUGUUCAGAUCCCAAUUUUUACAUAAGCAUGUCGAAAUGAGAAGAGAAAACAAAAUGACUUAAUAGUGAUGCAAUGAUUCAUGCUGGUGUGUUAAGUAGCAACUAAGAGCCCGAACUAUUCUGUUUGAUUUUGUUUGGAAUACAUGAUAUACUCACUCAGUUCCAUAUUUUAUAAGUUUCUCAUAGUAAAUCACCUUUCCACAAUAUAAACUUGGUGUAAUGGUGGCCUAAACAAUCCAAACUACCAUUCUGCUAGGUCUGUACAGAUAAAUCACAAGACUUGAGAGUGCUUGCUGUUCCAUACAUACACUAGGUUUGGCCUUACAAUGUGAAAUGAAUAGAUUUGACAUAAGUCAGGUAUUUGACCCCNNNNNNNNNNNNNNNNNNNNNNNNNNNNNNNNNNNNNNNNNNNNNNNNNNNNNNNNNNNNNNNNNNNNNNNNNNNNNNNNNNNNNNNNNNNNNNNNNNNNNNNNNNNNNNNNNNNNNNNNNNNNNNNNNNNNNNNNNNNNNNNNNNNNNNNNNNNNNNNNNNNNNNNNNNNNNNNNNNNNNCCUCAGAUGGUUUCGCCCACACUGCAACAUCCACCUAAUGUGAGAACUUCCCCAGUGGGUACUUAAAACCAUAUGGAAUGCUUCAAGGGGACAAAUACAUUGUUUUAUACUUGAGGGGGUUAUUAAGUAGACUUAUUGCUUGAAAUAAUCGUAGGUAAGUAUGGAUUCGCACCUGCUUCACAAUGAUGGGAUCAUCCCUGCUUAUAUUGACAACAUAAUUACGCAAUGUAUCCAGAUAAUCCCGCACUGCUAUGUAUCCAUACAACUCUACUGGGCCAAGAUCCAGAGUAAGUUCAGCCAACUUUAAUGAGAAAAUUUGUAACACGCGAUUAGGUUGAUGCCGAAUGCAUUCUCCAUUGCGGAUGUCACAAUCUGUGGGAUCUGGUAGCCGAGCUUCAUAAAAGAAGUAAAGAAAUAAGUUAAAUUGUAAUGGAAAACAAUACAGGAAAAAAAUAGUCGUCAUACAAAAAGUAAGCGUGUCACUAGAGGAUUCCAUGGCCCUAUUGGAAGUUUCCUUUUCAUCCAAAUGAAAAUUAUCGAUGUUCUUUCUACUAUGAAUUUCACUCCAUCAAAGGUUUUUGUUUUAGGAAACCCAAAGAAAAGCAGGUAACAUUUCAUCAUGUCAGCAAGUAAAGGUCCAUUUCACCCUCCCAGAUUAUUUCAUAACCCCCUAAACUUAUUUAUUUGUUAUGUCUACCCGAAGAAUUACUAAAACAAAUCAAUUCAGCCCUUGAUGAAAAUAUUCUAUUGUUUCACUUUCUAGAAGUCUUAUUGUAAGUUAGUUUUUUUAUUUUGAUGGUAGAUAACAUCAGUCUGUAUAAUAAAAAAUCAUAAUUUUCGAUCCUGCAUACUUGGGAGCAACUAAACCUACUUCAAUGCUCAUGGUACAAAAAUAUGUGCUAAAAAUGCGGUUUAUGAACAUAUUUCUGUACGGUACAUGGUGACAACAAAAAGGAUAAAAACCAGUCAUGUGGCGAACCGGGGUGGGUUGGUGGAGGCCCAGGAUAACCAAACUAAGGUAAUGCAGGAAUCUGAAGAAUUUCCUCCCCUACUUUUGCAAAACCUAACAAAUGCAACUCCUGAAUGCCAAUGCAUCUACAUUUAACUUGUAAAAUUAAGGAAAGUAAAGAAAAAAAGCCAGAUGAUUUCAACAGAGAACACAUCAGUUGACACUAUAGCUUGAAAAAGGUGCUUGUAACAAAUUGAAAUAGGUAAAGAGAGAUUAUUUACUUACUCUCACUACAGUCAUCAACAUUAUACAUCCUUUUCCACGAAUGAGUGUUCCUGUAUAAAGAACCAUCACGGUGUGUGCUUUUUGGAAGAAAUCCCAGGUCAAGAAUAUCAUCUUCUUCGGCAUCGCUUGCUACCAAUGCGCUCCUUCUAUUGGUUGCACUCCUCCCGUUUUCAUCACAACCAGAGAUGUCCACAAUAUUCGAAGAUGCAUCAUGUUUGCCGGCUAUAGUAUUCAUAUCUUGCAAGGUUGUCCCACUAGUCAUGCUCCGAGAUCCAGGUGGAAAUCUAUCACGAAAGAGAAUAAAGAGCAAAUCUGAGCACCCGACAGAAAAUUCAAUUCUUUUUCGGUUCCCCUUUCAUUUUCGUCGGAUUAACUAUAAGACCCCACACCCCCUGCCUUAUUUACAAAAAUCAACACAUAAGGAUAAUUAAAAGGGAUUUUUCUCGAAUACGCUCGGAUAAUUAAAAGGGGUAAAAAACCACAGUCGGUCAGAAUCCAGAUCCAAAACUAUAAUAAUAAGAAACUAAAGGCGAAAAUUUUGGCAUCAGAUGAUGAGAGCAUACCGGGAAACACGACGGACAGGUAGAUCUGGAACCAUCAUGAGAGGGAAACUUCGCCGUGCAAGCGGUGGUGGCGACCAGUAAGGCGGGGCAGAGGCCAUGAAAGAGAGGAGAGGUCGCGAGGUAGAGGAGAGGCGGCGCAGUGGGUCAUGAGAGAUGGCGACGCCAGGUCGCCGGAGGAGACGAAAAAUCUGACGGAGGAUUGGCAUCUGAGCGCGCGGCGGCGGCAGAGGUGGGGUGUGCCGGUGUGGAGAAUGGGGAGAGGAAAGGGCUGAACGCACGGGGCCGGUCUUCUUUACUCUCUUAUAUCUUAUAUCAGAAUAGCACACAUAUGCCCGUGCGUUUCAAGCAACGGGAGAGAUAUUUUAUUUACGACAAGCAACAAAAAGAUAAUUAAUUGUGUUAAAAAACGGUCUCCACAAUGGUAGGCGAGAGAGCAAGGAGUUGCGGCCUUCUCACUGGACAUGUUUGGCUCGUGAAAUCUUAAUAGUGGUGGAGUUGGUAGGCGUGGUGGCGAGCACCCAACUCGUCCAUUUUUCUUUUGCAUGCCUCCUCAUUUGGUGGAUGUGUGACGACCAUCGGUACACGGUUGCUUCGACCACUCUCUUACGACAGUGUAACCAGAUGGAUUACUAAUUGCAGCGCAUAAAUCCUCUUACACAGGCAUAAUCAGGUAUGAAUGUCCCUUUAUUACGAAGGUUUAUUCCCUUUGAUUAUUUUAGCACUUAUGUUAAAAAAUUGAAAGCCCGGACAGUUAAAAAAAUGUGAACAUUUAUUUUUAGAAAAUUCCAUAUAAUUAAGAAAACAAAAAAAUUAGAAAGAGGAAUUGUUAUUUAAGUUCGAAAAAACAUGUUGAAACCAUGAACAUUUUAUAAAAACACAAAAUUAUUAAUUUUUUUAAAAGGGGGACAUUCAGAAAAAAAAUUAAAAAUGUUUUCUUAGACGCAAACAUUAUUUUGUUUUUGUGAACUUUUCAAUAAAAUAGGAAUAUUUUUUGGAAUAUGGAACAUUUUAUAAAAUAUUAACUUUAUAAAAAAAUCUCGAAAAAUUCUAAAACAGAAUCUUUUUUAAAUGGCAACAUUUUUUAAAUGUUGAGAAAAUUCCGAAACCAGUUUUUUUAAGUUUAUAAUAUUUUUCAAAACAAUAAUAAAGUUUUAUAAUGCUGAUUUUUGAAUAUUUGAAUAAAAAAUUAAAUUGUGAAUAUAUUUUGUAUAUUUUUAUUUCACAGCAAAAUAAAAAAAGUGAAAAGGAAAACGAAACAUUUAAAUGGCCCGGCCCAGUCUUGGGCGACCUGUGCGUUCCUUGAACUAUUUGUCGGUGUGUGCGACAAAUAAGCUCUUUUUAACGCCUGGGCAGGAUAAUUACUGGGUUGGCUUUGUUGGGCUGGAGUGCGCCCGGCCCAAAUGCGGAAUUCUGGAGAAACUUUUUGUCUUUUCUAGUAGAUGCACAAAAAUUUAGUACCACCUCGGAUAGAAAAAAUAUUUUCGACGAUGAACGGAUGAAAAUAUUGGAGAAACGCACUUUGCUUUAUUAGUAGGUAUAGAUUUUCACUUUUGCAGAAAACCCCAGAUAAUUAUUGAUAAUCAACCCACACGACAGUUUUAAGUCAGAUUUUUGUUUUGUUAGGAAACUAGCGGUGUGACCCGCGCAUUUGCGCGGCUAGAUUAGUUACACAUUGUUAUGAUUAUUUCUUUAUUUGUAUUUUAUUUAUUUUUCUAAUUGCAAAAUGUUUAUUUUUAUUUAUUUAUAAUAGAAUUUCUAAAUGUUAUAAAUUAUAUAGCCAUAUUACCACAUGACUAUGAAUUAUUUGUCCCACAUAUAUUAGCACAUGACUAUACAAUUUUUGUUUUACAUGAUCUACUGUCUUAUCUUAUUCAGGUGCACAACUGAACAAUCUAUUAAGUCAUCAAUAGUGAUGUUUCUGUUUAAGAAUGGAAGUUAAAGAUCCCGUGGGUUGCCAUGCAAAAACAACACUUUCAUACUAAUAUGUAAGUUCCAGUUUACACUCUAGCGAUCCCGCAAAAAAAAAGUUUACACUCUAGCUCCCAUCGUUAGCUAGGAUUAAGUAGAGUUCUUUUCUUUAAUCUAUCUCAUCAUUAGACAUAAUUUANNNNNNNNNNNNNNNNNNNNNNNNNNNNNNNNNNNNNNNNNNNNNNNNNNNNNNNNNNNNNNNNNNNNNNNNNNNNNNNNNNNNNNNNNNNNNNNNNNNNNNNNNNNNNNNNNNNNNNNNNNNNNNNNNNNNNNNNNNNNNNNNNNNNNNNNNNNNNNNNNNNNNNNNNNNNNNNNNNNNNNNNNNNNNNNNNNNNNNNNNNNNNNNNNNNNNNNNNNNNNNNNNNNNNNNNNNNNNNNNNNNNNNNNNNNNNNNNNNNNNNNNNNNNNNNNNNNNNNNNNNNNNNNNNNNNNNNNNNNNNNNNNNNNNNNNNNNNNNNNNNNNNNNNNNNNNNNNNNNNNNNNNNNNNNNGGGGGGCAUUAUUUAUUUUAAUUGUUUCUCACUUCUGCAUAUGAGGUAAUACCAUCCCUCCAUUGUACAUUUUUGCACAAAAAAGUAUAUAAAAUGGCACAAUAUGUGUCUUCCCUACUAUUUUUGCUAUUAAAAACAUAUUGUCAUACUUUCCUUUGUGCUCACUCUUGGAGUGCCUUGUUCUUUCUGGUCAUUUUCAUGUCUGUUUUAGGUCGAUUUAUGCCAUUAGAAUAUUAGCAUGAUUUCAAUUUGCGAGGACACUGUUUUUUGUGUCAUGCAAUUAAUACACUUAUUGACCGCACACAUAGUAUAUUGUCAUUGUUUUUAAUCACCCAAUUUCAUCUAUCUCAUAUACUAAGUGAUUCUUGUCCAUUUAAUACUUGAGGUAUAAGAUGUCGCCUCUCCACCACCUGAAUUGUGUGAAGCCUCGGAGUAACCAAUGGUUCACACACGCAUAGUGUUUGUCCAUACAAUGUGUACUCAACAACUAUUUUAACCUUACCUCUAUGCAUUUAUCCAUUUUUAAGAAACCCAUGCAUGUUGAUAGAUAUCACCCGAGAGAUGUUCCCUUAUUGUUGGUCCAAUAACUAUAUAUAUUGCAUGCUGCCAAAUCCAGAUUAGACUGUCAAAUUUAUUUCAGUUUCACCCAAGACACUAAAACUUGGGAUCGCUAUUUCUCUAACAAACCCGUACUGCUCCUUUAUUAACCGUUGUUUUGAUCCGACUCAAAUUUUCUAACUAACUUGUACUACUCUUUAUUUACUAUUGUUCAGAUCCGCCUCAUAUUUUCUUUUCUUCGUGCUUUAACAGCCAUACAUAUUAUCUAAAGCGUUAAAAUUAUUAAAUCAACGAUAAAGUAAUGAUGCAAUCUAUUUGUUCAUUGUUUUAAUUACGAAAUAAAUUAGAUAUAUAUUCUGGGCCUUUUUUGCGGGAAUAUAUAUCAAAAGUUAGCUUCAUUUAUGUGGGUCGCAUGUAUAUUAAGUUGCUUUUUUCCUUAUCCCAAAUUACAUAACGUAUAAUAUAGUAUUAAAAAUUUAAAUGACGCAAGAGGUUCAUAUAUAAAUUUGAUUGUAUUGUUUGUCCACCUAAUAGUAUAUGUAUCUAGUAUGUUUAUUUUGAACAAUCUGACUCAAAACCUCGAUCAUCUGUGAUGAACCACAUUCUUGUAGAUUCCAACUUAAAAUGAUAAAUUCAGUGGCUUUGUUUUGUACAGGUUGAAUGCUUGUUUGCUUGGCCCGAAUAUUAUCUCAGCGGCGUUGAUCACCAAUUCCUUUUUUGGGAAUUGUAUGUAUAUUUUUAGAUGAAUUGCAUGCAUGUUCUUUCUGAAAGACUUGCACCUAUAUUUUCUUGGAAAGACCUACCUGUACAUUUUUUAUAUGUUCAUGACUAUUUUUUUUAAUAUCUACGCAUGACUCAGGUUGUCUGAUGUUGGAUGCAUGUUUUUGUAAAGACUUGCACGUAGUUUUUUCACAUUGGUACAUGACUUAGAUGGGCAAGUGCGCUUGUUGUAGAUUGCUUGGACUCACCCAAGCGGCAUGUACGUAGAUGUCAUAUGCUUGUGCGUGUCAUGGCCGACGUAGGCCCCCCUUCUUUUCUCUUUGCUUCAGGAAACUAACCUAAUCGUUUGUGUCCGACGAUAAACUUUGUGUAUGUGAUAGGUUGUACAUGCAAGGUAUCGGAAUUGCUUUUUUAUUUUUGACCGACCCAUACAGCUUCUUCAUUAAAUAUUGCUUUGAUCAGACUAAUAUUUCCUUUUCCUUGUUCUUUACGCCCGAACAUAUUAUCUCCAGCGUGACACAACGUACAUAACAAUAUUGUACAUUCCAUGAUAGUUGGGUUAAUCAACCUGCAGUACAUAUAAAAUGUUUUCUUAAAAGUAUCCGUAUCUUUUAAACCGUGACUUCAAAUUUAAUAUGUUAUAUAAAAUUUGAUUAGAAAAACUAAUCAUCAACCUGUGCACCAGCACGGGCUAGAACGUUUGUAGUCACUGUACUUGCUACUUUUGUACAAAAUAGUGUCUAAAUUUAUUUUUCACAUAUUAGUUACAUAUAGGGACACAUAUUUUUUUUGAUGAUGUUUUACUUGUCAGAAAAUAUGAUAAAUCCUCAAAGUCUUGCAAAUCCAAAAUGCAAUCAUAGUCUUAUAAUAUUUUGAACGAACAUGCAAUUUUAUCUACUAAGAUCCCAAUAUACAAUUCAUAUAAAUAGACGCAUGUAUAUGCAAAGCUUAAAACCAAAUUGAAUAAUUGAUAUUUCUCUUCAAAAAAAUACAAUAAUGCAACCGCAAGUUCGGGGACCCAGAAAAGCAAAAUACUGCUUCACCAUAUUUUAGAACAAUAUAAUGAAUAUGUAAAAAAAACUGAAUGGAGUUGAAUAUCCCAUGUUGAUUCCUAUACAUAACAAAAAGUAAGUAGUAAAACAUUAUUGUCCAAACAAAAUGUUAAUUUACAAUGCUUUGGCUUUCAAGGUUAAUCAUCUAGUGCAUUGCACAUUUCAGAAUGAACAUCCUCUACAAAGCAACAUAGCUUGGCAAAUAUGCAUGCAAAUAUCAAGGAUUUCUGCAACGCGGAAUUAUGAAAAAAAAUUGUAUGCCAGAAUAUGAAACUUAACACCGAAAAAUCCCCCAACCAAGAGACAGUCUAACACUAGUAGAAAACAGGGUUUUGAUCCAGGCCUGAAGAGGGCAUUAACCCCGGUUCUCAUAUGAACCGGGACCAAUGGGAGCAUUAGUCCCAGUUCAUGAGGCCAGGGGGCCGGCCGGGCCUCGGGGGCCAAUGGUCCCGGUUCGUCUGACCCCUUUGGUCCCGGUUCUAGACACAAACCGGGACCAAUGGGCCUUGCUCCUGGCCCACAACCUUUAGUCCCGGUUUGUGUCUGGAACCGGGACCAAAUAGAGGCCUAUAUAUACCUUGCCCGCGAGCAGAGCAGUGCACUCUUUGUUUUUUUGGCUAGCCGUGGGAGAGCUUUGUGGUGCUCUAGCUCACCUCCUAUGCACAUGAGGUGUUCGAUGAAAUACCCGAGCCACACUUUAUAAGCUUUCUCCUCUCGAAAUUCCUUGUCCCAACUCCAUUUUCCUCAAGAUUUGUCUAGGUUUGUGAUACGUCUCCAACGUAGCUAUAAUUUUUGAUUGUUCCAUGCUACUAUAUUAUCCAUCUAGGAUGUUUCAUAUGCAUUUAUAUGCUAUUUUAUAUGAUUUUUGGGACUAACCUAUUAACCUAGAGCCCAGUGUCAGUUUCUGUUUUUUCCUUGUUUUUGAGUAUCGCAGAAAAGGAAUACCAAAUGGAGUCCAAUUGACGUGCCAAUUUUUGAUGAUUUUUAUGGACCAAAAGAAGCCCCCGGAGUAAAAGAGUUGGGCCAGAAGAGUGCCGAGCUGUCCACGAGGGUGGGGGCGCGCCCUACCCCCUGGGCAUGGGCCCUAUCUCGUGGACGACUCGGAGACCCCCCUGACGUGAGACCGACGCCAAAAAUUCCUAUAAAUACAGAAACCUCCAGAACAUAACCUAGAUCGGGAGUUCCACCGCCACAAGCCUCUGUAGCCACCAAAAACCAAUCGGGACCCUAUUCCGGCACCCUGCCGGAGGGGGGAUCCCUCACCGGUGGACGUCUUCAUCAUCCCGGUGCUCUCCAUGAUGAGGAGGGAAUAGUUCACCCUCGGGGCUGAGGGUAUGUACCAGUAGCUAUGUGUUUGAUCUCUCUCUCUCUCUCUCGUGUUCUUGAUUUGACACGAUCUUGAUGUAUCGCGAGCUUUGCUAUUAUAGUUGGAUAUUAUGAUGUUUCUCCCCCUCUACUCUCUUGUAAUGGAUUGAGUUUUCCCUUUGAAGUUAUCUUAUUGGAUUGAGUCUUUAAGGAUUUGAGAACAAUUGAUGUAUGUCUUGCGUGGGAUACCAGUGGUCACAAUGGGGUAUUCUAUUGAUCUACUUGAUGUAUGUUUUGGUGAUCAACUUGCGGGUUCAGUGACAUUGGGAAUCUAUGCAUAGGGAUUGGCACACGUUUUCGUCUUGACUCUCCGGUAGAAACUUUGGGGCACUCUUUGAAGUACUUUGUGUUGGUUUGAAUAGAUGAAUCUGAGAUUGUGUGAUGCAUUCGUAUAAUCAUACCCAAGGAUACUUGAGGUGACAUUGGAGUAUCUAGGUGACAUUAGGGUUUUGGUUGAUUUGUGUCUUAAGGUGUUAUUCUAGUACGAACUCUAGGAUAGAUCGAACGGAAAGAAUAGCUUCGUGUUAUUUUACUACGGACUCUUGAAUAGAUCGAUCAGAAAGGAUAACUUUGAGGUGGUUUCAUACCCUACAAUAAUCUCUUUGUUUGUUCUCCACUAUUAGUGACUUUGGAGUGACUCUUUGUUGCAUGUUGAGGGAUAGUUAUAUGAUCCAAUUAUGUUAUUCUUGUUGAGAGAACUUGCACUAGUGAAAGUAUGAACCCUAGGCCUUGUUUCAAUGCAUUGCAAUACCGUUUUCGCUCACACCUAUAUCUACCAUCCAUAUUGCACUUGUAUCACCAUCUCUUCGCCGAACUAGUGCACCUAUACAAUUUACCAUUGUAUUGGGUGUGUUGGGCACACAAAAGACUCUUUGUUAUUUGGUUGCAGGGUUGUUUGAGAGAGACCAUAUCCAUCCUACGCCUCCCAUGGAUUGAUAAACCUUAGGUCAUGCACUUGAGGGAAAUUUGCUACUGUCCUACAAAUCUCUGCACUUGGAGGCCCAAUAACAUCUACAAGAAGAAGGUUAUGUAGUAGACAUCAGUUUGGCGGUCCUUCCUGUCCCGUCCCCGUCCUCACUACCAUCGAUCGCCCGCGCCGAUCUCGUCGCCGGCGCCACUGUGGUGAGCCUCUUGUUCUUAUCUUCUUUCUAAAAGAAAAAAUUCUUACUUAUAUGAUUUAGAUUGCUACUUGUAUAAUUUUCUUACUUUUAUUAUUGUUUGAAUGUUUGUUAUUAUAUAGUGCGAUGGUUUUGGUAUUCGCCCCCGUCGACCCUCGUCCUGUCUAUGAUGCAGAUGUGGUAUAUACUAUCUUUUAUAACUAUUUCUUUCAUUUAGUGUUUAUGACAAUUAUGCCGACCAACGUGACAUAGAUGUUUUAUGUAGGAGGUAUGUGGAUUAAAAAUUCCAACUGACCCUCUUGUCGAGAGGUUAAAAUUUAGUUGAAAAAGAAAAUGACUACUUGAAGAAAAAAAAUGAAAAGAAUUGAGGAGGAGAAGAUGGCAUUGGAGUUGCAUGUUGUGGAUAUCAUCGAUGAUCACAAGAUCAAGAUGUAUAAAAUGCGCUUGAAGAUUAGAAAAUUUUAAAAAUAUGCCAUUCAUACUGAGGCUUGGUAUCAUUAUGCCGUUGGAUCAAUUGUUACCUUAGUUGCCAUUAUGAUCGCAUAUGUUGUUGCAUUGAAAUGUUUUACAUAGUUUCAAUGUAUGGUUUAAUUAGAUGCUCACGAGAGCUAUAUGUUGUUCAAUGAGAACUAUGUAUUAACUUUAUGUAUUUAUUUUUUUAGUAAUAACAUUUGAUCACUACUGUACUUUGGUUUUAAUGUGAUGAUGAAAUCCCUUUGUAACAGAUGAGUUUUCGCCCGAAGCCCUGAUACUUCGAAAGAGAUUGUCCGUUUUGCACACGAAGUGCAUCCAGUUUUUGCCGUAACCCUCUCAGCUUUUUAGAACAUGCUAUGUGGGUGAAAUGAUGAUACCAUGCCAACUUUCAACCUUUUCAGAGUUCAUUUUAAGUGCUUUUCAAUUUCAGGGUCAUUGUGACGCACUCGACUCAAUCGUACAUUAAUCAUACACGCAAAUGUGUACGAUCAAGAUCAAGGACUCACGGGAAGAUAUCACUGUUGGAAAUAUGCCCUAGAGGCAAUAAUAAAUUGGUUAUUAUUAUAUUUCCUUGUUUAUGAUAAUCGUUUAUUAUCCAUGCUAGAAUUGUAUUGAUAGGAAACUCAGAUACAUGUGUGGAUACAUAGACAACAUCAUGUCCCUAGUAAGCCUCUAGUUGACUAGCUCGUUGAUCAAUAAGAUGGUUACGGUUUCCUGACCAUGGACAUUGGAUGUCGUUGAUAACGGGAUCAUAUCAUUAGGAGAAUGAUGUGAUGGACAAGACCCAAUCCUAAGCCUAGCACAAGAUCGUGUAGUUCGUUUGCUAAAGCUUUUCUAAUGUCAAGUAUCAUUUCCUUAGACCAUGAGAUUGUGCAACUCCCGGAUACCGUAGGAGUGCUUUGGGUGUGCCAAAUGUCACAACGUAACUGGGUGGCUAUAAAGGUACACUACAGGUAUCUCCGAAAGUGUCUCUUGGGUUGGCACGAAUCGAGACUGGGAUUUGUCACUCCGUGUAAACGGAGAGGUAUCUCUGGGCCCACUUGGUAGGACAUCAUCAUAAUAUGCACAAUGUGACCAAGGAGUUGAUCACGGGAUGAUGUGUUAUGGAGCGAGUAAAGAGACUUGCCGGUAACGAGAUUGAACAAGGUAUCGGAUACCGACGAUCGAAUCUCGGGCAAGUACAAUACCGCUGGACAAAGGGAAUUGUAUACGGGAUUGAUUGAAUCCUCGACAUCGUGGUUCAUCCGAUGAGAUCAUCGUGGAACAUGUGGGAGCCAACAUGGGUAUCCAGAUCCCGCUGUUGGUUAUUGGCUAGAGAGUUGUCUCGGUCAUGUCUGCAUGGUUCCCGAACCCGUAGGGUCUACACACUUAAGGUUCGGUGAUGCUAGAGUUGUUAUGGGAAAUAGUAUGUGGUUACCGAAGGUUGUUCGGAGUCCCGGAUGAGAUCCCGGACAUGACGAGGAGCUCCGGAAUGGUCCGGAGGUGAAGAUCAGUAUAUUGGACGAAGGGUAUUGGAGUCCGGAAUUGUUCCGGGGUACCAGGUGAUGACCAGCGUGUCCGAAAGGGAUUUCGGAGGCCCCGGCAAGCGUUGGGGGGCCUUAUGGGCCAAGGGGAGAGGGCACAUCAGCCCACUAAGGGGCUGAGCGCCCCUCCCACCACAUCUCACGUAACCAGGAGAGGUGGGGGCGCCACCCCUAGGGCAGCCGCCCCUCCCGGCUUGGGGGGGGCAAGUUUCCUAGGGGGUGGGGGCGCCCAAACCCAUCUAGGGUUUCCCCUAUGGCCGCCGCCCCUCCCCUAGGGAACCCUAGGGCGCCUCCCCCUCCUCCCUUCCCCCUAUAUAUAGUGAGGGAGAGAGAGGGCAGCCGUACCUUUCCCCUGGCGCAGCCCUCUUCCUCCUCCGUAGUGCUUGGCGAAGCCCUGCCGGAGAACCACGAGCUCCAUCAUCACCACGCCGUCGUGCUGUCGGAGUUUUCCCUCAACUUCUCCUCUCACCUUGCUGGAUCAAGAAGGAGGAGACGUCUCCCAACCGUACGUGUGUUAAACGCGGAGGUGCCGUCCGUUCAGCGCUAGGAUCAUCGGUGAUUUGGAUCACGACGAGUACGACUCCAUCAAUCCCGUUCACUUGAACGCUUCCGCUUAGCAAUCUACAAGGGUAUGUAGAGGCAAUCUCCUUCCCCUCGUUGCUAGAUUACUCCAUAGAUUGAUCUUGGUGAUGCGUAGAAAAUUUUGAAUUUCUUCUACGUUCCCCAACAAUGGCAUCAUGAGCUAGGUCUAUGCGUAGUUUCUAUGCACGAGUAGAACACAAAGCAGUUGUGGGCGUCGAUAUUGUCAAUUUACUUGCCGUUACUAGUCUUAUCUUGAUUCGGCGGCAUCGUGGGAUGAAGCGGCUCGGACCGACCUUACACGUACGCUUAUGUGAGACUGGUUCCACCGACUGACAUGCACUAGUUGCAUAAGGUGGCUAGCGGGUGUCUAUCUCUCCCACUUUAGUCGGAUCGGAUUCGAUGAAAAGGGUCCUUAUGAAGGGUAAAUAGAAAUUGGCAUAUCACGUUGUGGUUUUCGUGUAGGUAAGAAACGUUCUUGCUAGAAACCUAUAGCAGCCACGUAAAAACUUGCAACAACAAUUAGAGGACGUCUAACUUGUUUUUGCAGCAUAUGCCUUGUGAUGUGAUAUGGCCAAAAGGAUGUGAUGAAUGAUAUAUGUGAUGUAUGAGAUUGAUCAUGUUCUUGUAAUAGGAAUCACGACUUGCAUGUCGAUGAGUAUGACAACCGGCAGGAGCCAUAGGAGUUGUCUUAAUUUAUUUAUGACCUGCGUGUCAACAUAACCGUCAUGUAAUUACUUUACUUUAUUGCUAAAGCGUUAGCCAUAGUAGUAGAAGUAAUAGAUGACGAGACAACUUCAAGAAGACACAAUGAUGGAGAUCAUGAUUGAAAGGAUCGAUAUGGUUGACUAGAGGGGGGGGGGUGAAUAGGCAACUAACAAUUUUUAGCUUUUCUUUAACAAUUUAAACUUUGCAUCAAAGUAGGUUGUCUAGAUAUGCAACUAGGUGAGCAACCUAUAUGAUGCAACGAGGAUAGGUACACAAGCAAGCAAGAGAUAUGAAACAAGUAAGCUUGCUCAAAUAAAGGCACGAGAUAACCAAGAGUGGAGACGGUGGAGACGAGGAUGUGUUGCCGAAGUUCCUUCCCUUUGAGAGGAAGUACGUCUCCGUUGGAGCGGUGUGGAGGCACAAUGCUCCCCAAGAAGCCACUAGGGCCACCGUAUUCUCCUCACACCCUCACACAAUGCGAGAUGCCGUGAUUCCACUAUUGGUGCCCUUGAAGGCGGCGACCGAACCUUUACAAACAAGGUUGGGGCUCUCCCCACAACUUAAUUGGAGGCUCCCAAAAAAACCACGAAGCUUCACCACAAUGGAAUAUGGCUCCGAGGUGACCUCAACUGUCUAGGGUGCUCAAACACCCAAGAGUAACAAAAUCCACACAAGAAAGUAUGGGGGAAGCAAGUAUCCUUUGGUGGAAGUGUAGAUCUAGGUCUCCUCCUUCAAUCCCUAGCAAAUCAACAAGUUUGAGUGGCUAGAGAGAGAGAUUGGGCAAGAGAGCUUGAAGGGCAUUAAUGGUGGAGUGAGAGAGGUCAAAGGUGGGAGUGGUAGGUGGGAGAAGCUCCCUUAAAUAGUCACCCACAUUUCCAACCGUUACUGCGUUUUUUGCACUUCAGCGGUACAACCGGUCCUCGUCCCGGUACAACCGGGACUCACGGUGUAACUGCAGAACCCUACCAAGCGGUACAACCGGACAGGCGGGCGGUAGUACCGGCUAAGAAAAAUAACCGGACUAACCGCCUGGCUACCGCACAACCACCGCAUCAAAACAGGAGCUUGACCGGUACUUGGGCAGUGCCUGGCUGGAACAACCGCAUGGCCUUGAGCUCUUGGGCAGCUAAGUUCUGAGCGGAAGAACCGCUCGGACCACCCGUGGUACCGGUCAUCGUGGAACGACCGGACCAACCGGGCCACUACCGCCCAAGAACCGCAUCAAACCAGAAGCGAGAGCGGUACUUGAGCGGUGCAUGGACGGAACCACCGCCCCCGCUGUUGCAGAGCAUGGUGGCGGUACCACCGCCCGGAGGCAGCGGUACAACCGCUCGAGCAAAGCUGGUGAGCGACAAGACCCAGCGAUACAACCGCUCCAGAGAGCGGUACAACCGCUGGGAAGAAACAGUGAGCAGGAAACAGGGGAAGAGGCAAGGAAAACUUGAAGGAAAUAUGCCCUAGAGGCAAUAAUAAAGUUAUUAUUUAUUUCCUUAUUUCAUGAUAAAUGUUUAUUAUUCAUGCUAGAAUUGUAUUAUCCGGAAACAUAAUACUUGUGUGAAUACAUAGACAAACUAAACGCCACUAGUAUGCCUCUACUUGACUAGCUCGUUAAUCAAAGAUUGUUAUGUUUCCUAACCAUAGACAUGUGUUGUCAUUUUAUUAACGGGAUCACAUUAUUAGGAGAAUGAUGUGAUUGACAUGACCCAUUCCAUUAGCUUAGCACUCGAUCGUUUAGUAUGUUGCUAUUGCUUUCUUCAUGACUUAUACAUGUUCCUAUGACUAUGAGAUUAUGCAACUCCCGUUUGCCGGAGGAACACUUUGUGUGCUACCAAACGUCACAACAUAACUGGGUGAUUAUAAAGGAGCUCUACAGGUGUCUCCAAAGGUAAAUGUUGGGUUGGCGUAUUUCGAGAUUAGGAUUUGUCACUCCGAUUGUCGGAGAGGUAUCUCUGGGCCCUCUCGGUAAUGCACAUCACAUAAGCCUUGCAAGCAUUACAACUAAUGAGUUAGUUGUGAGAUGAUGUAUUACGAAACGAGUAAAGAGACUUGCCAGUAACGAGAUUGAACUAGGUAUUGAGAUACCGACGAUCGAAUCUCGGGCAAGUAACAUACCGAUGACAAAGGGAACAACGUAUGUUGUUAUGCGAUCUGACCGAUAAAGAUCUUCGUAGAAUAUGUGGGAGCCAAUAUGAGCAUCCAGGUUCCGCUAUUGGUUAUUGACCGGAGACGUGUCUCGGUCAUGUCUACAUUGUUCUCGAACCCGUAGGGUCCGCACGCUUAAGGUUUCGAUGACAGAUAUAUUAUGAGUUUAUGAGUUUUGAUGUACUGAAGGAGUUCGGAGUCCCGGAUGAGAUCGGGGACAUGACGAGGAGUCUCAAAAUGGUCGAGACGUAAAGAUCGAUAUAUUGGACGACUAUAUUCGGACAUCGGAAAGGUUUUGAGUGAUUCGGGUAUUUUCGGAGGUACCGGAGAGUUACGGGAAUACGAGGAGGAAGCAAUGGGCCUUAAUGGGCCUUAGUGGGAAGGACCAGGAGGUGGCGCGCGCCCCUCCCAAGCCCAGUCCGAAUUGGACAAGGGGUUUGGGGCGCGGCCCCUCUCUCCCUUCCUUCCCCUCUUCCCCCCUUUCCCCCCUUCUCCUAGUUGGACUAGGAAAGGAGGAAACCUACUCCAACUAGGAGUAGGAAUCCUACUCCCUAGCGCGCCCCUCCUAGGGCCGGCCUCCUCCCCCUUGCUCCUUUAUAUACGGGGGCAGGGGGGCACCUCUACACACACAAGUUGAUCCUUGUGAUCGUUUUCUUAGCCGUGUGCGGUGCCCCCUUCCACCAUAUACCUCGAUAAUAUUGUAGUGGUGCUUAGGCAAAGCCCUGCGACAGUUGAACAUCAAGAUCGUCACCAUGCCCUCGUACUGACGGAACUCUUCCCCGACACUUUGCUAGAUCGGAGUCCGGGGAUCGUCAUCGAGCUGAACGUGUGCUAAAACUCGGAGGUGCCGUAGUUUCGGUGCUUGAUCGGUCGGGCCGUGAAGACGUACGACUACAUCAACCGCGUUGUGCUAACGCUUCUGCUGUCGGUCUACAAGGGUACGUAGAUCACACUCUCCCCUCUCGUUGCUAUGCAUCACCAUGAUCUUGCGUGUGAGUAGGAAUUUUUUUGAAAUUACUACGUUCCCCAACAGUGGUAUCAGAGCCUAGGUUUUAUGUGUUGAUGUUAUAUGCACGAGUAGAACACAAGUGAGUUGUGGGCGAUAUAAGUCAUACUGCUUACCAGCAUAUCAUACUUUGGUUCGGCGGUAUUGUUGGACGAAGCGGCCCGGACCGACAUUACGCGUAUGCUUACGCGAGACCGGUUCUCCCGACGUGCUUUGCACAAAGGUGGCUAGCGGGUGUUAGUUUCUCCAACUUUAGUUGAACCGAGUGUGGCUACGCCCGGUCCUUGCGAAGGUUAAAACAACACCAACUUGACAAACUAUCAUUGUGGUUUUGAUGCGUAGGUAAGAUUGGUUCUUGCUUAAGCUCGUAGCAGCCACGUAAAACUUGCAACAACAAAGUAGAGGACGUCUAACUUGUUUUUGCAGGGCAUGUUGUGAUGUGAUAUGGUCAAGACAUGAUGCUAAAAUUUUAUUGUAUGAGAUGAUCAUGUUUUGUAACCAAGUUAUCGGCAACUGGCAGGAGCCAUAUGGUUGUCACUUUAUUGUAUGCAAUGCAAUUGCGCUGUAAUGCUUUACUUUAUCACUAAACGGUAGCGAUAGUCGUGGAAGCAUAAGAUUGGCGAGACGACAACAAUGCUAUGAUGAUGAUCAAGGUGUCGCGCCGGUGACGAUGGUGAUCACGACGGUGCUUCGAAGAUGGAGAUCACAAGCACAAGAUGAUGGCCAUAUCAUAUCACUUAUAUUGAUUGCAUGUGAUGUUUAUCUUUUAUGCAUCUUAUCUUGCUUUGAUUGACGGUAGCAUUUUAAGAUGAUCUCUCACCAAUUAUCAAGAAGUGUUCUCCCUGAGUAUGCACCGUUGCAAAAGUUCUUCAUGCUGAGACACCAUGUGAUGAUCGGGUGUGAUAGGCUCUACGUUCAAAUACAACGGGUGCAAAACAGUUGCACACGCGGAAUACUCAGGUUAUACUUGACGAGCCAAGCAUAUACAGAUAUGGCCUCGGAACACGAAGAUCGAAAGGUCGAGCGUGAAUCAUAUAGUAGAUAUGAUCAACAUAGUGAUGUUCACCAAUGAAACUACUCCAUCUCACGUGAUGAUCGGACAUGGUUUAGUUGAUUUGGAUCACGUGAUCACUUAGAGGAUUAGAGGGAUGUCUAUCUAAGUGGGAGUUCUUAAAGUAAUAUGAUUAAUUGAACUUAAAUUUAUCAUGAACUUAGUCCUGGUAGUAUUUUUGUAAAUCAUGUUGUAGAUCAAUAGCUCGCGUUGUUGUUUCCCUGUGUUUAUUUUGAUAUGUUCCUAGAGAAAAUUGUAUUGAAAGAUGUUAGUAGCAAUGAUGCAGGAUUGGAUCCGUGAUCUGAGGUUUAUCCUCAUUGCUGCACAGAAGAAUUAUGUCCUUGAUGCACCGCUAGGUGACAGACCUAUUGCAGGAGCAGAUGCAGACGUUAUGAACGUUUGGCUAGCUCAAUAUGAUGACUACUUGAUAGUUUAGUGCACCAUGCUUAACGGCUUAGAAUCGGGACUUCAAAGACGUUUUGAACGUCAUGGAACAUAUGCGAUGUUCCAGGAGUUGAAGUUAAUAUUUCAAGCAAAUACCCCAGUUGAGAGAUAUGAAGUUUCCAACAAGUUCUAUAGCUAAAAGAUGGAGGAGAAUCGCUCAACUAGUGAGCAUAUGCUUAGAUUGUCUGGGUACUACAAUUGCUUGAAUCAAGUGGGAGUUAAUCUUCCAGAUAAAAUAGUGAUUAACAGAAUUCUCUAGUCACCAUCACCAAGUUAGUAAAACUUCGUGAUGAACUAUGAUAUGCAAGGGAUAACGGAAACGAUUCCCAAGCUCUUAGUAAUGCUGAAAUUGACGAAGGUAGAAAUCGAGAAAAACAUCAACUGUUGAUGGUAGACAAGACCACUAGUUUCAAGAAAAGGGCAGAGGGAAGAAGGGGAACUUCAAGAAGAACAGCAAGCAAGUUGCUGCUCAAGUGAAGAAGCCCAAGUCUGGUCCUAAGCCUGAGACUAAGUGCUUCUACUGCAAAGGGACUGGUCACUGGAAGCGGAACUAUCCCAAGUGAUUGGCGGAUAAGAAGGAUGGCAAAGUGAACAUAAGUAUAUUUGAUAUACAUGUUAUUGAUGUGUACUUUAAUAGUAUUUAUAGCAACCCCUUAGUAUUUGAUACUAGUUCAGUUGCUAAGAUUAGUAGCUCGAAACGGGAGUUGCAGAAUAAACAGAGACUAGUUAAGGGUGAAGUGACGAUGUGUGUUGGAAGUGGUUCCAAGAUUGAUAUGAUCAUCAUCGCACACUCCCUAUAAUUUCGGGAUUAGUGUUGAACCUAAAUAAGUGUUAUUUGGUGUUUGCGUUGAGCAUGAAUAUGAUUUGAUCAUGUUUAUUGUAAUACAGUUAUUCAUUUAAGUAAGAGAAUAAAUUGUUGUUCUGCUUACAUGAAUAAAACCUUAUAUGGUUACACACCCAAUGAAAAUGGUUCAUUGGAUCUCAAUCGUAGUGAUACACAUAUUCAUAAUAUUGAAACCAAAAAGAUGCAAAGUUAAUAAUGAUAGUGCAACUUAUUUGUGGAACUGUCGUUUAGGUCAUAUUGGUGUAAAGCGCAUGAAGAAACUCCAUGCUGAUGGGAUUUUGGAAUCACUUGAUUAUGAAUCACUUGGUGCUUGCGAACCAUGCCUUAUGGGCAAGAUGACUAAAGACUCCGUUCUCCGGAACAAUGGAGCGAGCACCAUAUUUGUUGGAAAUCAUACAUACUGAUGUAUGUGGUCCGAUGAAUAUUAAAGCUCGCGACAAGUAUCAUUAUUUUCUGACCUUCACAGAUGAUUUAAGCAGAUAUGAGUAUAUCUACUUGAUGAAACAUAAGUCUGAAAAGUUCAAAGUAUUUCAGAGUGAAGUAGAAAAUCAUCAUGACAAGAAAAUAAAGUUUCUACGAUCUGAUCGUAGAGACGAAUAUUUGAGUUACGAGUUUGGUCUUCAAUUAAAACAAUGUGGAAUAGUUUCACAAACUCAUGCCACCUGGAACACCACAGCAUAAUGGUGUGUCCGAACAUCAUAACCAUACUUUAUUGGAUAUAGUACAAUCUAUGAUGUUUCUUACCGAUUUACCAAUAUCGUUUUGGGAUCAUGCAUUAGAGACAGCUGCAUUCACGUUAAAAAAUGGGGCACCAUCUAAGUCCGUUGAGACGACACAAUCUGAACUGUGGUUUGGCAAGAAACCAAAGUUGUUGUUUCUUAAAGUAUGGGAUUGUGAUGCUUAUAUGAAAAAGUUUCAUCUUGAUAAGCUCAAACCCAAAUCGGAGAAAUAUGUCUUCAUAGGAUACCCAAAGGAGACUGUUGGGUACACCUUCUAUCACAGAUCCGAAGGCAAGACAUUCGUUGCUAAGAAUGGAUCCUUUCUAGAGAAGGAGUUUCUCUCGAAAGAAGUGAGUGGGAGGAAAGUAGAAAACUUGAUAAGGUAAUUGUACCUUCUCCCUUAUUGGAAAGUAGUUCAUCACAGAAAUCUGUUCUUGUGACUACUACACCAAUUAGUGAGGAAGCUAAUGAUGAUGAUCAUGUAACUUCAGAUCAAGUUACUACCGAAUCUCGUAGGUAAACCAGAGUAAGAUCCGCACCAGAGUGGUACGGUAAUCCUGUUCUGGAAGUCAUGUUACUAGACCAUGACAAACUUGCGAACUAUGAGGAAGUGAUGAUGAGCCCAGAUUCCGCGAAAUGGUUUGAGGCCAUGAAAUCUGAGAUAUGAUUCAUGUAUGAGAACAAAGUAUGGACUUUGAUGGAUUUGCCCGAUGAUCGGCAAGCCAUAGAAAAUAAAUGGAUCUUCAAGAGGAAGAUGGACGCUGAUAGUAGUGUUACUAUCUACAAAGCUAGACUUGUCGAAAAAGGUUUUUGACAAAGUUCAAGGUGUUGACUACGAUGAAAUUUUCUCACUCAUAGCGAUGCUUAAGUCUGUCCCAAUCAUGUUAGCAAUUGCCGCAUUUUUAUGAAAUCUGGUAAAUGGAUAAACAAAACUACAUUCCUUAAUGGAUUUAAAGAAGAGUUGUAUAUGAUGCAACCCGAAGGUUUUGUCAAUCCUAAAGGUGCUAACAAAAUAUGCAAGCUCCAGCGAUCCAUCUAUGGACUGGUGCAAGCAUCUCGGAGUUGGAAUAUACGUUUUGAUAAGUUGAUCAAAGCAUAUAGUUUUAUACAGACUUGCGGUGAAGCUUGUAUUUACAAGAAAGUGAGUGGGAGCACUACAGCAUUUCUGAUAAGUAUAUGUGAAUGACAUAUUGUUGAUCGGAAAUAAUGUAGAAUUAUUCUGCAAAGCAUAAAGGAGUGUUUUGAAAGAAGUUUUUCAAAGAAAGACCUCGGUGAAGCUGCUUACAUAUUGAGCAUCAAGAUCUAUAGAGAUAGAUCAAGACGCUUGAUAAGUUUUUUCAAUGAGUACAUACCUUGACAAGAUUUUGAAGUAGUUCAAAAUGGAACAGUCAAAGAAAGAGUUCUUGCCUGUGUAACAAGGUGUGAAAUUGAGUAAGACUCAAAGCCCGACCACGGCAGAAGAUAGAAGGAGAAUGAAAGUCAUUCCCUAUGCCUCAAUCAUAGGUUCUAUAAAGUAUGCCAUGCUGUGUACCUAUUGUAUACCCUACAUUGUUUUUGGCAAGGGAGUACAAUAGUGAUCUAGGAGUAGAUCACUGGACAGCGGUCAAAAUUAUCCUUAGUGGAAUAAGGAAAUAUUUCUCAAUUAUGGUGGUGACAAAAGGUUCAUCGUAAAGAGUUACGUCAAUGCAAGCUUUGACACAGAUCUGGAUGACUCUAAGUCUUGAUCUAGAUACAUAUUGAAAGUGGGAGCAAUUAGCUAGAGUAGCUCCAUGCAGAGCAUUGUUGACAUAGAUAUUUGCAAAAUACUUAUGGAUCUGAAUAUGACAGACCCGUUGACUAAAAUUAUCUCACAAGCAAAACAUGAUCACACCUUAGUACUCUUUGGGUGUUAAUCACAUAGCGAUGUGAACUAGAUUACUGACUCUAGUAAACCUUUUGGGUGUUGGUCACAUAUCAAUGUGAUCUAUGGGUGUUAAUCACAUAAAGAUGUGAACUAUUGAUGUUAGAUCACAUGGCGAUGUGAACUAGAUUAUUGACUCUAGUGCAAGUGGGAGACUGAAGGAAAUAUGCCCUAGAGGCAAUAAUAAAGUUAUUAUUUAUUUCCUUAUUUCAUGAUAAAUGUUUAUUAUUCAUGCUAGAAUUGUAUUAUCCGGAAACAUAAUACUUGUGUGAAUACAUAGACAAACUAAACGUCACUAGUAUGCCUCUACUUGACUAGCUCAUUAAUCAAAGAUGGUUAUGUUUCCUAACCAUAGACAUGUGUUGUCAUUUGAUUAACGGGAUCACAUUAUUAGGAGAAUGAUGUGAUUGACAUGACCCAUUCCAUUAGCUUAGCACCCGAUCGUUUAGUAUGUUGCUAUUGCUUUCUUCAUGACUUAUACAUGUUCCUAUGACUAUGAGAUUAUGCAACUCCCGUUUGCCGGAGGAACACUUUUGUGCUACCAAACGUCACAAGGUAACUGGGUGAUUAUAAAGGAGCUCUAUAGGUGUCUCCAAAGGUAAAUGUUGGGUUGGCGUAUUUCGAGAUUAGGAUUUGUCACUCCGAUUGUCGGAGAGGUAUCUCUGGGCCCUCUCGGUAAUGCACAUCACAUAAGCCUUGCAAGCAUUGCAACUAAUGAGUUAGUUGCGAGAUGAUGUAUUACGAAACGAGUAAAGAGACUUGUCGGUAACGAGAUUGAACUAGGUAUUGAGAUACCGACGAUCGAAUCUCGGGCAAGUAACAUACCGAUGACAAAGGAACAACGUAUGUUGUUAUGCGGUCUGGCCGAUAAAGAUCUUCAUAUAAUAUGUGGGAGCCAAUAUGAGCAUCCAGGUUCCGCUAUUGGUUAUUGACCGGAGACGUGUCUCGGUCAUGUCUACAUUGUUCUCGAACCCGUAGGGUCCGCACGCUUAAGGUUACGAUGACAGUUAUAUUAUGAGUUUAUGAGUUUUGAUGUACCAAAGGAGUUCGGAGUCCCGGAUGAGAUCGGGGACAUGAUGAGGAGUCUCGAAAUGGUCGAGACGUAAAGAUCGAUAUAUUGGACGAUUAUAUUCGGACAUCGGAAAGGUUCCGAGUGAUUCGGGUAUUUUCGGAGGUACCGGGGAGUUACGGAAAUACGAGGAGGAAGCAAUGGGCCUUAAUGGGCCUUAGUGGGAAGGACCGGGAGGUGGCGCGCGCCCCUCCCAAGCCCAGUCCGAAUUGGACAAUGGGUUUGGGGCGCGGCCCCUCUCUCCCUUCCUUCCCCUCUUCCCCCCUUUUCCCCCUUCUCCUAGUUGGACUAGGAAAGGAGGAAACCUACUCCAACUAGGAGUAGGAAUCCUACUCCCUAGCGCGCCCCUCCUAGGGCCAGCCUCCUCCCCCUUGCUCCUUUAUAUACGGGGGCAGGGGGGCACCUCUACACACACAAGUUGAUCCUCGUGAUCAUUUUCUUAGCCGUGUGCGGUGCCCUCUUCCACCAUAUACCUCGAUAAUAUUGUAGUGGUGCUUAGGCGAAGCCCUGCGACAGUUGAACAUCAAGAUCGUCACCACGCCGUCGUGCUGAUGGAACUCUUCCCCGACACUUUGCUGGAUCGGAGUUUGGGGAUCGUCAUCGAGCUAAACGUGUGCUAAAACUCGGAGGUGCCGUAGUUUCGGUGCUUGAUCGGUCGGCCCGUGAAGACGUACGACUACAUCAACCGCGUUGUGCUAACGCUUCCACUGUCGGUCUACAAGGGUACGUAGAUCACACUCUCCCCUCUCGUUGCUAUGCAUCACCAUGAUCUUGCGUGUGCGUAGGAUUUUUUUUGAAAUUACUAUGUUCCCCAAGAAAACUCUCUCUCUCACACACCUGAGGAAGGCAAAGAGAGGGUGAGAAAAGUGUACGUGAACUGAUUCCCCCAGAGCUUCCUAAUAAGGAUUCCCUCUUGAUAGUACGGGUACUCUACGACCAAAGAAAAUAAAAGCGUAGAGGACACGUCUUCGAUCUUUUCCUUCGAGAGGCAAUAGCAAUCCGAUGUAAGCCUAAGCAUCGAGAACCUAAAACAUAUAGCACAUGAUUAGACCACAAAGGGUUGUCAUCAUCAUCCAAAACAUAAAGUAGGGAGAUGCCCUUUCAAUCUCCCCCUUUUUGGUGGAUGAUGACAACAACACGAUUUGCAAGAGAUAAGUCAAUGAAAUCUAGACGGAACUCCCCCUGAAUGUGUGCCCCAAUAAGUACUAGCUGUUAGAAAGCAUGGGGACACUUUCAGGACUAGACUCCCCCUAGAUUUUAUAUACUCAUCACUCUGAGCUCAAAAGGAUAGACAAUAUAAUACUUAGAGGCAAUAAUAACGAUAAUGACCUACGAACGGAAAGGUAAACGAAGUAACAAGUCUCACACACAGCACGGAACGAAACAAGUCCACAAACAAACACAAAACACGAGAACAAGAGAAAAACCCAAGCAAAUCCCCGAGACCUAUAGAACCCUCUCCCCCUUUGGCAUCAAGACACCAAAAAGGAAAAGAGCGAAGCUAGCGACCCAAAGCUCAGGCGUCCUCCUCUGACUCCUCGGUCGCAUCUGGAUCUUCAUCAUCAGAGUCAUGAUCGUUAUCGUGAUCAGAUUCUUCCAUGACAUUGUCAGCUGCUGCAAACGAGGAUGAUAGCUGGGGAGGGGCUUCAUCAUCAGUCCAGGUGCUAUGGGUAGAGAUCCAACGCUCCUCUGGGGUGAUGCUCUUCUCAGAGCCACUCUGAACCUGCAUGUUGAGGUGCUUCAUCAUUGCAAUUUGGCAACGCCGUGCAAGCUUCUCAUUGACAUGUGCCUCAUACAUCUUCUUCUGGAUGUCAGCCUGGAGACAAAAGGUCUUCUUCACCUUGGCAGUAAGUUUGGCCACCCACGAAGGCUUGGCCCUUGGCUCCAGCUCAAAGUCCUCAUCGUCAGAAGUAGCAUAGACAUCCUCAGGAGCAUGUUCAGGGAAGCGAGGCUCGGCAUGCUUCUUCUUCUUAAGGAGCUUGACCUCAUGAACAGUGAGGUUGUCUGGAGAAGUGAGGAGCUCUCCAGGACGACGAACAGCCCACACAGAGUUCAGAAAGCACAUGACAAACGGAGCAUAGAUUGGGACUUUACGGUAGAUGACCAUGUUGUACAUCUCAUGCCACAGCCAAUUUGACACAUCAAACGUUGCCCCUGUCCCCACCAUGGUCUUCAUAGCAACCAUCAAAUCAACCAGAUAGCCAUGAAUCUCAUCUUGAUUGCCCACCUUGGGCAAGAGCACAUUGCGGAACACUCGGUGCAUGAUGUCAUAGACCUUCUCCAAAUCCUUGGAUUCUCCAAUAAUCCCACGGCCCCGAAUGUACAGAGGGGCAAACUUCUCCUUAGGCAUGGACUCAGGAAAAUCAUGAGGGCGAAUUGUUGGAAAUAUGCCCUAGAGGCAAUAAUAAAAGCAUUAUUAUUAUAUUUCCUUAUUCAUGAUAAUUGUCUUUAUUCAUGCUAUAAUUGUGUUAUCCGGAAAUCGUAAUACAUGUGUGAAUAACAGACACCAACAUGUCCCUAGUAAGCCUCUAGUUGACUAGCUCGUUGAUCAACAGAUAGUCAUGGUUUCCUGACUAUGGACAUUGGAUGUCAUUGAUAACGAGAUCACAUCAUUAGGAGAAUGAUGUGAUGGACAAGACCCAAUCCUAAACAUAGCACAAGAUCGUAUAGUUCGUUUGCUAGAGUUUUUCCAAUGUCAAGUAUCUUUUCCUUAGACCAUGAGAUCGUGUAACUCCCGGAUACCGUAGGAGUGAUUUGGGUAUACCAAACGUCACAACGUAACUGGGUGACUAUAAAGGUAGACUACGGGUAUCUCCGAAAGUGUCUAUUGGGUUGACAUGGAUCAAGACUGGGAUUUGUCACUCCGUAUGACGGAGAGGUAUCACUGGGCCCACUCGGUAAUGCAUCAUCAUAAUGAGCUCAAAGUGACCAAGUGUCUGGUCACGGGAUCAUGCAUUACGGUACGAGUAAAGUGACUUGCCGGUAACGAGAUUGAACGAGGUAUUGGGAUACCGAUGAUCGAAUCUCGGGCAAGUAACAUAUCGAUUGACAAAGGGAAUUGCAUACGGGGUUGAUUGAAUCCUCGACAUUGUGGUUCAUCUGAUGAGAUCAUCAUGGAGCAUGUGGGAGCCAACAUGGGUAUCCAGAUCCCACUGUUGGUUAUUGACCGGAGAGUCGUCUCGGUCAUGUCUGCUUGUCUCCCGAACCCGUAGGGUCUACACACUUAAGGUUCGGUGACGCUAGGGUUGUGAAGAUAUGUAUAUGCAGUAACCCGAAUGUUGUUCGGAGUCUCGGAUGAGAUCCUGGACAUCACGAGGAGUUCCGGAAUGGUCCGGAGGUAAAGAAUUAUAUAUAGGAAGUGCUGUUUCGGCCAUCGGGACAAGUUUCGGGGUCACCGGUAUUGUACCGGGACCACCGGAAGGGUCCCCGGGGUCCACCGGGUGGGGCCACCUAUCCCGGGGGGCCCCAUGGGCUGAAGUGGGAGGGAACCCAGCCCAAAGUGGGCUGGGGCGCCACUCCCCUAGGGCCCAUGCGGCUAGGGUUGAGGGGAAACCCUAAAGGGGGCGUCCCCUAGCUUGGGGGGCAAGCCCCCCACCCUUGGCCGCCGCCCCCCCCUAGGAGAUUCCAUCUCCUAGGGCCGGCGCCCCCCCUAGCACCCCUAUAUAUAGUGGGGGAGAGGAGGGACUUCAUACAACAGCCCCUGGCACCUCCCUCUCUCCCCGUUACGUCUCUCUCUCGUAGUAUAGGCGAAGCCCUGCUACUGUGACGCCCUGCAUCCACCACCACGCCGUCGUGCUGCUGGAUCUUCAUCAACCUCUCCUUCCCCCUUGCUGGAUCAAGAAGGAGGAGACGUCUCCCGUCCCGUACGUGUGUUGAACGCGGAGGUGCCGUCCGUUCGGCGCUUGGUCAUCGGUAAUUUGGAUCACGUCGUGUUCGACUACAUCAUCACCAUUCUUUGAACGCUUCCGCACGUGAUCUACAAAGGUAUGUAGAUGCAUCCGAUGACUCGUUGCUAGAUGAACUCCUAGAUGGAUCUUGGUGAAACGAGUAGGAAAAUUUUUGUUUUCUGCAACGUUCCCCAACACGAAUGCCACCCCUUCCUUCCAGACCAGUAUCCUCGUACCCAAUAGCAUUGUAGAAAGCCCUCCAGGGAACGUGAAACAAUUCAUCGCGACACAUGAAGGUGAGAGUGCGCGCAUCAUCUUCCCCAAAAUGAACCGUGGCAUAGAACUGAUGGAUAAGUUGAACAUCAAAGUCACAGUUGACUGACAUGAUCUUGACAAGAUCAAACUCCUCGCAUAGAGAUAGCACCUCACCAAAAUACUCCAUGUUGUUUCUCCAAUGAUCAAAAUCAAUUGUCCACUGCUUGGCAUAUCUGUUCUUGUUGUGCUCAAAGAGUUCAUGAACAAUCCGCACUUGCAUCUCAUUCUGGAACUGAACAGUGGUCCAACGGGGAGCAAUGGGAACCUCAUACGGAUUCUUUGAGUGGAAGGCUUCCCAAUCCUUGGCUUUCCAACGAUGCAACGGCAUAACCACACGUUGCUUAGCAGCUGUAGACUUUUCACGGCGAGUGGGCUUGGUGGGAAUCACAACUUCUUCUUCUUCAUCAGACACAACCGGGCGCAAGGUCCUUCGUGCCCUCUUCUUGGUCUUGCGAGGAGCAGAGCGAGAACUAGAGCCACCUGAACACACACACGAAAAGAACACACAAAAACCCAACAAGGAUGAGAGGAUUGCACCCACUAGCAGAAAAGGAACAAGUUGCAACAACAGAGAAGAUAGAAUAGUGCUUAGUGGUUGAUAUACUCUGGUUGUACCGGAUCUUCCGCCGGUAGUACCGCUCCAGCGGUUGUACUCCCCAUAGGGGCGGUAGUACCGCUCCAGCGGUUGUACCGCCCGUAGGGGUGGUAGAACCGCUAACAGUGGCACUACCAGGGAAGAUAGAUCUAACCGAGGCAUACGAAUCACACAAGUAAUAUUCCGAAUUCUAAGUGCUGCAAACAAGACAUGAGGCUAACAAAGAACUCUUCUAAGCCAUAGAUCGAACACUAAACGCGGAAAGAUAAGUAAAGCCCUAGACAAGGAAGAACCCUAAAAAAAUCUAAAGGCAAAGAACACGAGGCAUUACCACCAUCCAUGGGAAGAGAUCGGGAGGCCUCCACGGAGAGAAUCCACGGAGAGCCAAGGAUCCGAAGCGCGAGACGCACUCCGGGGCAGGGGUAGAGAUGGCCGGCGGCUAGGGCAAAAAAAGAAGAGGAACGAGGACAAAGGGAAAAAGACAACCCUUCAGCCCCGUCGAGUAUAUAUAGGCCCGUACACACGCCCCGGUAGAACCGCUUAGGGGAGCGGUUGUACCGCUCGUCUGGUACAGACCGGUGGAUGGAGGCGGUACUUCCGGUGCCUGGGAGGCAGCGGUAGUACCGCACGGCAUCAACCGGUAGUACCGGACGUGGGUUACCGUGGGUUUGUGCGAUGGAACCGCCCAAGCACCGAACGGAGACUCUUGGGACGGCACAACCCGGUACCAGCGGUAGAACCGCUCGUGGUACCGAUUGUACUGCCCGACCACCUAAGCCCAAGCCAAGAUCAAAUGAGUGCAAUCCGAAGGGAGGAAGAAGGAGCACAAAACAUGAGAGAAACAACACCCUAUGAGAACCUAACACAAAGAGCAAAGACAUAAAGAGAGAAAACAACACGAGAACAACAAGGCUAACUCCAACCUCCCGAAGAGAGGACGGUGGCCGAGGCCACCUAUCUUUGAGUCAAUUGGUAUGGCACCGCGAAGAAUUGUCCUUCGGUCCAUGACCAAAACUCGUCUUUGAAGCACAAGUACCAUCAAAUAUGGCUAAUGUGAAAGACACGAUCAAUUUAUGCAUAAUGGGGGGAGGGAGAGUUCAUUGAGAGAACAACACUCCCCCUAUGUCCAUGCCUACACCUAAACUAGACGACAAAUUGAGCGUGGUAGGGUGUGCAAGGGUUCAAGCCACAUUGCUCGAAUCAAUGAUAUUUAGCUCAUGCCUUAACUCGCGAAAUCUUGCUUCAUCCAAGGGCUUCGUGAAAAUAUCUGCAAGGUUGUCAUGAGUGUUGACAUAGUUGAGCUCGAUCUCUCCUCGUCUAAUUUGAUCCCGGAUGAAGUGAUACCGGAUCUCAAUAUGCUUUGUCUUGAAAUGUUGCACCGGAUUGAGAGAGAUCUUGAUGGCACUUUCAUUGUCACACCAAAGAGGCACUUUGUCACAAGUGACACCGUAAUCCUUUAAAGUUUGCCUCAUCCAUAGGAGUUGAGCACAACAACUACCGGCGGCAACAUACUCCGCCUCAGUGGACGAGAGAGACACACAACUUUGCUUUUUGGAAGACCAACUUACCAAAGAGCAACCAAGGAAUUGGCACCCUCCGGAAGUGGACUUCCUAUCCACUUUGUCUCCCGCCCAAUCGGAAUCCGAGUACCCUACAAGCUUGAAGUUUGAUCCUCUGGGGUACCAUAGGCCAAAGUUUGGGGUAUGAGCCAAAUAUCGAAAGAUUCGUUUGACCGCCACAUAGUGACUUUCCUUAGGUGCGGCUUGAAACCAUGCACAAAUUCCCACACUCAACAUGAUGUCCGGUCUAGAUGCACAAAGGUAAAGCAAGGAUCCAAUCAUGGAACGAUAUACCUUUUGAUCCACCACUUUACCAUUGGGAUCUAAGUCAAGUUGGCACUUGGUGGGCAUUGGAGUGGAAGCCGGCUUGACGUCACUUAGCUUGAAUCUCUUGAGCAUGUCUUGAGUGUAUUUGGAUUGAUUGAUGAAGGUUCCUUAUCUUCUUUGCUUCACUUCGAACCCUAGAAAGAACUUCAACUCUCCCAUGGAGGACAUCUCGAACUUUGAGGUCAUGAGAGCGGCAAAUUCCUCAUUGAAAGCUUUGUUAGGAGAACCAAAGAUAAUAUCAUCAACAUAUAAUUGGCACACAAACAACUCCCCUUUGACCUUCUUAGUAAAAAGAGUGGGGUCGAUUAGCCCAACUUCAAAACCACGGUCUUGUAACAACUCGGUAAGGUGGUCAUACCACGCACAUGGGGCUUGUUUAAGGCCAUAGAGCGCCUUAUCGAGUUGAUACACAUGAUCGGGAAAGUAGGGAUCCUCGAACCCGGGGGGUUGCUUGACGUAAACCAAUUCAUUAAUGGGACCAUUAAGAAAAGCACUCUUCACAUCCAUUUGUUGUAACUUAAAGUUAUGAUGAGAAGCAUAUGCAAUCAACAUGCGAAUGGAUUCAAGACGAGCAACGGGAGCAAAGGUUUCACCGUAGUCGAUACCCUCGACUUGGGAGUAGCCUUGUGCUACCAAACGAGCCUUGUUGCGAAUGAUAAUCCCAUGGGCAUCUUGCUUGUUCUUGAAUAUCCACUUGGUUCCAAUGACAUUGUGGUUCCCCGUUGGCUUUGGCACCAAUCUCCACACUUUGUUGCGCUCGAAGUUGUUGAGUUCUUCGUGCAUGGCAUUGAGCCAAUCCGGAUCUUCUAGCGCCUCAUAGACCUUGUGGGGUUCCACACAAGAGACAAACGCGUGAUGCUCACAAUAAUUUGCUAAUUGUCUAUGAGUGCUUACCCCCUUUCUUAAGCUUCCAAGCACAUUCGUCAUGAGAUGAUCCUUGGUGGAGAGCUUGGAUGCAAUCUUGGCGGCACGACGCUCUAAUUCCUCCUCGGUGGUGAGUUGAGGAGCGGUUACUUGAUCAUCUUGAGCGCCGUCAUGAACUUGUUCUUGAUCUUGAACUUGCUCGGGGGAGAGAACUUGACCUGGGCAUCACUUGGUGUGUCAACACCGUCUUGAGUAUGAUCUUGCCCUUGGUCUUGUUCAUGAGGUUGAGGGCCUUCACUUUGUUCUUCGGAAGCGUGUGGGCCUUGGGUUGGUGAUGGCUCCACUUGAGUGGAGCAUUGUCCUUCUCCUUCGCCCACAAGGGGUUCCUCAAUGGGUAGGAUAAAACCAACACCCAUUCUUCUUAUGGCUUGAGGAGGAAUUUCAUCACCUACAUCACAAGUGCCACUUUGCUCCACUUGGGAGCCAUUAUUCUCAUCAAACUCCAUGUUACACGUCUCCUCAAUAAGUCCCGUGGAUUUAUUGAGGACACGGUAAGCAUGAGAGUUUGUAGCAUAACCAACAAAUAUGCCCUCAUGAGCUCUAGCCUCAAAUUUAGACAACCAAACACCUUUCUUGAGAAUGAAACACUUACACCCGAAUACCCGGAAGUACUUGAGGUUGGGCUUGUUACCGGUGAGUAUCUCAUAUGGAGUCUUGUUCAAGCCCUUGCGGAGGUAGAGCCGAUUGGAUGCAUGACACGCGGUGUUGAUGGCUUCGGCCCAAAAGUUGUACGGAGACUUGAACUCCGCCAUCAUGGUCCUUGCCGCAUCCAUCAACGUCCGGUUCUUCCUCUCCGCAACACUGUUUUGUUGAGGGGUGUAUGGUGCGGAAUAUUGAUGCUUGAUUCCCUCAUCACUAAGAAAUUCAUCCAAGGUGUAGUUCUUGAACUCGGUGCCGUUGUCACUUCUUAUUGUCAAGAUCUUUGCAUUGUGUUGACGUUGUGCUUCAUUUGCAAAGUCAAUGACGGUUUGUUGGGUCUUGCUCUUCCUCUUGAAGAAAUACACCCACGUGUACCUUGAGUAGUCAUCCACAAUCACCAAGCAAUACUUCCUACCUCCAAGACUAUCGAAGGAUGGAGGCCCAAAUAGAUCCAUGUGAAGGAGCUCCAAAGGCCUCUUUGAAUAAAUGAUAGUCGUGGGAGGGUGAGCCUUCUCAUGUAGCUUUCCUUCGAUACAGGCACUGCAAGCACGAUCUUUAGCAAAACUAACAUUCGUUAGUCCACGGACAUGGUCCCCCUUGAGGAGACUUUGCAAAGAUCUCAUAUUGACAUGGGCUAAACGGUGAUGCCAAAGCCAUCCCACAUCAACUUUAGCCAUUAGGCAUGUCGCGGUCUUAGUGGGUCGCUCCGAAAAGUUAAUCACAUAUAGACCGUUCUCGACAUGCCCAACAAAGGCUACUUUAAGAGUCUUGCUCCACAAGAGGGCCACGGUAUCGAUAUCAAAGAAAGUGGCAAAGCCCAUGAUUGCAAGUUGACAAACAGAAAGUAAAUUGUAUGCAAGGGACUCAACAAGCAUGACAUUCUCUAUCGUGAGAUCAUGAGAGAUGACCACCUUGCCAAGUCCCAAUACCUUAGAAGAUGAGGCGUCACCCCACUCGACAUUGGUGGGCAUAGAUGGAACCUUGUGCACGUCCACCACCAAGUCCUUGCUUCCGGUCAUAUGAUUUGUAGCUCCGCUAUCGAGCAACCAUGAUCCACCACCGGAAGCAAACACCUACAAGAGAUCAAUGCUUGGUUUUAGGUACCCAUUUUGUAAUGGGUCCUUUGAUGUUAGUAACAAGGGUCUUAGGAACCCAAAUAGACCAUUCAAUGUAUUCAUGAAGAGAACCAACAAAUUUGGCAUAAACAUGCCCAUCACUAGCAUGGCAUAACACAUAGGAAGGAUUAAAAUCGCCGGCUUUGUUGGGAGGGGUGACAUUGCCCUUCUUGACAUUGUUCUUCUUCUUCUCCUCGGGGGCACUCUCUCCCUCCCUCACAAAGGUUUGCAUGAGAGGAGGAGGUUGUUUGGUCUUGUCAUUCUUCUUCUUGUUCUUGGAGUCGGGCACGUACCCAACCCCUUCCUUGGCCACAACUCCCUUUUGGUUGAUCAAGAGAUCGUUGAGGUUCUUCUUGCCUUGUAUGCAAGUCGCAAGACCUCUCUCAAGUUGCUCCUUCAACUUAGCAUUUUCCUCAACAAGAUGUAUAUGCUCACAACACGGGUUAGUAGCAUUUGCAUUAUCAAUUAAAACCAUAUGAGGAAAAGUUGCUUUCUCCUUAGUUAGCUUCACUUGGAGUUGAUCAUGAGACUCCUUGAGACUAGUGUGAAUACCCUUCAAGGCCUUGUGGGCCUUGUCAAGUAUAUCAAACUCCUCUUUGAGUCUAGCAAGAUCAACCCCGAGUUUGGCCUUCUCGGAAUUUAGCACACGAGAAACAAUGAGGACAUGAUCAUAAUCUUUCUUUAACUUAGCAUGAUCAACGUUGUGUGACUCCUCAAGAGCCAAACGAAGACCACGCUCUUCCUCAAGAGCAUUGGAAAGAUCCGAGAUCUCAUCGGCAUAGUCACGACUAUGCCCUUCCAUCUUAGAGAUGGUGUCCUCGUAAGCCUCGACCAUGUCAUUGGCUUCACCAAGUUGUUCCAAGAGAGCAACAAAGUGCUUCUUGGAUUUUCCCUUGAGUUUGCCCAUAAAGGCCUCAAACUCGUUAGCCUCCACAUUAGCUCCCUCAAGUUCAUUAAUGCAAUCCGGCAGGGAAGGAUGAUUAAUGAUGGUAGUUUUGAUGUUGGAGGUUACCUUGUUGGUGGCUUUAGCCAUGAGGCACUUGGCGGUGAUGCUCUCGUUGGGUGAGUCGAAGAGAGACACCCGUGACGUUGUUGCAAUGGCAACGGAGGCCAUGGCAACCGACUCAUCAUCUUCAUCAUCGUCAUCAUCCUCAUUGUACUCUUCUUGCACAACCAAAGCCUUGGGAGGAGUCUUCUUGGAGAAGUUGUUCUUGUUGGGGAACGACUUGGCCUUAUCCUUUCGGAUGAGCUUGCCACCAUUGUCUUCCCUCUUCUCAUACGGGCAUUCCGCAACGAAAUGACUCACGUUGCCGCAAUUGUAUCAAGUCCUUACACGUUGCUUGCCCCUUGUACCACUCGAGUUGUUUUUGCUAAAGUUUGGCCUCGAGUUUUUCUUGCUCCAAAAUUGCCUUGAAGCAAGUGCCAUGUGUUCAUGAUACUUCGUAUCUUCGGGGUUGCUCUCCUCUUCUUCAUCUUCUUCGUCUUCCACGAUGAGCUUGGCCUUCAAUGCAAGGUUAGGCUUCUUUGCCCAUUGAGAACGGAGCACCGCAUUGUCGGCGGUCUUGUCCAAAAUGUUCAUGGCCACAAACUCAUCCAACACUUCGCUUGAGGUCAAAGUGUGGAAGUCCAAUCUUUGACGAAUGAUGGAGGACAUGGCCUUGUGAUAGGGCAUCAUUGCCUUGAGGAAUUUGCGCUUGAUCCAAUUGUCAUCCGUGUCCUUGCUCCCAUGAUCUCGUAGUGAGACCGCGAGUUUUGUUACUCUCCGAUAGAGCUCACGAGGUUCUUCAUCUUCCUUCAUUGCAAACUCAUCGGCCUCAUCUUGUACCACUUCAUAGUUGGAGCUUUGAAUGCUUGCGCUUCCCCGGUAUAGAGACACGACACAAUGCCAUGCAACUUUGGCCAAGGUGAAAGGACGAAGAUGAGGUAGGUCUUUGGGUGGAAUUGCAUCUUGAAUGAUGAAGAGAGCAUUCUCAUUGAGAUCAUGAAGAUAAUGGUGUCAUGCCAGUGACAACGAUGAUCAUGGAGCCCCGAAGAUGGAGAUCAAAAGGAGCAAAAUGAUAUUGGCCAUAUCAUGUCACUAUUUGAUUGCAUGUGAGGUUUAUAAUGUUUUACAUCUUAUUUGCUUAGAACGACGGUAGCUUAAAUAAGAUGAUCCCUCACUAAAAUUUCAAGAAAGUGUUCCCCCUAACUGUGCACCGUUGCGAAGGUUCGUCGUUUCGAAGCACCACGUGAUGAUCGGGUGUGAUAGAUUCUAACGUUCGAAUACAACGGGUGUUGACGAGCCUAGCAUGUACAGACAUGGCCUCGGGACACAUGCGAAACACUUAGGUUGACUUGAUGAGCCUAGCAUGUACAGACAUGGCCUCGGAACACGGAAGACCGAAAGGUCGAACAUGAGUCGUAUAGAAGAUACGAUCAACAUGAGAUGUUCACCGUUGAUGACUAGUCUGUCUCACGUGAUGAUCGGACACGGCCUAGUCGAUUCGGAUCAUGUUCACUUAGAUGACUAGAGGGAUGUCUAUCUGAGUGGGAGUUCAUUAAAUUAAUUUGAUUAGAUGAACUCAAUUAUCAUGAACAUAGUCUAAAUUGUCUUCGCAAAUAUGUUGUAGAUAAAUAGCUCACGUUGUAGCUCCCUGUUUCAAUACGUUCCUAGAGAAAGAUUAAGUUGAAAGAUAUUGUAAGCAAUGAUGUGGACUAGGUCCGUAGUCCGUGGAGUGUCCUCACUGCUACACAGAAGGCUUACGUCUUUGAUGCACCGCUCGAUGUGCAAACCCCUACAACGUCGUCUGUGGAUGUUGUGAACACCUAACAGACACAUUUGAUGACUACCUGAUAGUUUAGUGCACCAUACUUUAUGGCUUAGAAUUGGGAUUCCAAUGAUGUCUUGAACGCCAUAGAACAUAUGAGAUGUUCCAAGAGCUGAAAUUGGGAUUUCAGGCUCAUGCCCGUGUUGAGAGGUGUGAGACCUCUAAAAAGUUCUUUUGCCAACAAGAUGGAGGAGAAUAGCUUAGCUAGUGAGCAUGUGCUUAGAAUGUCUGGGUGCUACAAUCACUUAAAUCAAGUGGGAGUUAAACUUCCAGAUAAGAUAGUGAUUGAUAGAGUUCUCUAGCCACUAUCACUAAGCUACUAGAUCUUUGUGAUGAACUAUGACAUGCAAGGGAUGGAAUUGAUCCCGGAGCUGUCGCGGUGCUUAAGACCGCAAAAGGUAGAAAUCAAGAAGGAGCAUCAAGUGUUGAUGGUUUAACAAGACCACUGGUUUCAAGAAGGGCAAUGGCUAGAAGGGAAACUUCAUGGAUGGCAAACCAGUUGCCGCUCCAGUGAAGGAACCCAAGGUUGAACCCAAACCCGAGACUAAGUGCUUCUAUUGUAAGGGGAAUGGGCACUGGUAGCGGAAUUACCCCAAAUGCAUGGUAGAUAAGAAGGCUGGAAACUUCAACAAAGUAUAUACGUGUUAUUAAUGUGUGCCUCCCUAGUACUCCUGGUAGCACCUGGGUAUUGGAUACCGGUUCAGUUGCUAUUACUGGUGACUUGAAGCAAAAGCUACGGACUAAACGGAGACUGGCUAAGGGCGAGGUGACGAUGUGUGUUGGAAGUGUUUCCAAAGUUGAUGAGAUCACCAUCGCACGCUCCAUCUACCUUCGGGAUUAGUAUUGAACCUAGAUAAAUGUUAUCAGGUGUCUACGUUGAGCAUGAAUAUGAUUAGAUCAUGUUUAUUGCAAUACGGUUAUUAAUUUAAGUUAGAGAAUAAUGGUUAUUCUGUUUACAUGAAUAAUACCUUCCAUGGUCAUGCACCCUAUGUGAAUGGUUCAAUGAAUCUCGGUCGUAGUAAUACACAUGUUCACGCCAAAAUAUGUAGAUAGUACCACUUUCUUGUGGCACUGCCGCUUAGGUCAUAUUGACGUAAGAUGCAUGAAGAAACUCCAUGUAGAUGGAUGUUUGGAGUCACUUGAUUUUGAAUUGCUUGACACAUGCGAGCCAUGCCUCAUGGGCAGGCUGACUAAGACCCCGUUUUCAGGUACAAUGAAACGGGCAAGUGACUUGUUGGAAAUCAUACAUGCUGAUGCGUGUGAUACAAUGAGAAUUGAAGCAUGCGGUGGAUAUCGCUAUUUUCUCAUCUUCACUGACGAUUUGAGUAGAUAUAGGUAUAUUUACUUAAUGAAGCACAAGUCUGAAACGUUUGAAAAGUUCAAGCGAUUUCAGAGUGAAGUUAAGAAUCAUCAUAACAAUAAGAUCAUGUUCCUAUGAUCUGAUCAAAAAGGGGAUUUUCUGAGUUAUGAGUUUGGCAAGCACUUAAGACAUUGUGGAAUUGUUUCACAGUUGAAGCCACCUGGAACACCACAAGGUAAUGGUGUGUCCGGACGUCGUAAUCAAACCCUAUGAGAUAUGGUGCGAUCUAUGAUGUCUCUUACCAAUCUACCGUUUUCAUUUUGAGGUUAUGCGUUAGAGACAGUUGCAUUCACUUUAUAUAGGACACCAUUUAAGUCUGUUGAGACGAUGUCGUAUGAACAUUGGUUUGGCAAGAAACCAAAGUUGUCGUUUCUUAAUGUUUGGGGCUGCGAUGCUUAAGGCUUCAGCCGGAGAAGCUCGAACCCAAAGUGGACAAACACAUCUUCAUAGGAUACCCAAAGGUGACAGGUGGGUAUACCUUCUAUCUCAGAUCCAAGGGCAAAUCGUUUGUUGCUAAGAACGGGUCCUUUCUCGAGAAGGAGUUUCUCUCGAAAGAAUUGAGUGGGAGGAAGAUAGAACUUGAUGAGGUUGUCGAACCUUUACUUCAACCAGAGAGUGAUGCGACACAGAAAGAUGUUUUCUGUGGCGCCUACGUCUGUUGAAGAGGAAGUUAAUGAUAGUGAUCAUGAAGCUUCGGAUCAAGUUGCUAUCAAACCUCAUAGGUCGACAAGGAUAUGUACUACUCCUGAGUGGUACGAUAAUCCUGUCUUAAAUAUCAUGUUGUUAGACAACAAUGAACCUACGACCUAUGGAGAAGCGAUGGUGGGCCCGUAUUCCGACAAAUGGUUAGAAGCCAUGAAAUCCGAUAGGAUCCAUAUAUCAGAACAAAGUAUGGACUUUGGUGGACUUGCCCGAUGAUCGGCAAGCCAUUGAGAUAAAUGGAUCUUUAAGAAGAAGACGGACAUGGGCGGUAAUGUUACCGUCUAUGAAGCUCGACUUGUGGGAAAGAGUCUUUUCACAAGUACAAGGAGUUGACUACGAUGAGAAUUUCUCACCCAUAGCGAUGCUUAAGUCCGUCGGAAUCAUGUUAGCAUUAGUUGUAUUUUUCGAUUUUGAAAUCUGACAGAUGGAUGUCAAAAACAAGUUUUCUUACCAGUUUUUGUAAGAAAGAGUUGUAUGUGAUACAAUCAAAGUUUUGUCGAUCCUAAGGAUGCUAAAAGGUAUGCUGGCUCCAGCGAUCCUUCUAUGGACUAGAGCAAGCAUCUCGGAAUCGGAAUAUAUGUUUUGAUGGAGUGAUCAAAGCUUUUAGGUUUAUGCAAUGUUUGCUAGAAACUUGUAUUUACAAGAAAGUGAGUGGGAGCACUACAACAUUUCUGAUAAGUAUAUGUGGAUGACAUAUUGUUGAUCCGAAAUAAUGUAGAAUUUCUGGAAAGCAUAAACGGGUGUUUGAAGAGUGUUUUUCAAAGGAAGACCUGGAUAAAGCUGCUUACAUAUUGGGCAUCAAGAUCUAUAGAGAUAGAUCAAGACGCCUGAUGGUACUUUCAAAGAACGCACACCUUGACAUGUUUUUGAAGGAGUUCAAAAUAGAUCAGUCAAAGAAGGGGUUCUUACCUGAGUUGUAAGGUGUGAAGUUGAGUAAGACUCAAAGCUUGACCACGGCAGAAGAAAGAGGAAGGACGAAGGUCGUCCCCUAUGCUCUUGUCAUAGGCUCUAUACGGUAUGCCAUGCUGAGUACCGCACCUUAUGUGUGCCUUGCCACAUGUCUGGCAAAAGGGUACAAAGGUGAUCUAGGACUGGAUCACCAUAUAGCGGUCAAAAUUAUCCUUAGAGGAAUAAGGAAAUGUUUCUCGGUUAUGGAGGCGAUAAAGAGUUCGACGUAAAGAGUUACGUCGAUGCAAGCUUAACACCUAUCCGGAUAGCUCUGAGUAGAGAUACCGGAUACGUAUAAUGGAGCAACAAUUUGGAAUAGCUCCAAGUGGAACGUGGUAGCAGCAUCUAUGAUAUGACAUAAAGUUUUGCAAAAUACAUAGGGAUCUGAAUAUGGCAAGACCUGUUGGCUACAACCUCUCUCACAAGCAUAACAUGAUCAAACCCAGAACUCAUUGAGUGUUAAUCACAUAGUGAUGUGAACUAGAUUAUUGAGUCUAGUAAACUCUUUGGAUGUUGGUCACAUGGCGAUGUGACCUGUGAGUGUUAAUCACAUGGCGAUGUGAACUAGAUUAUUGACUCUAGUGCAAGUGGGAGACUGUUGGAAAUAUGCCCUGGAGGCAAUAAUAAAUUGGUUAUUAUUAUAUUUCCUUGUUCAUGAUAAUCGUUUAUUAUCCAUGCUAGAAUUGUAUUGAUAGGAAACUCAGAUACAUGUGUGGAUACAUAGACAAGACCAUGCCCCUAGUAAGCCUCUAGUUGACUAGCUCGUUGAUCAAUAAGAUGGUUACGGUUUCCUGACCAUGGACAUUGGAUGUCGUUGAUAACGGGAUCACAUCAUUAGGAGAAUGAUGUGAUGGACAAGACCCAAUCCUAAGCCUAGCACAAGAUCGUGUAGUUCGUUUGCUAAAACUUUUCUAAUGUCAAGUAUCAUUUCCUUAGACCAUGAGAUUGUGCAACUCCCGAAUACCGUAGGAGUGCUUUGGGUGUGCCAAACGUCACAACGUAACUGGGUGGCUAUAAAGGUACACUACAGGUAUCUCCGAAAGUGUUUGUUGGGUUGGCACGAAUCAAGACUGGGAUUUGUCACUCCGUGUAAACGGAGAGGUAUCUCUGGGCCCACUCGGUAGGACAUCAUCAUAAUGUGCACAAUGUGACCAAGGAGUUGAUCAUGGGAUGAUGUGUUAUGGAACAAGUAAAGAGACUUGCCGGUAACGAGAUUGAACAAGGUAUCGGAUACCGACGAUCGAAUCUCGGGCAAGUACAAUACCGCUGGACAAAGGGAAUUGUAUACGGGAUUGAUUGAAUCCUCGACAUCGUGGUUCAUCCGAUGAGAUCAUCGUGGAACAUGUGGGAGCCAACAUGGGUAUCCAGAUCCCGCUGUUGGUUAUUGGCCAGAGAGUUGUCUCGGUCAUGUAUGCAUGGUUCCCGAACCCGUAGGGUCUACACACUUAAGGUUCGGUGACGCUAGAGUUGUUAUGGGAAAUAGUAUGUGGUUACAGAAGGUUGUUCGGAGUCCCAGAUGAGAUCCCGGACAUGACGAGGAGCUCCGGAAUGGUCCGGAGGUGAAGAUCGGUAUAUUGGACGAAGGGUAUUGGAGUCCGGAAUUGUUCCGGGGGUACCAGGUGAUGACCAGCGUGUCCGAAAGGAAUUUCAGAGGCCCCGACAAGCGUUGGGGGGCCUUAUGGGCCAAGGGGAGAGGGCACAUUAGCCCAGUAAGGGGUUGAGCGCCCCUCCCACCACAUCUCACGUAACCAGGAGAGGUGGGGGCGCCACCCCUAGGGCAGCCGCCCCUCCCGGCUUGGGGGGCAAGUUUCCUAGGGGGUGGGGGCGCCCAAACCCAUCUAGGGUUUCCCCUGUGGCCGCCGCCCCUUGUGACGCCCGGGUAAUUAAGCUACAGUAAUCCCCACUAAUGAUGCCACGUCACCUUUGUCACUGUAGUUAAUCUCGGGUUAGUUCAAAAACCGGUUCGAAUUUCAAAUACAAAAUCGAGCAAACAAUAAAAGUUUUCAAAUAUUAAAAUUUAAAUGUUCGGAGUGAACCAAAUAAUACAUAGGUAAUUAUGGAGGUGGAACCACAUUUUUAUAAAAUGUUUAAAUGCUCAAGGGAAAAUAAAACAGUAGCAAAAGAAAUUAAUUAAAUGCCUUUUGUGUUUUGUAAAAUAUUAAACUAUAUUAUUUAGGGAUGAAGCAUUUUGUGGUUGUGGCUUAAUUUGUAAGAACAAUUUAGGUGCCACUUUGGUAUUUACUAAAACAAAAAAAAAAAUAAACUGGAACUAAAAUAAAACAGAAAAGGUAAAGUAAAUAAAAAGUAAAAAUAAAACAAAAGAGAGUGGGGGAGGAAACCCCACUGGCCCAACUGGGCCAGCCCCUCCCCACCUGGCCCCCCUCACACCUGGCCCAGCCCCCUCCCCUGGCCCGGCCCAGCCGGCAGGCCACUUAUCCACCUCUUCCCCCGGUCGGGAACCCUAGCCGCAACCACUCCUCCCCCGAUCCCCUUUCUCCCUCCCGCGCCGAUCCGNNNNNNNNNNNNNNNNNNNNNNNNNNNNNNNNNNNNNNNNNNNNNNNNNNNNNNNNNNNNNNNNNNNNNNNNNNNNNNNNNNNNNNNNNNNNNNNNNNNNNNNNNNNNNNNNNNNNNNNNNNNNNNNNNNNNNNNNNNNNNNNNNNNNNNNNNNNNNNNNNNNNNNNNNNNNNNNNNNNNNNNNNNNNNNNNNNNNNNNNNNNNNNNNNNNNNNNNNNNNNNNNNNNNNNNNNNNNNNNNNNNNNNNNNNNNNNNNNNNNNNNNNNNNNNNNNNNNNNNNNNNNNNNNNNNNNNNNNNNNNNNNNNNNNNNNNNNNNNNNNNNNNNNNNNNNNNNNNNNNNNNNNNNNNNNNNNNNNNNNNNNNNNNNNNNNNNNNNNNNNNNNNNNNNNNNNNNNNNNNNNNNNNNNNNNNNNNNNNNNNNNNNNNNNNNNNNNNNNNNNNNNNNNNNNNNNNNNNNNNNNNNNNNNNNNNNNNNNNNNNNNNNNNNNNNNNNNNNNNNNNNNNNNNNNNNNNNNNNNNNNNNNNNNNNNNNNNNNNNNNNNNNNNNNNNNNNNNNNNNNNNNNNNNNNNNNNNNNNNNNNNNNNNNNNNNNNNNNNNNNNNNNNNNNNNNNNNNNNNNNNNNNNNNNNNNNNNNNNNNNNNNNNNNNNNNNNNNNNNNNNNNNNNNNNNNNNNNNNNNNNNNNNNNNNNNNNNNNNNNNNNNNNNNNNNNNNNNNNNNNNNNNNNNNNNNNNNNNNNNNNNNNNNNNNNNNNNNNNNNNNNNNNNNNNNNNNNNNNNNNNNNNNNNNNNNNNNNNNNNNNNNNNNNNNNNNNNNNNNNNNNNNNNNNNNNNNNNNNNNNNNNNNNNNNNNNNNNUCCUCGUCGGGCCCCCCCCUCCGCCACGCCGACGCGGGAUCGGGCGGGCGCCCACGCCCGCGUCCCCCUGGGUUGCGCCCGAACGGGCCACCCCGCACGCCCGCACGCCCGUUUGGCCCCCUGGGGCCUAUGACAUUGGGGCCCCACCCCCCACAGAACUUUUAAAUAAAAAGAAAAGGAAAAUGAGAUUUAUAUAAAUAAAAAAAAUGAAUAAAAACUAAUUAAUUAAUUAAUCAAUCAAUUAAUUAAGUAAAUAAUUAAUCUAAUUAAUCCUGGUUAAUUAACCUAAUUAACUACUGUUAAUAAAACUUAAUUAGGUUAAUUAGUUAACAGUGUAUGACGAACGGGACCCACCUGUCAGGGUUGACUCAGUCAACCCCUGUUGACUGCUGACGUCAGCAUGACAUCAUGCUGACGUCAUAAAUACAUUUUUUCGAAUUAAUUAAAUAAAUAAUUAAAUUCCAAAAUUGUUAAAAUCUUUUAAAAAUCAUAUCUUUUAAUCCGUAACUCGGAUUAAAAUAUUUUCAACAUGAAAGUUGCUCAGAACGACGAGACGAAUCCGGAUACGCAACCUGUUCGUCCGCCACACACCCCUAACCUAUCGAACUCGCAACUUUCCCCCUCCGGCUCCUCUGCCCGAAAACACGAAACACCGGGAAUACUUUCCCGGAUGUUUCCCCCCCUUCACCGGUAUCACCUACUACCGCGUUAGGGCACACCGAACACCGCGUAUUGCCUUGUUAUAUUUUGUGAUGCUUUGUUUGCUCUGUAUUCAUUAAUUCUUCCCCCUUUUCUCUCCGGUAGACUACGAGACCGACGCUGCUGCUGACCAGUUCGACUACGGAGUUGACGACCCCUCUCUCUUGCCAGAGCAACCAGGCAAGCCCCCCCUGAUCACCAGAUAUCGCCUAUUCUACUCUAUACUGCUUGCAUUAGAGUAGUGUAGCAUGUUACUGCUUUCGUUAAUCCUAUUCUGAUGCAUAGCCUGACAUUGUCGCUACAUCUGUUGAUACCUUACCUGCAAUCCUAUAUGCUUAGUAUAGGAUGCUAGUUUAUCAUCAUUGGCCCUACAUUCUUGUCAGUCUGCCUUGCUAUACUAUCGGGCCGUGAUCACUUGGGAGGUGAUCACGGGUAUAUACUAUACAUACAUACAUACUAUACAGAUGGUGACUAAAGUCGGGUCAGCUCAUUGAGUACCCGCAAGUGAUUCUGACGAGGGGGCUGAAAGGACAGGUGGCUCCAUCCCGGUAGAGGUGGGCCUGGGUUCCCGACGGCCCUCGACUGUUACUUUGUGGCGGAGCGACAGGGCAGGUUGAGACCACCUAGGAGACAGGUGGGCCUGGCCCUGUUCGGCGUUUGCGGACACUUAACACGCUUAACGAGAUCUUGGUAUUUGAUCUGAGUUGGCUACGAGCCUAUACGCACUAACCAUCUACGUGGGAGUAGUUAUGGGUAUCCCGACGUCGUGGUAUCAGCCGAAGCACUUCAGACGUCAGCGACGGAGCGGCGCGCGCCGAAUUGGACUGGAACACCACUAGGCUAGGUCUGCUUUCGGCCGCCCUCGCAACGUGCAGGUGUGCUAUGGGCGAUGGGCCCAGACCCCUGUGCGCUUAGGUUUAGACCGGCGUGCUGGCCUCUCUGUUGUGCCUAGGUGGGGCUGCGACGUGUUGAUCUUCCGCGGCCGGGCAUGACCCAGGAAAGUGUGUCCGGCCAAAUGGGAUCAAGCGUGUUGGGUAAGUUGGUGCACCCCUGCAGGGAAGUUAAUCUAUUCGAAUAGCCGUGAUCUUCGGUAACAGGACGACUUGGAGUUGUACCUUGACCUUAUGACAACUAGAACCGGAUACUUAAUAAAACACACCCUUCCAAGUGCCAGAUACAACCGGUGGUCGCUCUACCUCAGGGAUAUGAGGAGGGGAUCGCCGGGUAGGAUUAUGCUAUGAGAUGCUACUUGAAGAUGCUACUUGGAGGACUUCAAUCUACUCUCUUCUACAUGCUGCAAGACGGAGGCUGCCAGAAGCGUAGUCUUCGAUAGGACUAGCUAUCCCCCUCUUAUUCUGGCUUUCUGCAGUUCAGUCCACCGAUAUGGCCUCCUUACACAUAUACCCAUGCAUAUGUAGUUUAGUUCCUUGCUUGCGAGUACUUUGGAUGAGUACUCACGGUUGCUUUCUCCCCCCUUUUUUCCCCCUUUCCUUUCUUUCUGGUUGUCGCAACCAGAUGCUGGAGUCCAGGAGCCAGGAGCCAGCGUCGACGACGACUACUACAUUGGAGGUGCCUACUACUACGUGCAGGCUGACGAUGACGACCAGGAGUAGUUAGGAGGAUCCCAGGCAGGAGGCCUGCGCCUCUUUCGAUCUGUAUCCCAGUUUGUGCUAGCCAUCUUAUGGCAACUUGUUUAACUUAUGUCUGUACUCAGAUAUUGUUGCUUCCGCUGACUCGUCUAUGAUCGAGCACUUGUAUUCGAGCCCUCGAGGCCCCUGGCUUGUAUUAUGAUGCUUGUAUGACUUAUUUUAUUUGUAGAGUUGUGUUGUGAUAUCUUCCCGUGAGUCCCUGAUCUUGAUCGUACACGUUUGCGUGUAUGAUUAGUGUACGAUUGAAUCGGGGGCGUCACACCCCUCCCCUAGGGAACCCUAGGGUGCCUCCCCCUCCUCCCUUCCCCCUAUAUAUAGUGAGGGAGAGAGAGGGCAGCCGUACCUUUCCCCUGGUGCAGCCCUCUUCCUCCUCCAACACCUCAUCCUCCUCCGUAGUGCUUGGCGAAGUCCUGUCGGAGAACCACGAGCUCCAUCAUCACCACACCGUCGUGCUGUCGGAGUUUUCCCUCAACUUCUCCUCUCACCUUGCUGGAUCAAGAAGGAGGAGACGUCUCCCAACCGUACGUGUGUUGAACGCGGAGGUGCCAUCCGUUCGGCGCUAGGAUCAUCGGUGAUUUGGAUCACGACGAGUACGACUCCAUCAACCCCGUUCACUUGAACGCUUCCGCUUAGCGAUCUACAAGGGUAUGUAGAUCUCCUUCCCCUCGCUGCUAGAUUACUCCAUAGAUUGAUCUUGGUGAUGCAUAGAAAAUUUUGAAUUUCUGCUACGUUCCCCAACAGUGGCAUCAUGAGCUAGGUCUAUGCGUAGUUUCUAUGCAUGAGUAGAACACAAAGCAAUUGUGGGCGUCGAUAUUGUCAAUUUACUUGCCUUUACUAGUCUUAUCUGUUGGGGAACGUAGUAAUUUCAAAAAAAAAAUCCUACGCACACGCAAGAUCAUGGUGAUGCAUAGCAACGAGAGGGGAGAGUGUGAUCUACGUACCCUUGUAGAUCGACAACGGUAGCGUUUGGUUGAUGUAGUCGUACGUCUCCACGGCCCGACAGAUCAAGCACCGAAACUACGGCACCUCCGAGUUCUAGCACACGUUCAACUCGAUGACGAUCCCCGGACUCCAAUCCAGCAAAGUGUCGGGGAAGAGUUCCGUCAGCACGACGGCGUGGUGACGAUCUUGAUGUACUACCGUCACAGGGCUUCGCCUAAGCACUGCUACAAUAUUAUUGAGGACUAUUGUGGAAGGGGGCACCGCACACGGCUAAGAAUAUGAUCACGUGGAUCAACUUGUGUCUCUAGGGGUGCCCCUGCCUCCAUAUAUAAAGGUUCAAGAGGGGGAGGCCAGCCGGCCAUCAUAGGGCGCGCCAGGAGGAGUCCUACUCCCUUCGAGAGUAGGACUUCUCCCCCAAUCCUAGUUGGAAUAGGAUUCGCGAGGUGGGAACGGAGAGAGAGAAGGAGGGGGGCGCCGGCCCCCUCUCUCCUUGUCCUAUUCGGACUAGGGGGGAGGGGCGUGCGGCCCAGCCCUGGCCGCCUCUCCUCUUCUUCCACUAAGGCCCACUAAGGCCCAUGUACCUCCCGGGGGGUUCCGGUAACCUCCCAGUACUCCGGUAAAAUCCCGAUUUCACCCGGAACACUUCCGAUAUCCAAAUAUAGGCUUCCAAUAUCAAUCUUUAUGUCUCAACCAUUUCGAGACUCCUCGUCAUGUCCGUGAUCACAUCCGGGACUCCGAACAACCUUCGGUACAUCAAAACGUAUAAACUCAUAAUAUAACUGUCAUCGAAACCUUAAGCGUGCGGACCCUACGGGUUCGAGAACAAUGUAGACAUGACCGAGACACGUCUCCGGUCAAUAACCAAUAGCGGGACCUGGAUGCCCAUAUUGGUUCCUACAUAUUCUACGAAGAUCUUUUAUCAGUCAGACCGCAUAACAACAUACGUUGUUCCCUUUGUCAUCGGUAUGUUACUUGCCUGAGAUUCGAUCGUCGGUAUCCAAUACCUAGUUCAAUCUCGUUACUGGCAAGUCUCUUUACUCAUUCCGUAAUACAUCAUCCCCUAACUAACUCAUUAGUUGCAAUGCUUGCAAGGCUUAAGUGAUGUGCAUUACCGAGAGGGCCCAGAGAUACCUCUCCGACGAUCGGAGUGACAAAUCCUAAUCUUGAAAUACGUCAACCCAACAUGUACCUUUGGAGACACCUGUAGAGCACCUUUAUAAUCACCCAAUUACGUUGUGACGUUUGGUAGCACACAAAGUGUUCUUCCGGCACAUGGGAGUUACAUAAUCUCAUAGUCAUAGGAACAUGUAUAAGUCAUGAAGAAAGCAAUAGCAACAUACUAAACGAUCGGGUGCUAAGCUAAUGGAAUGGGUCAUGUCAAUCAGAUCAUUCAACUAAUGAUGUGAUCCCGUUAAUCAAAUGACAACUCCUUUGUCCAUGGUUAGGAAACAUAACCAUCUUUGAUUAACGAGCUAGUCAAGUAGAGGCAUACUAGUGACACUUUGUUUGUCUAUGUAUUCACACAUGUAUUAUGUUUCCGGUUAAUACAUUUCUAGCAUGAAUAAUAAACUUUUAUCAUGAUAUAAGGAAAUAAAUAAUAACUUUAUUAUUGCCUCUAGGGCAUAUUUCCUUCAUUAUCUUGAUUCGGCGGCAUCGUGGGAUGAAGCGGCCCGGACCGACCUUACACGUACGCUUACGUGAGACUGGUUCCACCGACUGACAUGCACUAGUUGCAUAAGGUGGCUAGCGGGUGUCUGUCUCUCCCACUUUAGUCGGAUCGGAUUCGAUGAAAAGGGUCCUUAUGAAGGGUAAAUAGAAAUUGGCAUAUCACAUUGUGGUUUUCGCGUAGGUAAGAAACGUUCUUGCUAGAAACCUAUAGCAGCCACGUAAAAACUUGCAACAACAAUUAGAGGACGUCUAACUUGUUUUUGCAGCAUAUGCCUUGUGAUGUGAUAUGGCCAAAAGGAUGUGAUGAAUGAUAUAUGUGAUGUAUGAGAUUGAUCAUGUUCUUGUAAUAGGAAUCACGACUUGCAUGUCGAUGAGUAUGACAACCGGCAGGAGCCAUAGGAGUUGUCUUAAUUUAUUUAUGACCUGCGUGUCAACAUAAACGUCAUGUAAUUACUUUACUUUAUUGCUAAAGCGUUAGCCAUAGUAGUAGAAGUAAUAGAUGACAAGACAACUUCAAGAAGACACGAUGAUGGAGAUCAUGAUGAUGGAGAUCAUGGUGUCAUGCCGGUGACAACGAUGAUCCUGGAGCCCCGAAGAUGGAGAUCAAAAGGAGCAAAAUGAUAUUGGCCAUAUCAUGUCACUAUUUGAUUGCAUGUGAUGUUUAUCAUGUUUUACAUCUUAUUUGCUUAGAAUGACGGUAGCUUAAAAAAGAUGAUCCCUCACUAAAAUUUCAAGAAAGUGUUCCCCCUAACUGUGCACCGUUGCGAAGGUUCGUCGUUUCAAAGCACCACGUGAUGAUCGGGUGUGAUAGAUUCUAACGUUCGAAUACAACGGGUGUUGACGAGCCUAGCAUGUACAGACAUGGCCUCGGGACACAUGCGAAACACUUAGGUUGAGUUGACGAGCCUAGCAUGUACAGACAUGGCCUUGGAACACGGAAGACCGAAAGGUCGAACAUGAGCCGUAUAGAAGAUACGAUCAACAUGAGAUGUUCACCGUUGAUGACUAGUCCGUCUCACGUGAUGAUCGAACACGGCCUAGUCGAUUCGGAUCAUUCUUCACUUAGAUGACUAGAGGGAUGUCUAUCUGAGUGGGAGUUCAUUAAAUUAAUUUGAUUAGAUGAACUCAAUUAUCAUGAACAUAGUCUAAAUUGUCUUCGCAAAUAUGUUGUAGAUAAAUAGCUCACGUUGUAGCUCCCUGUUUCAAUACGUUCCUAGAGAAAGAUUAAGUUGAAAGAUAUUGUAAGCAAUGAUGCGGACUAGGUCCGUAGUCCGAGGAGUGUCCUCACUGCUACACAGAAGGCUUACGUCUUUGAUGCACCGCUCGAUGUGCAAACCCCUACAACGUCGUCUGUGGAUGUUGUGAACACCUGACAGACACAUUUUGAUGACUACCUGAUAGUUUAGUGCACCAUACUUUACGGCUUAGAAUCGGGAUUCCAAUGACAUCUUGAACGCCAUAGAACAUAUGAGAUGUUCCAAGAGCUGAAAUUGGGAUUUCAGGCUCAUGCCCGUGUUGAGAGGUGUGAGACCUCUGACAAGUUCUUUUGCCAACAAGAUGGAGGAGAAUAGCUCAGCUAGUGAGCAUGUGCUCAGAAUGUCUGGGUGCUACAAUCACUUAAAUCAAGUGGGAGUUAAACUUCCAGAUAAGAUAGUGAUUGAUAGAGUUCUCUAGCCACUAUCACUAAGCUACUAGAUCUUCCUGAUGAACUAUGACAUGCAAGGGAUGGAAUUGAUCCCGGAGCUGUUCGCGGUGCUUAAGACCGCAAAAGGUAGAAAUCAAGAAGGAGCAUCAAGUGUUGAUGGUUUAACAAGACCACUGGUUUCAAGAGGGUCAAGGGCUAGAAUGGAAACUUCAUGGAUGGCAAACCAGUUGCCGCUCCAGUGAAGGAACCCAAGGUUGAACCCAAACUCGAGACUAAGUGCUUCUAUUGUAAGGGGAACGGGCACUGGUAGCGGAAUUACCCCAAAUGCAUGGUAGAUAAGAAGGCUGGAAACUUCAACAAAGUUUAUACGUGUUAUUAAUGUGUACCUCACUAGUACUCCUGGUAGCACCUGGGUAUUGGAUACUGGUUCAGUUGCUAUUACUGGUGACUUGAAGCAAAAGCUACGGACUAAAGGGACACUGGCUAAGGGCGAGGUGACGAUGUGUGUUGGAAGUGUUUCCAAAGUUGAUGAGAUCACCAUCGCACGCUCCAUCUGCCUUCGGGAUUAGUAUUGAACCUAGAUAAAUGUUAUCAGGUGUCUACGUUGAGCAUGAAUAUGAUUAGAUCAUGUUCAUUGCAAUACGGUCAUUCAUUUAAGUUAGAGAAUAAUGGUUAUUCUGUUUACAUGAAUGAUACCUUUCAUGGUCAUGCACCCUAUGUGAAUGGUUCAUUGAAUCUCGGUCGUGGUAAUACACAUGUUCACGCCAAAAGAUGUAGAGUUAAUAAUGAUAGUACCACUUUCUCGUGGCACUGCCGCUUAGGUCAUAUUGGCAUAAGAUGCAUGAAGAAACUCCAUGUCGAUGGAUGUUUGGAGUCACUUGAUUUUGAAUCGCUUGACACAUGCGAGCCAUGCCUCAUGGGCAGGAUGACUAAGACCCCGCUUUCAGGUACAAUGAAACGGGCAAGUGACUUGUUGGAAAUCAUACAUGCUGAUGUGUGUGAUCCAAUGAGAAUUGAAGCACGCGGUGGAUAUCGCUAUUUUCUCGUCUUCACUGACAAUUUGAGUAGAUAUAGGUAUAUUUACUUAAUGAAGCACAAGUCUGAAACGUUUGAAAAGUUCAAGCGAUUUCAGAGUGAAGUUAAGAAUCAUCAUAACAAGAAGAUCAAAUCCCUACAAUCUGAUCAAUGAGAAUAUCUGAGUUAUGAGUUUGGCAAACACUUAAGACAUUGUGGAAUUGUUUCACAGUUGAAGCCACCUGGAACACCACUGGGUUAUGGUGUGUCCGGAUGUCGUAAUCGAACCUUAUGAGAUAUGGUGCGAUCUAUGAUGUCUCUUAUCAAUCUACCGUUUUCAUUUUGAGGUUAUGCGUUAGAGACAGCUACAUUCACUUUAUAUAGGACACCAUCUAAGUCCGUUGAGACGGCGUCGUAUGAACAUUGGUUUGGCAAGAAACCAAAGUUGUCGUUUCUUAAUGUUUGGGGCUGCGAUGCUUAAGGCUUCAGCCGGAAAAGCUCGAACCCAAAGAGGACAAACACAUCUUCAUAGGAUACCCAAAGGUGACAGUAGGGUAUGUCGGCAUUCUGGGAACGGGGGUCCCCAGACUUGCCUGCCUGCGGCCUGCGGCGUGGCUCAAAUGGGGGCCCAGCACGGCCCAUCUUCAUCAGCAUAAGACUCAAGACCCUCGCGAGGGGACAAGCCUCGCGAGGCGGACGACAUGGCGCAUCCUCAGGCGAAGCCUCAUCAGGCUGGCUCGCGAGGAGGCGGAGACAUCAAGGCAGGGUACCUCGCGAGGUGCCCAUGACGUAAGCCGUGACGAAUCAGGGCACCAUGCGGGUGCCAGCGCGCGCAGCGUCCUUCUUUCCUCUUUGGUGCAAAGGGGACAAGCGCAGCCGCGGAGUACCAAGGCAUCACGCAAAGGUUGCCACUUCGGUGCAACGAGACCAAGGCCAGGCGGACUACGAGACGGAGGUCACCAUGGAGCCCAGCGCGGCGUCAUCGCCAGAGCCUUUGGCAGGCGAAGACUGCUUUUGUCAGGAUAGAUGUACUAGAUGUCCCCCUUCAAAUUAGCCCACCAUUGUUGGAUCCCUUCCCGUUCAAUAUUUGGGGAGAGGACCAGGGCCUCUAUAUAUAGGACUAGCCACCCACAAGGCAAGGGGUUCGUUCGGUUCGGCUCUUGGUCAUCAACAAGAGUGAGUAAGAGAGAGAGAGAGAGAGAAGGGUGACUGAACCUCCAAGCAGUUCAUUGCCCCAACCAAGAACAGACCCUCGCGUGUCUGUUCUUCCUUGUAUUGAUCAUCCUCACCAGCCCCAAGAGGCAAUCCACCAACCACACACUGGAGUAGGGUAUUACACCACAUCGGUGGCCCGAACCAGUAUAAAUCUUGUGUCUCUUGUGCAUUUCUUUCAGUAGUUUAGAUCCUUGUGAGACGGAGAGGUUGAAGGUGUAAUCUCCGCGCGCACCCCAGUGUUCGAACCUUAAGGGUCUGCCGGAACCCGAAAUCCGACAUUUGGCGCGCCAGGUAGGGGUGCGCCGGAAUUUGUAUUCCACCACUCCGCUCUCCUCCGACCGUCGCAUCCAUGUCUGACGCUCGUCGGGCUCGCGCUGAGCGCCGGGCCGCCAUCGCUUCUCGCGUCGCCCAGACGGCCCCCGUCGGUGGGCGUCCUCAUCGUUCCCCGUCGCCAGCCGUCAACGCCGCCACCGGCCCAGCGGGGGGCGAGCAGCAGGCAUCGUCUCAGCACAUGUCCGUGCGGCAAGAUGGCCGCACCGCUUCCCCAUUGCUCGCACCAGCCGGCUCUUUGUCCCGCGCGCUCCGCACCUUUGGAGGCUCGAGCUGCGCUCAUUGCGGCAAACGAGCUCCUGCACUACCGCCCCGUCGAUGACGUCUACGAGGAGUGGCUCGACCGCAUCGCCGAGCUCGUCCAGCGCAGCAAGAACGGAGCUGCCAAGAAAUCCCUCGCCCGUAAGGGGCUGCCCGGGCGCUCCCUGCUCCAGCUCCGGCACACCAAGACCCCGCUCUGCUCCUAGCUGCAGCGCGUGGGGACCCUCAAGACCGAGCUCUUCACCAACCGAAGCCUUUCAUGGCCACUGCGGGCUGCCUCGCCUACACCACCGAGCUGCACAGCGUCGCAUGGCCCAGCAAGUUCAAGCCAGACCUACCUCCUCGCUACGAUGGCACAACUGACCCCACUGAGUUCCUCCAGCUCUAUGAGCUAGGCAUCAAGGCUGCCGGCGGAGACGAGAGGUCAUGGCGAACUGGUUCCCCUUGGCGCUGAAGGAAGGAGCACGCACCUAGCUCCUGAAUCUGGCUCCAGGAAUGAUCUCUUCCUGGGACCAGAUGCGCACCCGCUUCAUCGCCAACUUCCAAGGUACUCGCGACCGGCCACCGGCCGUGAGCGACAUGCGCCGCAUCAAGCAGCAACCCGGAGAGACCCUGCAAAAGUACAUCCAGCGCUUCAAUAGCGCGCGCCUCAAGAUCCCCAGGGUGUCCGAGGAGGCCAUCAUCUCGGCCUUCUCUGAUGGCGUGCGCGACGUCAAGAUGAAGGAGGAGCUGGCGAUGCAUGAAGACCUCUGCACCUCCCUCGAGCUAUUCAACUUGGCGAACAGGUGCGCCAGGGCUGAGGAGGGAUGCCUCUCCCUCCUCGAGCUGCCUGCUGCAUACCCAGAAGAGAAGAAGCCCAAGGCCAAGGACGUGAAGCGCAAGGGGGCUGCCGUGCUCGCAGCCGAACCAGACACCAAGCGCGGCAAGGAUCUGCCCGACUCUUCCAGAGGCAGCCGGUACUGCGUGUACCACGACCUCCACACCCACAACACCAACGAAUGUCAAGAGCUCUGCGCCGUGCGAGAAGGAAGGAUUGGCUGUCGCCCUGACCGUGCUGACCAGGGCUACGGCCGAGGAGGAGGAAGAAACCCAGGGCGCUGGGAAGAUCGCGGCCCACGCCAGGGGUGGCGCGACCAACCUCGUGAGGACUGCUGGCGAGACCUGCCUCGCGAGGGAGACUGGAGGGAUCAGCCUCGUGAGGAUCGCCCUCAUGGCAACGCAGGCCUACCUCCUCUGCCGCCUCCACCAAGAAGGAACGAAGACCGCCAUCAGGACGAGGGGGCUGGGGGCUUCCAGGAGCCGCGCGCAAUCGCCUGCAUCCUGGGCGGAGCUCAAGCCCCAGCCUCCCAACGUAUCUUCAAGUAGUUCGCCCGCGAGGUGAAUGCAGUACUCCCCAAGCUCGAAGCAACGCGCCCCCUCAGGUGGUCGGCGUGCGCCAUCACGUUCAGCUCAGCAGAUCAGCUCAAGUGCUCGGCCACAGCCGGAGUCCUCCCGAUGCUUUGCUCCCCAGUCAUCAGCAACGUGCUGGUCACCAAGACCGGGCAGGGCUCAACGUCCUAUCCGUGGAAACCUUCAACAACCUCCAAGUGCCCUACGACCAGCUUCAGCCAACCAAGCCUUUCUCCGGAAUCACCGACGGCUCCACAGUCCCGAUCGGGCAGGUCCGCCUCCCUGUCACCUUUGGGGCUCGCAUCAACUACCGCACCGAGCUCAUCGGCUUCGACGUCAUCGACAUCCGCCUGCCGUACAACGCCAUCCUCGGGUACCCAGCGUUGGCCAAGUUCAUGGCCGUGACUCACCACGGCUACAACGUCCUCAAGAUCCCAGGAAGUGGCGGCGUCAUCACGGUACCCUGUGAAGAGAGAGAUGCAGUGUGUUCCUUGGAGCGAGCCUUUCAGGCCGCGUCACUUGAAGACCCAGAUCGCGGAAGCAGGAGGCUUCCUGAGACCGCCUCCAAGAAGAAGAAGAUGUCGCCAGGCUCAGCCCCUCCGGAGGCAGGCCCCUCAGGGCCCGUGUCUGCCCGGGAGGACCCUCCUUCCAUCGCAUAGGAAAGCGUGCCCGGUGCCCUCCUCAGGCAGGGCUCGGGGGCUCUCACCUGGAGGGCCACCGACCUAGCCAGGGUCACGAGGGAGGCGCUUGGGCACCACGUGGAGGCGUGCUUCGAAGCACGUUUCCCUCGAGGAGGAGCCAGGCAAGGAAGGCCAGACUAGCAAGAGUUCGUCAACGAGGCCAUUCAAGAGCUACAGGAGUCAAGGAUCAUGAGAGGUUGCCGUCGUCCACCAGCUGUGGCCCCACAUCCAGGCGAGGAUGGUGGGCUGCGCGUCUGCGUCGACAUACCAGGGCUUAAUCAGUUCGCCACGACGGAGCGCCUCUGGCCCUCAUGAGUGGGGCAUUGCGGAGAUCCACCCCACAGCCGUGUUCGCAUGCCUUACGGCCUGCCGAGCGUGGCUGCGGCGUGCCAGCGCCUCAUGAGGGGCAUCGUGGAGGCUCAGGAGGACAGGCGUUCCGCAGCACUGGCGGAGAUGAGGACAGCUCGCGAGGGGUCACCAGUGCCUCCGGAGCCUCCCGAGGCCCCGGGGCCUGGGGGCUCGUGAGGAUCAGCUUCUGCAGCCCACCGAGUCUACUGCACCGACGCCACUUCACCAACGACAUUCCCAGGUGACAUCUUCCAAGUUCCAUUCCUAGCUGGGGGCGCCCUCCCAGGGUUGCAUCACUCCUAGGCCGCAUGGGUCCGUCCCUGCGGCGUGUAUCUGCUUUUACCUUUCGGUCGUUGGUCUGCUUUGUUGGGGGCGCCCCUCGGGCUGCAUCAUCCCCAAGCCGCUGGGGCUAGGCCCAGCGGUGUGUAUCUCCAUCGCGCUUAUUUCCAACCUUGCAUUGCCUAUCACACUUGAUUGCUUGAUGCCCGUUCGCGGCAACCCUUAUUCUCCAUGUCGACUACUUACACGUUAAAGGGGGGGUUCCUGAGCAUCGCGACUCAGGGCUCUUAGUGGCUCUCCAGCCCUCACCCUCUGGCCUUGUCCACGGCAUCACGACCUGGCAUACCAGUGACGGCUGAGACAAGCUCGAGGGCCGGGACCCGAGGACGUAGAGUACCGGCAUCUAACCAAAUUUUGCAGGGACACAUUUCAAGAUACGGCCCAGUGCCGGGCGCAACCUGCCUAGAGGUAGGGCCUCGUGAGUCCCGCGCUGGCUCACGGGUGCCCAGAUACACCUCACCUACUCCAACCAGCAAGCUCUUGAGUGACUAACGAUCGACUAAUGGCCGUCAUGGCAACACCAUCUUCUUUCUGUGAUGACCCUGCAGGAUCCUUGGAGGGAACGACGCUAGCCAAGGCCCUCACGAGGUUCCCUUCGCCCUCGCCCGCGCGAACCGCUUGCACGUUAAAGGGGGGGCACCUGAGCAUCGUGACUCAGGGCUCUUACUGGCUCUCCAGCCCUCACCCUCUGGCCUUGUCCACGGCAUCGCGACCUGGCAUACCAGCGACAACUGAGACAAGCUCGAGGGCCGGGACCCGAGGACGUAGAGCAGAAGGGGAGCAGAGGCGAGGAAGAAGGGGCUCGCGAGGACCUUGCCGAGCAAUCCCGCUCCUGCCUACGCGCGGACCUGAUGGCGCAUCAGGAACGAUCCCUGGCUCUCAAGAUAAGUCACCCCCCCAAAACACUGGCUACCGUGGCACUACCCCCGCACUUAAAGCAACUCCGUACUAGCGACGUUGCUUCCCUUUCUCACUAAGCGACGGCUGCUUGGGCGCCAAAGGGGACCUCCUGAGCAUCGCGACUCAGGGGCUCUUACCGGACCCCGGGUCGCUCACCUCCUGGCCUUGACCACGGCAUCGCGACCUGGCAUACCAGCGACGGCUGACGCCGCCUUGGGACUGGGUCCUGUUGAUGCAGAGCACCAAGCCCUCGCGAGGUUCGAAAGGGAGGACCGGACUACGACAGAAUCAGCAACACGCACAGAUCCAUGUCAAAAGGUCAUAUAUAUUAACAAAGGGACUACAAACACCUUACAAGCCCCCGCGGGGCGCGUUUUCGGUUCCUCGCAGGGAACGAAUCAAAAGGGACGCUAACUACACGAGCUACAGCAAGAGACGCCAUCAUCAACAGUGGGCCGCCAGGCACCGGCGCCAACUCCAUCCAGAUCAGGGUCGGCGGCGGCCUGAUGAGUCCGCCCUGCUCCGGGAGCAACGCCGACUCGGGGGCUCGUAGUUGUCGUCGCUCAUCUCCUGAGUCGCGAAGCCUUCGCUGGAGUCGCUGGACCCUCCGGCGCCUCCACCGUGGGGGCGAUCAACGGGCCUAGCCCUCACCGGGGCAAGGUCCUGGCCACCUCUCCCGCGGCAGCACUCCAGCCGGCGCCCGUGCGCGUCGAAGGCCUUGAAGAACAUCACCGCCGCGCCGUCGUACUCCAGGUGGAUCGCAAAGACGCCCCUAUCCCUGCAGACCCGGGCGAUCUCCCUCCAGCUGCGGGACAUGAAGACCUCGCCCGGGGCUGCGACCACGACCUCUGCCUCGGUCGCGAGGGCGCUACAGUCGGCGUGCUGCAGCCAGCACUCCAGGGGCCCUCCUGGAGGAAUGAUGGAGGCGAAGAAGGGAGGCAGGAGAAUCCAGGACUGAAGAGGAAUGGCGACGCGGAGCACGCCCUCCUGGGAGGAGCCCUCGGUGUGGACUCCGGGAGGAACCACCCACGUCUUCGUGACCCGACGACGCCGACGACGGCGUUGGCCGCGGGGAUCAGCAUCAACACCUCCGGGGCCCUCGACGUGGGCAUACAAGGGGAGCGGGAACCCCGGCGGAACUCGCUCACCCCAGGGCGUCGCCGUCGCCUGACGAUCCUCCUCGUCCCGGCUGCAAAGGGCGAGUCGCUUCUUCGGCGGGAGAGGGUCUGGCCCCUCUCGAGGAGCCUUUCCCUUCUCCGCUGCAGAGAACCGACGAAUUGGAGCCAUCACACCAAGACGGAGCAAGAGCAGAGGCGAAGGAGACAGCAAGGAGAGAUGGACUGGAAGGGCACACGCGGAGCCGUACUUAUAGCCGGCGAAGGCCAACCGCCGGCCUCCACGAUCACAGGUAAUCAUAACACAUUCUGCAUGCAGGGACUUGUCCAACUCACGUGAUUACCAAGGCGUCAUGGGGAAGUGGAGAUGCCACGUCCAAUCAACCGCCACGCGGCGCCCAAGGCCGCAGGCUAUUAGGGCCCGCGGCGCUUCGCCCUUGCCCUUUCGCCUCUCGGCACGACCAAGUUCAUGCGCGCCUUGGGCCUGGGGGCUACUAUCGACGUUCUGGGAACGGGGGUCCCCAGACUUGCCUGCCUGCGGCCUGCGGCGUGGCUCAAAUGGGGGCCCAGCGCGGCCCAUCUUCAUCAGCACAAGACUCAAGACCCUCGCGAGGGGCCAAGCCUCGCGAGGCGGACGACAUGGUGCAUCCUCAGGCGAAGCCUCAUCAGGCUGGCUCGCGAGGAGGCGGAGACAUCAAGGCAGGGUACCUCGCGAGGUGCCCAUGACGUAAGCCGUGACGAAUCAGGGCACCAGGCUGGUGCCAGCGCGCGCAGCGUCCUUCUUUCCUCUUUGGUGCAAAGGGGACAAGCGCAGCCGCGGAGUACCGAGGCAUCAGGCAAAGGUUGCCACUUCGGUGCAAUGAGACCAAGGCCAGGCGGACUACGAGACGGAGGUCACCUUGGAGCCCAGCGCGGCGUCAUCGCCAGAGCCUUUGGCAGGCGAAGACUGCUUUUGUCAGGAUAGAUGUACUAGAUGUCCCCCUUCAAAUUAGCUCGCCAUUGUUGGAUCCCUUCCCGCUCAAUAUUUGGGGAGAGGAUCAGGGCCUCUAUAUAUAGGACUAGCCACCCACAAGGCAAGGGGUUCGUUCGGUUCGGCUCUUGGUCAUCAACAAGAGUGAGUAAGAGAGAGAGAGAAGGGUGACUGAACCUCCAAGCAGUUCAUUGCCCCAACCAAGAACAGACCCUCGCGCGUCUGUUCUUCCUUGUAUUGAUCAUCCUCACCAGCCCCAAGAGGCAAUCCACCAACCACACACUGGAGUAGGGUAUUACACCACAUCGGUGGCCCGAACCAGUAUAAAUCUUGUGUCUCUUGUGCAUUUCUUUCAGUAGUUUAGAUCCUUGUGAGACGGAGAGGUUGAAGGUGUAAUCUCCGCGUGCACCCCAGUGUUCGAACCUUAAGGGUCUGCCGGAACCCGAAAUCCGACAGGGUAUACCUUCUAUUUCAGAUCCGAGGGCAAAUUGUUUGUCGCUAAGAACGGGUCCUUUCUCGAGAAGGAGUUUCUCUCGAAAGAAUUGAGUGGGAGGAAGAUAGAACUUGAUGAGGUUGUCGAACCUUUACUUCAACCAGAGAGUGAUGCAACACAGAAAGAUGUUUUCUGUGGCGCCUACGUCUGUUGAAUAGGAAGUUAAUGAUAGUGAUCAUGAAGCUUCGGAUCAAGUUGCUACCGAACCUCGUAGGUCGACAAGGAUAUGUACUACUCCUAAGUGGUACGGUAAUCCUGUCUUAGAUAUCAUGUUGUUAGACAACAAUGAACCUACGAGCGAUGGAGAAGCGAUGGUGGGCCCGUAUUCCGACAAAUGGUUAGAAGCCAUGAAAUCCGAGAUAGGAUCCAUAUAUCAGAACAAAGUAUGGACUUUGGUGGACUUGCCCGAUGAUCGGCAAGCCAUUGAGAUAAAAUGGAUCUUUAAGAAGAAGACGGACGUGGGCGGUAAUGUUACCGUCUAUGAAGCUCGACUUGUGGGAAAGAGUCUUUUCACAAGUUCAAGGAGUUGACUAUGAUGAGAAUUUCUCACCCGUAGCGGUGCUUAAGUCCGUCAGAAUCAUGAUAGCAUUAGCUGUAAUUUUUGAUUAUGAAAUCUUACAGAUGGAUGUCAAAACAAGUUUUCUUACCAGUUUUCGUAAGAAAAGUUGUAUGUCAUACAAUAAAAGGUUUUGUCAAUCCUAAGGAUGCUAAAAGGUAUGCUGGCUCCAGCAAUCCUUCUAUGGACUAGAGCAAGCAUCUAGGAAUCGGAAUAUAUGUUUUGAUGGAGUGAUCAAAGCUUUUAGGUUUAUCCAAUGUUUGCUAGAAACUUGUAUUUACAAGAAAGUGAGUGGGAGCACUACAACAUUUCUGAUAAGUAUAUGUGGAUGACAUAUAGUUGAUCCAACAUAAUGUAGAAUUUCUGGAAAGCAUAAACGGUUGUUUGAAGAGUGUUUUUCAAAGGAAAGACCUGGAUAAAGCUGCUUACAUAUUGGGCAUCAAGAUCUAUAGAGAUAGAUCAAGACGCCUGAUGGUACUUUCAAAGAACGCACACCUUGACAUGUUUUUGAAGGAGUUCAAAAUAGAUCAGUCAAAGAAGGGGUUCUUACCUGAGUUGUAAGGUGUGAAGUUGAGUAAGACUCAAAGAUUGACCACGGCAGAAGAAAGAGGAAGGACGAAAGGUCGUCCCCUAUGCUCUUGUCAUAGGCUCUAUACGGUAUGCCAUGCUGAAGUACCGCACCUAUUGUGUGCCUUGCCACAUGUCUGGCAAGAGGGUACAAAGGUGAUCUAGGAGUGGAUCACCAGAUAGUAGUCAAAAUUAUCCUUAGAGGAAUAAGGAAAUGUUUCUCGGUUAUGGAGGUGAUAAAGAGUUCGACAUAAAGAGUUACGUUGAUGCAAGCUUAACACCUAUCCGGAUAGCUCUGAGUAGAGAUACCGGAUAUGUAUAAUGGAGCAAUAAUUUGGAAUAGCUCCAAGUGGAACGUGGUAGCAGCAUCUACGAUAUAAAGUUUUGCGAAUACAUAGGGAUCUGAAUAUGGCAAGACCCGUUGACUACAACCUCUCUCACAAGCAUAACAUGAUCAAACCCAGAACUCUUUGAGUGAUUAUCACAUAGUGAUGUGAACUAGAACAUUGAGUCUAGUAGACUCUUGGAUGUGGGUCACAUGGCGAUGUGACCUGUGAGUGUUAAUCACAUGGCGAUGUGAACUAGAUUAUUGACUCUAGUGCAAGUGGGAGACUGUUGGAAAUAUGCCCUAGAGGCAAUAAUAAAUUGGUUAUUAUUAUAUUUCAUUUUUCAUGAUAGUCGUUUAUUAUCCAUGCUAGAAUUGUAUUGAUAGGAAACUCGGAUACAUGUGUGGAUACAUAGACAACACCAUGUCCCUAGUAAGCCCCUAGUUGACUAGCUCGUUGAUCAAUAGAUGGUUACGGUUUCCUGACCAUGGACAUUGGAUGUCGUUGUUAACGGGAUCACAUCAUUAGGAGAAUGAUGUGAUGGACAAGACCCAAUCCUAAGCCUAGCACAAAGAUCGUAUAGUUGGUAUGCUAAAGCUUUUCUAAUGUCAAGUAUCAUUUCCUUAGACCAUGAGAUUGUGCAACUCCCGGAUACCGUAGGAGUGCUUUGGGUGUGCCAAACGUCACAACGUAAUUGGGUGGCUAUAAAGGUACACUACAGGUAUCUCCGAAAGUGUCUGUUGGGUUGGCACGGAUCGAGACUGGGAUUUGUCACUCCGUGUAAACGGAGAGGUAUCUCUGGGCCCACUCGGUAGGACAUCAUCAUAAUGUGCACAAUGUGAUCAAGGAGUUGAUCACGGGAUGAUGUGUUACAGAAUGAGUAAAGAGACUUGUCGGUAACGAGAUUGAACAAGGUAUCGUGAUACCGACGAUCGAAUCUCGGGCAAGUAUCGUACCGCUAGACAAAGGGAAUUGUAUACGGGAUUGACUGAAUCCUUGACAUCGUGGUUCAUCCGAUGAGAUCAUCGUGGAGCAUGUGGGAGCCAACAUGGGUAUCCAGAUCCCGCUGUUGGUUAUUGACCGGAGAGUUAUCUCGGCCAUGUCUGCAUGACUCCCGAGCCCGUAAGGUCUACACACUUAAGGUUCGAUGACGCUAGGGUUAUAGGGAAAGUAUGUACGCGGUUACCGAAUGUUGUUCAGAGUCCCGGAUGAGAUCCCGGACGUCACGAGGAGUUCCGAAAUGGUCUGGAGGUAAAGAUUGAUAUAUAGGAAGUAUGGUUUUGGCCACCGGAAGUGUUCCGGGCAUCACCAGUAGUGUACCGGGACCACCGGAGGGGUCCGGGGGUCCACCGGGAGGGGCCACGAGCCCCGGAGGCAUACCUGGGCCAAGUGUGAGAAGGGACCAGCCCCUAGGUGGGCUGGGGUGCCUCCCCACCAAGGCCCAUGCGCCUAAGGGGAAGAGGGGACAAACCCUAAGGGCAGAUGGGCCCUAAGGCCCAUGCCUGGUGCACCUCCCUCUUCUCCUCCCCUUGGCCGCCUCCCAGAUGGGAUCUGGGGGCUGCCGCCACCCCUAGGGAGGGAACCCUAGGUGGGGGCGCAGCCCCUCCCCUCCCCCUAUAUAUACUUGAGGUAUGGGGCUGCCCAACACAUGUGAUUUUGCACUCCCUGUUGGCGCAGCCCUACCUCUCUCCCUCCUCGUCUCUCGUAGUGCUUGGCGAAGCCCUGCUGGAGUCCCGCGCUCCUCCACCACCACCACGCUGUCGUGCUGCUGCUGGAUGGAGUCUUCCCCAACCUCUCCUUCUCCCCUUGCUGGAUCAAGGCGUAGGAGACAUCACCGGGCUGUACGUGUGUUGAACACGGAGGUGCCAUCCGUUCGGCACUAGGAUCAUCGGUGAUUUGGAUCACGACGAGUACGACUCCAUCAACCCCGUUCACUUGAACGCUUCCGCUUAGCGAUCUACAAGGGUAUGUAGAUGCACUCUCCUUCCCCUUGUUGCUAGAUUACUCCAUAGAUUGAUCUUGGUGAUGCGUAGAAAAUUUUGAAUUUCUGCUACGUUCCCCAACAACAACUACUUUGUGUCUACUCGUGCAUAGAAACUACGCAUAGACCUAGCUCAUGAUGCCACUAUUGGGGAACGUAGCAGAAAUUCAAAAUUUUCUACGCAUCACCAAGAUCAAUCUAUGGAGUAAUCUAGCAACGAUGGGAAGGAGAGUGCAUCUACAUACCCUUGUAGAUCGCUAAGCGGAAGCGUUCAAGUGAACCGGGUUGAUGGAGUCGUACUCGUCGUGAUCCAAAUCAUCGAUGAUCCUAGCGCCGAACGGACGGCACCUCCGCGUUCAACACACGUACGGAACGGAGACGUCUCCCACGCCUUGAUCCAGCAAGGAGGGGGGAGAGGUUGAGGAAGAGAGUCCAACAGCAGCACGACGGCGUGGUGGUGAUGGAGUGGCAGUUCUCCGGCAGGGCUUCGCCAAGCUCACGCAGAGGAGGAGAGGUAUUGGAGGGGAGGGGCUGCGCCAGGUUCAAGGGGUGGCCGCCCUCCCACCCCUCCACUAUUUAUAGGUCGGGAGAGAGGGGGCCGGCCCCCCUAGAUCCCAUCUAGGGUUGGGGGCGGCGGCCAAGGGGGGAGGAGUGCCUCCCAAGUCAAGUGGAGGCCCUCCCCCUUAGGGUUUCCCCUCUCCCAUGCGCAUGGGCCUUGGGGGGGCUGGUGUCCUUGUCCCAUUAAGGCUAGGGCGCCCCCCUAUAGCCCAUGCUGCUGUAUUGGACGUGGUGGAACAUUUUCCGGACCUCCGGACCCCUCCGGAAUCCUCUGGAACCUUCCGGAAGCUUCUGGGUACAAUACCAGAAAAAACCAAACUUUUCCCGGAACCCGAACAACAACUUUCCAUAUAUAAAUCUUUACCUCCGGACCAUUCUGGAACUCCUCGUGAGGUCCGGGAUCUCAUCCGGGACUCCGAACAACAUUCGAUAAUCACAUACAAGUCUUCCUAAUAACCCUAGCGUCAUCGAACCUUAAGUGUGUAGACCCUACGGGUUCGGGAACCAUGCAGACAUGACCGAGACAACUCUCCGGCCAAUAACCAACAACGGGAUCUGGAUACCCAUGUUGGCUCCCACAUGUUCCACGAUGAUCUCAUCGGAUGAACCACGAUGUCGAGGAUUCAAUCAAUCCCGUAUUCAAUUCCCUUUGUCCAGCGGUAUUGUACUUGCCCGAGAUUCGAUCGUCGGUAUCCGAUACCUUGUUCAAUCUCGUUACCGGCAAGUCUCUUUACUCGUUCCGUAACACAUCAUCCCGUGAUCAACUCCUUGGUCACAUUGUGCACAUUAUGAUGAUGUCCUACCGGGUGGGCUCAGAGAUACCUCUCCGUCACACGGAGUGACAAAUCCCAGUCUCGAUUCGUGCCAACCCAACAGACACUUUCGGAGAUACCCGCAAUGCACCUUUAUAGCCACCCAGUUACGUUGUGAUGUUUGGUACACCCAAAGCACUCCUACGGUAUCUGGAAGUUGCACAAUCUCAUGGUCUAAGGAAAUGAUACUUGACAUUAGAAAAGCUUUAGCAUAUGAACUACACGAUCUUUGUGCUAGGCUUAGGAUUGGGUCUUGUCCAUCACAUCAUUCUCCUAAUGAUAUGAUCCCGUUAUCAACGACAUCCAAUGUCCAUGGUCAGAAAACCGUAACCAUCUAUUGAUCAACGAGCUAGUCAACUAGAGGCUUACUAGGGACAUGGUGUUGUCUAUGUAUCCACACAUGUAUCUGAAUUUCCUAUCAAUACAAUUCUAGCAUGGAUAAUAAACGAUUAUCAUGAACAAGGAAAAAUACUAAUAACUAAUUUAUUAUUGCCUCUAGGGCAUAUUUCCAACACACACACACACACACACAUGAAUCCUCGCUUUUCUCACUCUGUCCCUUCGUCCUUGUUGUGUAUCCGCGUAGUCCGAGGUCCCCGUCCCCGAAAGAAACCUAGAAGAGAUCGAAACACAACUCUUUUCGCCGCCAGUGAAGCCUCGACGACUCAAGUCGCGACUCGCCUAAGACGAUGUAGAUCUUCAUGAAGACCCUGACAGGUAAAACCAUCAUGCUGGAGGUGGAGGGCAGCGACACCGUGGACAGUGUCAAGGGCAAGGUCUAGGAUAAGAAAGGGAUCCCGCCGGACCAGCAGCAGCUCAUAUCUUCGCCGAGAAGCAGCUGGAGGACGGUCGCUUGCUGGCAACUACAACGUGCACAAGGAGUCGACGCAUCCCCUGGUGCUCCGCCUCCGCAAUGGCACCACCAUCAAGGUCAAGACACCCACCGCCAAGGAGAUCGGGAUCAACAUCGAGCCCACGGACACGUCCGACAGGAUCAAGGAGCACGUCGAGGAGAAGGAGGGCAUCCCGCCCGUCCAGCAGAGGCUCAUCUUCGAUGGCAAGCAGAUGGCCGCCGACAAGACGGUGCAAAAGUACAAGGUCAAGGGCGGCUACGUGCUCCACCUCGUGCUCGCCCUCAGGGGCGGUGCCUGCUAGAAUUUGGGUCUUAUGGUCGCUCGCUUUUCCAUGAGGGUGUAGCUUUGGUUUUUUUUCUUGCGUAUGAUUUUGGUUGGAACUUUUUGAACAUUGUUUGAGUCUCUUUAAAGCCAUAAUGUUUGAGGCCAGGUUACAUGUACGUACAAUCACAACAGUUGUCUGCACAAUAAUCUUUUCCCAUCCGUUCAUAUAUUUUUACCACCAAUCCACUAAAUCAAAGAUAUGAAAAUUUGUUUUGAGGCAAACGUUGCCUCGCCGUUUGAAUAAAGAUACUUGCACUAACCAAUCAAAGAUAUGCAAUUUUUUACCGCUAUAAGGCACGGUGCUGACCGUCCGACUGGAUCGGACAGACGAGAACCACGCGGAAAUGUUGUCCAGAAUUCAGUCGUAGAAUGGACCAAUUUUGACCCGCAAAAAAAUAGAAUGGACCAAUUUCUCCUCCAGGCUAUGGCCUGGUUGACUCUAUAUCUAUGGUCGCACAAAAUGGUUUUUCUUUUGGAUGAAUUUAUUUGUUGGGCCAGUGAAGUUAAUAUAUAACACCAAUAGGUUUUGGGCCGAGUUAUGAAAAUGUUUUUCCAGUGUAUUUUCUGCUAUAUUAUGAAAAUAUAAAUUAUUUAUGCACUAUUCAAAUGAGAAAUAUGAGCCCAAAUUUAUUUGAAAGUUACUUUAAUGAUGAGAGAUUUUUAUAAUGUUUUUCCGUGGGUUAUAAUGGACCUAAUUAUGGUAUCAAUCAUUUUAUUUAUCUUUAGUGCUUUCUAAGUUGUUUCAGUUCCUUUUAUGUUUAUGCAUUGAAAAUAAAUCUAGUAUUAUGCUAAAAUCAUGUUUCAAUUUUUUGAAUACGGUUGAACCAAUUGGAAAUUGCAUUGAAAAUUCAUGUGGCAUUAAUGUUAAAUGUGAUUUCAUGGCAAUUUUUAAUGAUGAUCACCUUUUAGCAUCAUUUUAAUGUGAAAAUUCAUCUUGUAAAAUGAUAUAUUCACCAUUAUUACUCACUCACUAAAUUUUCCAAAAAAUAUUAUUUGAAAAAUUUAGUUUAGUGUGUUCUUUAUGUUGAUGUCAUCAUUAUCAACAAGCACAUGCCACCUAAGGAAAUGUUGAUUUUCGUGUGGUUUGGUUUUCCACACCCCACCAUGCGGCACAAUAUGUUUGGCCGGCAUGGCUAACGGGCAAAAUUAAUGUUUUCUGAUGGUGCAUUUUAUCUUAUUGAAUGCACUGUACAACUAGAAUGGCGUUGAUGAAAUUAUGGUUGAUUCUCUAAACUAGCUCGCUCCAGAAUAAGUAUAAUUGAGCAUGCUCAAAAUAAGUGCCUCAACUUUAUUAUAACUUUGUACUAACGUUAGUACAAAGUAUAGACACUUAUUUUAGGACGGAGGGAGUAUAAACUAGCUACAGUUGGUAAGUUCUUUGUCAAGUGAUUAGAGAUAAGGUUAUGAGGCGAAUAUUCUUUUCCCUGGUUAAAAUUUCAUCAAAAAGGGAGCUGACCUCGACACAAGAAGCCGGUCCAUAAAAGUUACGGUCUCGAAUGUAAGCAGUCCAAUACUGAACAAACACUUGUUUCAAAAAUGGCGCGACAAGUCGCGCAACCGCUUCUAGUAAGUACACUACCCUUCAACUAUCCAAAAUUUCAACCAGACUGUAGCCAAUCUGUUGAAAAUGGAACACAAAAUUUGACGACGAAAUCCACGUGACUUUUACAACCCCUGCGACCUUUCUGUGUUCCAUCCAAACACAAACAUGUGAGAGAAAAACAAGAAGCAAGCAAAAGAUGCUCCGCAAUUGCUUACCGAAAGUUGUUAUACAACUAUUGCAGCAGAUAAAAAAUCUCUUAAUUUUAUUAAACAAAGGUCAGCUGAUGUACAAAGCAUGCCAACAAUGUAAUCUGCAGAAACUAGUAUUCUUGUAGUGUUAUAUGGGAUCAAACCUGAAUUUUGUUCACAUGUUAUUCGGAAGAUUUACGACAUGUGCUAAACCAAAUAUACUCCGGGUGCGCAGCAAAAUGCAGCAAGUCGCCUGCAUUUUCAUUUUCUGAGUAAACAUGGGUGCAUUAGCAUCGCCAUAUUCAAAAUGAUAGGUGCUAAUGAAAAUGACUGAAACUUAUAGGUCGAGUGUCCGGGCACAUCAGCAUCACCAUGUUUAGAAUUCAACCUUUGUGAAAACACAAAUUCAUUUUCUACUGAUGGACUCAAACUUUCAGCAGAGUUUCAUCCAAGACACCACAUCUGUGCCAACACCAGAUGCUUCAUCUAAGACUAAGAGAAAUGCAGGUGGCAACGUUGAAGUAGUGUCCAUUGUCAAACACAUUACAGACUAAUGUCACUGCACCACUGAUCAAACAGUUUCGGAAUAUUAGAACCGUGAUGCCAACGCAAAUAGGUUUCUUAUUAUACUGUCUGGAGAACAAACCAAGUUUAGCUAGUAGAAACACAACAACUGCUUGGUUUUCUUGAACCCAUAUCUCAGUGGAAGGAACUGGGUUCUAAUGUGCCGCAGUCAUACCCAAAAUAUACAAUACUUGUGCCCUGUUUUAGGGCAACCCAAAACAAAAUUCAGCAACUUUUGGUUUUUGGGCAACUGUUUUGGCCGAAGAGGGACUUCAUCAAAUUCAUACUGACAUAGAUUUUGUUAGAUCUGGUAUAGGAGGCACUGCGGUGGCUGUAUGCAUGGACUCUUCUGGGAAUUACUUGCGAUCAUGUACGCUAGUAAUUCAUGGCAUGAGAGAAGUUUCAACUCUAGAGGUAUCGCUUGCAGGGAAGCUCUAUCUUUGGCGGAUGAUCUUCUACUUCACAAUUUUCUAGUGGCUACUGAUUCUAAGCAGGUGGCUAAUGAUAUCAACAUGGGCUGCACUGGUAUUCAUGGUCUGAUUGUAGCUGAGAUUAAGUUAAGGACAACCAAAUUUAAUUGUAGUUUUUGUUUCUGAGAGUCAGGCCUUGAAUAGAGAAGCCCAUUUACUAGCCAAGCUUUUUGAUUCUUUAGAUUGUGGUAGACAUGUCUGGUUGGGACAGCCUCAUGAUCACAUUUAUUUUCCCAGUUUUGUGAACCAUGAAUAACAAAGUUUGGUGGUUCUUAAAAAAUGAAGUUGCUGGAGCCGUUUUUUGCCCUCCAAGUAGUCAAAAAGCGACUGGGAUGCUCUGACUGAGCACAAACAACACUAUGUACAGAUACCAGAACCAGUGUACCCCAAAUGGCUAGGAUUGUCAGGUAAUAGUACUGAAACAUGUUAACCAGAAACAUGUAAAGAUACCCUAAACAGUUCAACAGUGUCCACGUACAACUCGCUCUAGACUGUUGACCGGGUCUUGGCCCAUUCCUCAGACACAACUUUUUGACAAACUUUAUUCAAGCCCUACAAUAAGCCUGGUACGCAGAGUCGACCAAGUCACCUUCACUGAGAUCAACCCAAAAUCAGUCUUUAUCUCUUGAGUAUCAAGUCCAUGCGUGUCUGCCUGGAAGGAACAACAUCGUUCCGCUGAACCAGAUGGCCCCGAGGCCGCCUUGAACUUCAAAACCAGAGUGGAACCAUCCACUACAGCAACCACAGACCUCUUUAAAUGACGUGACUCGCCAACUGUACCAUUGAAGAGCCGAAUUCCUUCGUUAUAACCACCGAUAAAACAGCGCAAGCGCAGAUGAAAACUGCUCUGCACUUCUGACACGGCAACUUCAAUAUUCGCCAUGACUGCGUCAUCAACACGUGCUAUGGUUAAGUCAACCGCACCACAGUCGCCUUGGAUGCGAUUUUUCAAUGCACGAUUCCAUGGGCCCACGUCGUCUAUGUCUGUUACACCAUCAAUCAGCUGGUAAUCAUCCCUUUCUUCCUCACCUACCUUGAUCCUCAUGUCAUAUUCCACUAGAAUACUGGAAAUCAAAUCUAUCCCUCGCUUAGGGCCAGCCAUGUCGAUGAGAGAACCCCACAAAUUUGUUACUGUUUAGUAGCUCUCCAUAUGGAAGUAAGAAACAACUAAAGCUUUAUACUACCUCUGUUUCUAAAUGUAAGACGUUUUGGCAAUUCAAAAAUUGAACUACCAAAACACAUCUUACAUUUAGGAACAGAGGGUGUACUUCUCUAAGCUGUUUUACUUGCAACAUUAAUUUUGUGAUACUUUACAAUUGCUGACCAACAUCUUUGCCACAUAUCAAACUGACUGGUUACAUAGUGUACACCAGUGUUUGGGAGGGGGGGAAAUUGGCCCUCGGUAUUUAUUUGACAUUGUUCAGAUCCCAAUUUUUACAUAAGCAUGUCGAAAUGAGAAGAGAAAACAAAAUGACUUAAUAGUGAUGCAAUGAUUCAUGCUGGUGUGUUAAGUAGCAACUAAGAGCCCGAACUAUUCUGUUUGAUUUUGUUUGGAAUACAUGAUAUACUCACUCAGUUCCAUAUUUUAUAAGUUUCUCAUAGUAAAUCACCUUUCCACAAUAUAAACUUGGUGUAAUGGUGGCCUAAACAAUCCAAACUACCAUUCUGCUAGGUCUGUACAGAUAAAUCACAAGACUUGAGAGUGCUUGCUGUUCCAUACAUACACUAGGUUUGGCCUUACAAUGUGAAAUGAAUAGAUUUGACAUAAGUCAGGUAUUUGACCCCNNNNNNNNNNUACUGUAUAAAUCAUUUCCUCAGAUGGUUUCGCCCACACUGCAACAUCCACCUAAUGUGAGAACUUCCCCAGUGGGUACUUAAAACCAUAUGGAAUGCUUCAAGGGGACAAAUACAUUGUUUUAUACUUGAGGGGGUUAUUAAGUAGACUUAUUGCUUGAAAUAAUCGCAGGUAAGUAUGGAUUCACACCUGCUUCACAAUGAUGGGAUCAUCCCUGCUUAUAUUGACAACAUAAUUACGCAAUGUAUCCAGAUAAUCCCGCACUGCUAUGUAUCCAUACAACUCUACUGGGCCAAGAUCCAGAGUAAGUUCAGCCAACUUUAAUGAGAAAAUUUGUAACACGCGAUUAGGUUGAUGCCGAAUGCAUUCUCCAUUGCGGAUGUCACAAUCUGUGGGAUCUGGUAGCCGAGCUUCAUAAAAAAAGUAAAGAAAUAAGUUAAAUUGUAAUGGAAAACAAUACAGGAAAAAAAUAGUCGUCAUACAAAAAGUAAGCGUGUCACUAGAGGAUUCCAUGGCCCUAUUGGAAGUUUCCUUUUCAUCCAAAUGAAAAUUAUCGAUGUUCUUUCUACUAUGAAUUUCACUCCAUCAAAGGUUUUUGUUUUAGGAAACCCAAAGAAAAGCAGGUAACAUUUCAUCAUGUCAGCAAGUAAAGGUCCAUUUCACCCUCCCAGAUUAUUUCAUAACCCCCUAAACUUAUUUAUUUGUUAUGUCUACCCGAAGAAUUACUAAAACAAGUCAAUUCAGCCCUUGAUGAAAAUAUUCUAUUGUUUCACUUUCUAGAAGUCUUAUUGUAAGUUAGUUUUUUUAUUUUGAUGGUAGAUAACAUCAGUCUGUAUAAUAAAAAAUCAUAAUUUUCGAUCCUGCAUACUUGGGAGCAACUAAACCUACUUCAAUGCUCAUGGUACAAAAAUAUGUGCUAAAAAUGCGGUUUAUGAACAUAUUUCUGUACGGUACAUGGUGACAACAAAAAGGAUAAAAACCAGUCAUGUGGCGAACCGGGGUGGGUUGGUGGAGGCCCAGGAUAACCAAACUAAGGUAAUGCAGGAAUCUGAAGAAUUUCCUCCCCUACUUUUGCAAAACCUAACAAAUGCAACUCCUGAAUGCCAAUGCAUCUACAUUUAACUUGUAAAAUUAAGGAAAGUAAAGAAAAAAAGCCAGAUGAUUUCAACAGAGAACACAUCAGUUGACACUAUAGCUUGAAAAAGGUGCUUGUAACAAAUUGAAAUAGGUAAAGAGAGAUUAUUUACUUACUCUCACUACAGUCAUCAACAUUAUACAUCCUUUUCCACGAAUGAGUGUUCCUGUAUAAAGAACCAUCACGGUGUGUGCUUUUUGGAAGAAAUCCCAGGUCAAGAAUAUCAUCUUCUUCGGCAUCGCUUGCUACCAAUGCGCUCCUUCUAUUGGUUGCACUCCUCCCGUUUUCAUCACAACCAGAGAUGUCCACAAUAUUCGAAGAUGCAUCAUGUUUGCCGGCUAUAGUAUUCAUAUCUUGCAAGGUUGUCCCACUAGUCAUGCUCCGAGAUCCAGGUGGAAAUCUAUCACCAAAGAGAAUAAAGAGCAAAUCUGAGCACCCGACAGAAAAUUCAAUUCUUUUUCGGUUCCCCUUUCAUUUUCGUCGGAUUAACUAUAAGACCCCACACCCCCUGCCUUAUUUACAAAAAUCAACACAUAAGGAUAAUUAAAAGGGAUUUUUCUCGAAUACGCUCGGAUAAUUAAAAGGGGUAAAAAACCACAGUUGGUCAGAAUCCAGAUCCAAAACUAUAAUAAUAAGAAACUAAAGGCGAAAAUUUUGGCAUCAGAUGAUGAGAGCAUACCGGGAAACACGACGGACAGGUAGAUCUGGAACCAUCAUGAGAGGGAAACUUCGCCGUGCAAGCGGUGGUGGCGACCAGUAAGGCGGGGCAGAGGCCAUGAAAGAGAGGAGAGGUCGCGAGGAAGAGGAGAGGCGGCGCAGUGGGUCAUGAGAGAUGGCGACGCCAGGUCGCCGGAGGAGACGAAAAAUCUGACGGAGGAUUGGCAUCUGAGCGCGCGGCGGCGGCAGAGGUGGGGUGUGCCGGUGUGGAGAAUGGGGAGAGGAAAGGGCUGAACGCACGGGGCCGGUCUUCUUUACUCUCUUAUAUCAG